UAUAUAUAUAUAUCUAUAUGAAGAAGCUUAAUUAACUUGUCUGUGCCAUCAUAAAUUUUCUUCACUUGGAUCCAUAUGCGGUUGUUCUUUAUUCCCCUUUAUUUUUUCCAACAUAGAUAUUCUCUUCCGUGGGAUCUGUAAAUUGUAGUAACUUGACAUGUUGUUAAUCCUUAGGCAGUACUGGUGCUUGCAUUUCGUGGUACUGCACACGCAUGGGUUCUGCACAAAAAGGGGCCUGUCUUUGUAGCCAUGUUUAAGCCAGUCGCGAUCGUCAUUGCAGUUGUCAUGGGGGUUACUUUUCUCGGGGAUGUUCUCCAUCUUGGCAGGUACAAUUCUUUAUCUUCAAUUCUAGGUGGGUGUAUAUAUAAUGGAAUUGGGGUUGAUAAGCAUGAAACCCUUCACUAAACACGUGGUCCGUCUUUGGAGAACCAGUGAUUGAAGUAUGAAGGUAUCUGAACUGAAAAGGCCAUGGUUUAAUUAAAAUGUGCUUUGCAGUGUAAUUGGAGCUGCCAUAAUAGCUUUUGGGUUUUAUACUGUGAUGUGGGGGAAAGCCAAAGAAGAGAUUGAAGACAUGACAACCAGUGGCAUUGACUCAUCCUCCCAUAAAGAUCCUCUUCUACAAAACAAGAGCACCCAAGUGUAGAGUUAUUAUUAGAAAGACAAAUCGAAACCAUCUUUGUAGUGGUAAAUUUUUAUUUAAAUUAGUUUUUGUUGGAAGGUGUCCAAAUUUUUAAUUAGUGUAGUAGAUAAUAUUGUACAUAAUACUUUUUAAGUUGAUAUAUUAUUGUAAUAUUAGAUUUACUUAUAAAAUAAGAAAAGUUAUUGCAAAUAUCUUAUUAAAUAUUUUAGGUUAUAAAAGGAAGAAGUUAUGAGAUGAAGGUUUGUUUGUACAUACUAUUUGGUGGACAAACAUGUGAAGAAGAACGAGAGACAUCCUAUGGAGUGAGGGGUUCAUGGUUCAAGGUGUAGGGAAUCAUGAAAUAUUUUGGAAAUCUAAUAGUUAGUUGUAAUUGGUUCAAAAUGUAAAAAAAGAAAAAAAAGAAAUUAGAGAGAAAAAUAGAAGAAAAGAAAAAAUAAAAAAAUAGGUUUAAAUUUAAUAAAUUAUUUUUAUAUAUUUCUUCAAACUCAUUUUACUUAUUUAUUUAUAUUAUAGCAAGAUUAAAUAAUUUUAAAAUAUAUAAAUUUCAAAGUAAUUUUAAUUAUAUUUGAUUUUUUUAAUUUUAUAUAGUGAAACCAAAUAUGAAAAAAUCAUUUUCCUUAAUAUUUUUUUUCUUUCUCAAAUACUUUCUGGAAACUAAAUAUAACCUACUUUUUAUUUCACACAUUUAAUUAUAUAUUCACUUUCAAGCAACUCAGGAUGUAUUGUGUGCAAUACAACAACAUCAUACUAUUAGCACAAUAAAAUGUCAAUUAGCAUACCUCAACACAAUAAAACAGUCUCAAUCAAAAUGUCACUAAUAAGCAAUAACGAUAUAAAAAUUUUAUACACAAAUUUAAUAAUUAUUUUUACAUUUUAACUCAAUCUUUAUAGUAUAUAAUUUAUACAAAUUAUAUCCAUUAACAAUAAUAAAUGUUAAAAAAAAUAUUUUGAGAAAUAAUUACAACAUCAAAAUAACCCACAAACAAUCACACUAUAUAUAUACAAACAAUAUUAAAUCAACAUGUAGAGUAGUUAAAAUACCAAAGAAAAAUUUAUUACAAUGAGAAUAUAUAUAAAACAUACUACUCUUCCCGAAGAAUUUAGAACAAAUUGCUGAAAAGGGAAAUUUUCUUUUUUUCUUUUUUAUUCAAAAAAAAGGCAAAUAAGAGAUUAUGUUCUAACUUAGAAAUGUCUAUUUGAAGAGUUGGAUUGAUUGUACUUUCUAAAAAUGCUUCUAGUAUACAAAAUACUUUUGAAGAAAUGAUUUGAUAAAAUUUAGAAAAUCCUUUUAAAAAAUUAAAAAAUCACUUAUAAUGUUUUUUGAAAAACGUAUAUUUUUUUUAUAAAAAAAAAAAGAAAAGAAAAAUUAUUUUCACUGAAUGAAAACAUUGUUAAAUGUAUUUAAAAUAGUUGGAAGAUUAAAAUAAAGACUAAAAAGGAUUAGUUAUGCUACAGAAAGUAUGACAUCCUUCAUUCCCAAAAGAUGGAGAUGAGACUCUGUUGGUCAUGUUGAAGGGACAUCAUGAGUGAUCAACUAAGACACUCUAGCUUGCCAUUUUUAUCUUUUUAUUUUAUUUUAUUUUUUAUUUUUUAUCUUGCGGUACCUACCCACAUUUGACCCCACUAAUAAGAUGUCAUGUGUAAAGUGCAUGUCAUUAAAAAAAUAAAAAUAAAAACUUAUCAAACCGAUAAAGGUAACCAAUUGGUGAGAAAGAAUCACAUGCAUCUCAUACAUAUUUAUAUAUUACAAUUUAUUAUUUAAUGAAAUACCUAACAUUUUUCUAGAAUAAGAAAAUCCUACCAAUUACCCUUAUACUCUCAUUAUUCAAAUAUACAAAAAGAGAUACCAAUGUAAUAUGAAAAUUAAAUAGCUUCAAUUACCAUAUUGAAAAACAUGUGGGAUGUAUUUUGAUAAAUCGAAUUUGAAGAUUAAGUUUGAAAUUUAUUGAGGAAGGAAAUAAAAUAAAUUUGUAUUUCAUAAAGAAGAUGAAGAAUUUCAAAUGAUUAUAAGUGCUAAAGAUACUAUUUGAUAUAUUUUUAUUUAAAUAUAAAUUUGUAGGUAGAAAUGUCAUGUUAAAUAACAUUUGAAUAUGUAAUGAUUUAUAAAAUUUAGAUUUUAGAAUUUUUUGUUAUCAAAUUGUUAUCAUUUUUUUUUUGUUCAUAGAUUAAAUUUGAAGAUUAAGUUUUAUGUCUUGAAUAAGGAAAACAAGAACUUUUGUUUCUUAAGAAGAUAUUAUAUAAAGGAUUUCAAGUGAUUACAAGUAAUAAAGGUAACAUUUGACCUUUUUAUUUAUUUAAAUGUAAAUUUUGUAGGUAGAAAUGUCAUGUUAAAUAAUAUUUGAAUAUGUAAUUAUUUAUAAGAUUUAGAUUUUAGAAUUUUUUUUAUGAGUUAUUAUUAAUCAAAUUGAGAUAGUUUAGUCAUUUGUUAUGAAAUUGGUAUCAAUAUUUGUAUAUCAUUUUUUUUGUGUGUUCAUAGAUCAAAUUUGAAGAUGAAGUUUUAUACGUCUUGAAGAAGGAAAACAAGAAUUUUCGUUUCUUAAGAAGAUAUUAUAUAAAGGAUUUCAAGUGAUUAAAAGUGUUAAAGGUAUUAUUUUAUUUUAUUUAUUUAAAUAUAAAUUUUUUAGGUAGAAAUGUCAUGUUAAAUAGUAUUUGAAUAUGUAAUGAUUUAUGUAUAAGAUUUGGAUUUUAGAAUUUUUUUUAUGGCUUGUUAUUAAUGAAAUUUAGAUAAUUUAGUCAUUUGUUAUCAAAUAGUUUUCAACAUGUGAGAGAAGGUACAAAUAAUGUGAAAGAGGGUAUGCAAAAUGUGAAAAAGUGUACAAAUAAUGUGAGAUGCGGUAUGAACAAUGUGAAAUGGAAUAGAAAGACAUUAUCAAAUACAGUUCAAACUAAUUCAUCAUAUAAUAAUCCAUACAAACCAUUCACAAUUUUUAAAUGAUAAGUCUAAACCAUCUAAUAGAUUUUUUUCUUUCUAAAAUAAACAACAGACUACAAUGUCCUCCUCCAUUAAACAUUUGAAUUGCUAAAUUUCUUCUCUAAGCACUUCAUUGAUCUGAUGGUUCAAUUAUAGCUAUUGGUUCACCUACAACUUGGUGGUCUUGCACAUCAAACUCUUGUUCCAAUGGGUUCACAAACAUCUCUCUUUUUAUGAGAUUAUGAAGAAGACAACAAGCAAGAAUGAGUUUACAUUGUAUCUUCACUGGAUAGAAACGAGCACUCCUAAGUAUAGCCCAACGUAGUUUGAGCACACCAAAACAUCUCUCAAUAACAUUUCUUGCUACAAAAUGUUUUAUGUUGAAAAACUCUUCAUGGGUUGUUGGCAUGUGUCCUUCUCUCCAAUCGUUGAGAUGAUAUCUUUUCCCUCUAUAUGGGGCAAGAAAUCUCUCUCAAUUUGUGUAGCUAUCAUCAACAAGAUAGUAAUAACCUAAAAUGAAUAUUCCAAAAUAUAUUUUGAAAGAAUAAAUCAUAUAUUAAAAAAUUUAAUAAUUUAUAAGAAACACAUAGUAACCAUGUGGCACUGUUAGUCCAUUUCCCCUAGUAACUGCAUCUUGAAGCACUCGGGAAUCAAAGGUUGAUCCUUCCUAACCUAGUAAUAUAUAUAAAUAAACUGCAUAUCCUAAGAACAAACUCCUAUGACAUUUGUUGCAAUUUCAAUCUUCCUUAUUCGAUAUCUAGGCUUGUCUCUAUCAAGUACAUUCACUUGAAUGUAUGUUCCAUCUAAAACUCUUAGACAAUUCUAUUCAAAUAAAAGAAUUAGUAUUGCUAUAUUAUGAAUUAAUUAAAUCUACAUAAACUAAAAUUAUAUCUUAUAUUCUUUAAACCAUUUCCAUCUCUCAUAUGUUGAGCUUUUAGAGACCGGUUCUUAACUUUUUACUAAUACUCUUUGUAAGGGAAUAACCACAUUCAAUACUACAUUGAAAUGCCUACUAAUAGAUUCUCGAUCUAAACCUUAAGAAUCGAAAUUUUAUAACUCAAUUCUUUACAUGAUGUGCAAGAAUAUGUAAAAAUAAUGCAACCAUUUCUUCUACAUCAACAUAUCUUCAAUCCUUUAAUUUACCAAUAGGAGAAGCAUAGAACAUAACAUGAUGAAAAUAUCUCUAUCCAUUCUAAGUUGCUUCAUACAUGCUAUAUCACUCUCAUAAAUUAAUCGAUUAACAUUUUCAACUCGCAAAAACACUUUAUUUGCAUGUCUUUCCAUCAAUGUCCAUUUUUUAUAACACUUCCUUAUAGUAGUACAAAGUUUAGUAAACAUACUAAGCAUAUUCACUAUGACAUAUUGAAUCAGGGUAAGUUGUUUUCUCCUUUCCAUUUUAAUAAGGUUCAUAGCUAUGCAAGAUUCAUAAUCACAAGGGUGAAAAAAAAACCAUUUUAUGUUUUUAAUAAUAAUAAUAAUAAUAAUAAAUCAAAAUAGCUUAACACUUCCUUGAGAAGAGUGGUAAACAAGAGAGGUUCCCAUCCAAAAUCAAAAUAAUAAAUAAAAAUAUUAGAAAAUUCAAAAACCUAUUCUUCUAUCCCUUUCUUCGUAGUUUCAAAAACCAAGGCAAAAAUCCUAGCCAAUUUGUACUGAAGAUCAAUAACACAAAUGUAAAUACAAAUUGAAGGAAAGUUAAAAAUGAUGAACAAAUUAUCGUAAUUCAACUAGAAUUAGACCAGAAGAUAAAAAGUGAUUAAAAUGGAUAACAAAUGUAAAAUAGUUGUAUUUCUGAAGAGAAAAUACAAGUAAUAGUGAAGGAAAACUGAAAAUCCAAGAAAGUACCAACAUUUACAAAAAUGCAAAGAAAAUUUGAUGGAGAAAAGUUUCAAAGCUCUGCAAAGUGCUAGCCUUUAUGCUAUGUCAGAAGGUAACAAAAAUUAAAACAAGGGUUCAACACUCUGUUUAUGAUAGAAAGUGCUGAGAAAGUGAACUAUUGGAGCUCAACCCCAAAAUUCCACUUCAUCAACAAUGGUCAAAGUCAUCAUUAGACAAUAAAAUGUUGCCUGCAACUUUCUACCACUAAAGUUAAUAAAAAAAUAAAUCAAUACUCAAGUACCAACAAUAAAGUAAAAGGAUCAUGAUAUAGCAAACAUCAAGUUAGGUUCUAUGCUAGAUAGAAGAUACGCCCUGGUAGGGCAAACUGGCCUCCAAGGCCCCACAAGUUCCCCUUCUAGCUAAAAAACCAACCAUAUCAUUAUUGAUAGAGAUAAUUCUGGUAAUAGCAGUAACAACAUUUCCAAAAGAUAUUAUUCUGAUGCACCCAAUAAGGGAGAUUCCAAAGAAAAUUUUGGUAAAAUAAGAAUUCGUCAAAUCAAGGCUUGAUCAUUGUAUAUAUUCUUUGUAAUUACUGUAGACUAGAAUUUUCUAUAGCAACAUUUUUUAUUAUUGCUAUAUACAUCAAGUCAACACUCAUGUAUAUUUAAACAUAGUAUCAAUAAGAAUUUUCAAUGUGUGCUUUCUCAUUUAUCCCUGUAGCCAUUUGCCUUUCUUCUUCUUAUGGUAUCAAAGUCUUCUUGUAACACACCAAAAACCAUGACUAGCUGGUUCAUUAGUUUCUUCUCCUAUCAAUUCAACAACUUCUCUCCCCUUUGAUUCUUAAAAUCAAAUCAUCACCAUUAAUGUUGCUUCUCAAACCCCCCUGAAACUUACAUCCAACAACUAUACUACUUGGAGAGCACAAUUAAACUUGUUGCUUGUUGGUCUUAAUCUCAAAGGUUAUAUUGAUGGAUCAACCCCUUGUCCAUCGAAAACCAUAACUGAGAAUAAUACUGAAAUUCCUAACCCUGCUUAUCUAUUUUUGAUUCGUCAAGACCAACUCAUUUUUAAUGCAAUUUUGGGUUUUGUUUCUGAAAAUAUUUCUCUUUUCAUUACAUUGUCCGCAUAAUCUCAAGCAGCUUGGAAGAAACUUGCCACUACAUAUGCCAAGCCAUCCUAUACCCGAAUCCAUCAUCUAAAGGAAAAUCUUACUCAUCUUUCACAUGACACUCUCACUAUUUCUUGGUACAUGCAACAAUCAAAAGGUUAUGAUGAUGCUCUAGCACUUGUUGAUGCCCCAAUUGGUGAAACCUUCCUCAUUAUACACAUUCUUAAUGGUCUCAAUAGUGAAUUCAAGGAGAUUGUUGUUGUUGUGAGAGCAUGUGAGACCCUUAUUACCUUUAAGGAACUUCAUGACAAACUUCUUGCUCAUGAUGGUUAUCUCAAAAGAGAAGGCUUGAAACAAAAUAACAACAAUAUCACUGCAAAUAUGGCAACUAAACAUAAUCCCAAUAAUCAAAACAACUACAACACCUAUAAGCAAGGUAAAUUUUACAACACUAGUGGUAAUAGCAGUACUAAAUAAAUUCAAAAUCCAAAUAGAAACUCUAACGCAAAGCGUUAUAAAAAGUAUUUUUAGCUAUGUGAUGAAUAGGGCCAUAUAGCUAAGCGUUGCUUGAGGUUUUGUCUCUCCAUUGUCAUUGUAGCCGUAAUUGCAAUAAUUUUUUCAACAGUUUUCACGACCUCUACUCAACUAUCAACCACCUUUCUUUUCUUCCCAACUAAGAGCUCACUUUGUAGCACAAUUAAAUGGCUCUAAUACAGGUUGGUUGAUGGAUUAUAGUGCGUCUAAUCAUGUCACUUAUAACUUGAAAAACUUAUCUCUUCACUCAGAAUAUGAUGGUAGGGACGACAUAGUGAUCGGUAAUGGUACUGGUUUGCUCAUAAGUCACACUGGUUUUGCCACACUUUCCUCCCCAUCUUCUCAUUUCUAAAAAUAAAAAAUAAAAAGUAAGUGGCGACUCCAAACAAAACCGUUUCUCACUAGGACAAAUUUUUCAAAACUUGAAAACCAGCUUUCCAUUUUACCUUUUAAAAUAGUGAGUCACGCUGGUCGAUAGAUUGGGUGAGGGUCCACACCUAUUCAUAGCACUUAAAGCCCUGAGCUCACGACCUAGAGGAGCUCAUGUCAUUCAUAACCUUGAGUUGUUUAUAACAUCUAGAGCCCUAAGCUCACAACCUAGAAUAGCUCAUGUCAUUCAUAACCCUAAACUGUUCAUAGCAUCAAGAGCCCUGAGCUCAUGACCUGUAGUAUUUUAUGCCAUCAAUAACCCUAAGCUAUUCAUAGCUUCAAGUGCCUUCAGCUCACGACCCAAAGUCAUUCAUGUCAAGAUCGGCUAAGAGCUGUUGAUUGCAUGUAGUGUCCUAAGCUCACGAACAAGAGUAGCUCAUGUCAUCCAUAACCCUGAGCUGUUAAUAGCAUCUAGAGUCGUGAGCUCAUCACCUUGAGUUAUUUAUAUCAACCACAACCUAGCAUAUAGAGCCCUAAGAUUAAGACCAAGAGUGGCUCAUGUCAUUGAUAGCUUUGAGUUGUUCAUAAAAUCUAAAGCCCUAAGUGCACGACCCAAAGUCAUUCAUGUCAACCACAACCCUGAGGUGUUCAUAGUAUCUAUAGCCCUUAGCUCAAAACCUCGAGCCAUUUAUGUCAUCCACAACUCUAAACUCAUGACCCAAAGUCUUUCAUGUCAUCAACAACCCUGAGUUGUUCAUAGCAUAUAAAGUUCGGAGCUCACAACUCAGAGUUGUUCAUGUCAAUCACAACCUGGAGUUGCUCAUAACAUCUAGAGCCUUGACCUAAAGACCCAGAGUCAUUCAUAUCAACUACAACCCAGAGCUGUUCAUAGUAUAUAGGGCCUUUAUCUCACGAUAUAGACUCAUUCGUGUCAACCACAACCUAAAGCUAUUCAUAGCAUCUAGAGCCUUUAGCUCAUGACUCAGACUAGCGCAUGUUAUUUGUAGCCUUGAGAAAUUCAUAGCAUCUAGAGCCCUAAGCUCAUGACCAAGAGUUGUUCACGUCAACCAUAGCCUUGAGCUAUUCAUAGUGUCUAGAGUCUUAAGCUCACAACCCAGAGUCGUUCAUGUGAACCACAAUCUAGCACUAUCGAUAGCAUUUAGAGUCUUGAGCUCAUGACCCAUAGUAACCCAUGUUAUCCACAUCCUUAAGCCAUUCUUUACAUCUAGAGUCCUCAACUCAUGAUAUAGAGUUGUUCAUGUCAACCACACCCUAGAUUUAUUUCUAGCAUCUAGAGCCCUGACCUUAUGACUUAGAGUCUUUCAUGUCAUCCAUAUCUUUGAGCAAUUCAUAGUAUCUAGAGCUCGAAGCUCAUGACAUAGAGACAUUCAUGUUAAUCAUAACCUAGUACUAUUCAUAGCAUAUAGAGCCCUAAGCUGACGACCCAGAGUAGCCCAUGUUAUCCACAAUCUCAACUAUUCAUUGCAACUAGUGUCCUAAUCUCAUGACCUAGGGUAGUUCAUGUCAACCACAACUUUGAGUUGUUCAUAGUAUCUAGAGCCUUGAGCUCAUGCCUAUAGUCUUUCAUGUCAUUGAUAACUCUAAUUUGUUCAUAGCAUUAGGAGCCUUAAGCUCAUGACUGGGAGUCGUUCAUGUAAACCACCACCUAGAGUUGUUCAUUGAAUCUAGAGCCCUGAGCUCACAACCUAGAGUAGCUCAUGUUAGCGACAACCCUAAGCUGUUAAUAGCAUCUAGAGCCCUAAGCUCAUGACUUGGAGUCGUUUAUGUUAACCAUAACCUAGAGUUAUUCAUAGCAUCUAGAGCCUUGAGCUCAAGACGUAGAGUGGCUUAUUCAUCCAUAACCCUAACCUGUUCAUACGAUCUAGAGCUUUAAGCUCCUAAUCCAAAGUUUUUCAUGUCAACCACAACCUAGAGUUGUUCAUUACAUCUAAGGCCUUGAGCUCAUGACCUAGUGUCAUACAUGUCCUCAAUACCUCUAAGUUAUUCGUAGAAUCUAGAGCCUAAGCUCAUAACCCGGAGUUUUUCAUGUCAUUAACAGCCUUGAGUUGUUCAUAUUGUCUAGAGCUUUAAGCUCAAAACCCAAAGUUAUUCAUGUCAACCGCAAACCAACGUUGUUCAUAGCAUUUAGUGCCCUGAGAUCACGAUCUAGAGUAGCCCAUGUUAUUUAUAGCUCUGAGCCGUUCUUAGCAUAUAGAGCCUUAAGCUCACGACUCGGAGUCAUUCAUCUCAACCAUAGUCUAGAGUUAUUCAUUGAAUCUAAAGGCUUUACCUCAUAACCCAAAGUCAUUCAUGUCAUCCAUAUUCUUAACUUGUUCAUAGCAUCAAGAGCCUUGAGCUCACAACAUGAACUCGUUCAUGUCAACCACAACCCAAUGUUUUUCAUAGUACUUAAAGCCCUAAGCUUAUGACCCAAAUUAGCCCAUGCUAUCCACAACCCUUAGUUGUCAAUAUCAACUAGAGCGUUGAGGUCAUGACCUAGAGUAGUUCAUGUCAACCAUAACCUUAAGUAGUUCAUAGUAUUUACAGUCCUGAGCUCAUGACCCGUAGUCUUUCAUGUCAUUGACAGCUUUGAGUUGUUCAUAUCAACAGGAGCCCUAAGGGAACAACUUAAAGUCAUUCUUGUCAACCAUAGCCCAAAGAUGUUCAUUGCAUCUAGAGCCUUGAGCUCAUGACCUAGAGUACCUCAUGUCAUCCAAUACCUUGAGCUAUUAAUAACAUCUAAAGCCCUGAGCUCACAACCCGGAGUCAUUCAUGUUAACCAUAGCCUAGAGCUAUUCAUAGAAUUUAGAGCCAUGAGCUCACGGCUCAAAGUCUUUCAUGUCAACCACAACCCUGAGCUGUUCAUUGCAUCUAAAGCCUUGAGCACACAACUGAGAGUUGUUCAUGUCAUCCAUGACCCCGACUUAUUCAUAGAAUCUAGAGCCCUAUGCUCACAUCCCCAAGUCUUUCAUGUCAUAAAAACCUUAAGUUGUUCAUAGCAUCUAAAGUCGUGAGCUCAUGACUAGGAGACAUUCAUGUCAACCAUAGCCUAGAGCUUUUCAUAGUAUCUAAAGCCUUAAGCUCACAACCUAGAGUGGUUCAUGUCGUGGAUAAACUUGAGUUGUUCAUAGUAUUUAGAGCCAUGAGCUCACAAUUAGAGUCUUUCAUAUAAACCAUAACGUAGAGUUGUUCACUGCAUCUUGGGCUUAGAACUCAUGAUCGAGAUUCAUUCAUGUCAUCCACAACCCUAACUUGUUCAUAGAAUCUAGAGCUCUGAGCUCACAACCCAAAGUCUUUCAUGUCAUCGACAAUCUUGAGCUAUUCAUAUCAUCUAGAGCCUUGAGCUCACGACCCGGAGUCAUUCAUGUCAACCACAACUGAAAGCUUUUCAUAGCAUCUAAAGCCUUCAGUUCAUGACCUAGAGUGGUUUAUGUCAUUGAGAACCCUAAGCUAUUCAUACCAUCUAAAUCCCUUAGCUCAAUACCCGGAGUCAUUAAUGUCAACCACAACCUAGAUCUGUUCAUUGUAUAUAAGGCCCUAAGCUCCCGACCUAGAGUCGUUCAUGUCAUCCAUAACCUUAUGUUGCUAAUAGAAUCUAAAGCCUUGAGCUCAUGACUUGGAAUCUUUCAUGUAAUUAGGAACCUUGAGUUGCUCAUAUCACUUAAAACCCUGAGCUCACCCUCUAGAUUCAUUCAUGUCAACCACAUCCCAAAGCAGUUCAUAGCAACUAAAGCCUUGAUCUCAUGACCCAAAGUGGUACAUGUUAUCGACAGUCUUGAGCUGUUCAUAGCAUCUAAAUCCCUAAGCUCAUGACCUAGAGUCAUUCAUGUGAACCAUAACCUUCAUGUGAACCAUAACCCUAAGAUGUUCGUAGUAUAUAUUACCUUUAGUUCACAACCCUAAGUCAUUCAUGUCAUCCACAAUCCUAACCUGCUCAUUGUAUUUAGAGACCUCAACUCAUGACCAAGAGAAACUCAUGUCAUCCACAGGCCUGAGCUGUUCAUAGCAUUUAGAGCCUUGAGUUCAUGACCUAAAGUCGCUCAUGUCAUCCAUAACCCUAAGUUGUUCAUAGCACAAAGAGCCUUGAGCUCACGACCUGUAGUCUUUUAUGUCAUUCACAACCAUGAGCUAUUCAUAACAUCAAGAGUCCUUGGCUCAUGACCUAGAUUCAUUCAUGUCAACUACAACCAAGAUUUGUUGAUAACAUCCAGUGCCUUAAGCUUACGAAUAAGAGUAGCUCAUGUCAUCCAUAGCCUUGAGCUUUUAAUAGCAUCCAGAGUCGUGAGCUCAUGACUUGGAGUCAUUUAUAUUAACCACAACCUAGUGUUACUCAUAGCAUCUAGAGUCGUAAGCUCAAGACCUAGAGUGGCUCAUAUCAUUAACAACCUUGAGUUGUUCAUAGCAAUCUAAAGCCCUGAAUGCAUGACCUAAAGUUUUUCAUAUCAACCACAACCUUAAGAUGUUAUCGUAUCUAUAGCCCUUAGCUUAAAACCCUGAGUCAUUCAUGUCAUCCACAACCCUAAGCUCAUGAUUCAGAGUCUUUCAUGUCAUUAAUAGCCCUGAGUUGCUUAUAACAUCUAAAGUACAGAGCUCACAACCUAGACUUAUUCAUGUCAACCAUUACCCAAAGCUAUUUAUAGCAUAUAGAGCCUCGAUCUGACGACUUAGAGCCAUUCAUGUAAACCACUGCCCAGAGCUGUUCAUAGUAUCUAGGGUUCUUAGCUCACGAAAUAGAUUCGUUCAUGUCAAGUCUACCCCAAUGUUAUUCAUAGCAUCUAGAGUCCUCAUCUCCUUACAUGGAGUCAUUCAUGUCAACCACGGCCCAGACUUAUUCAUGGCAUCUAGAGCCCUGACUUUAUGACCUAAAGUCUUUCGUGUCAUUAAUAGCCCUAACUUGUUCAUAACAUUUAGAGCCCUGAGCUCAUGACAUAGAGUAUUUCAAAUCAACCAUAACCCAACAUUGUUCAUUACAUCUAGAGCCCUAAGCUCACGACCCAGAGUAGCCCAUGUUAUCCACAACCUUUAAUUGUUUAUAGCAACUAAUCCCUUAAGUUAACGACCAAGUGUCAUUCAUGUCAACAACAACAACUUUGAGCUUUGAGCUCAUGACCUAUAGUCUUUAAUGUCAUCAAAAACCCUGAGUUGUUCAUAGCAUCAAGAGCCUUGAGCUCAUGACUCGGAGUUGUUCAUGUCAACCACAACUUAGAGCUGUUAAUAGCACCUUAAGCCCAGAGCUCACAAGAAAGAAAAGCUCACUUCAUCCAUAACCUUGAGUUGUUAAUAGCAUUUAAAGCCUUGAGCUCAUGAACUAGAGUCAUUCAUGUCAACCACAACCCAGAGUCGUUCAUAGCAUCUAGAGCCUUGAGCACAAGACUUAGAAUGAUAGAUGUCAUCAACAACCCUGAUUAUUCAUAGAAUUUAGAGCCUUGAGCUCUUGACCCAGAGUCUUUCAUGUCAUCGACAACCCUUAGAUAUUCACAACAUCUAAAGCUCUAAGCUCAUAACUUGGAGUCGUUCAUGACAACCACAACCUAAAGUUGUUCAUAGCAUCUAGAGCCUUGAGCUCACGACCUAGAGUACCUCAUGUCUUCCACAACCCUGAGCUAUUAAUAGCAUCUAGAGCCUGGAGUUCAUGAAUUGGAGUCUUUCAUGUCAACUACAACCUAGAGUUAUUCAUAGCAUUUAGAGCCCUGAGCUCAAGACCUAGAGUGGCUAAUAUCAUUCAUAACCCUAAGAUGUUCAUAGCGUCAAGAGCCAUGAGGUCACAACUCGGAGUCUUUCAUACCAACCAUAGCCUAGAGUUGUUCAUUGCAUCUAGGGCCCUGAGCUCAUCACCUAGAGUUGUUCAUGUCAUCCACAACUUUGAGUUGUUCAUAGAAUCUUGAGCCCUGAGCUCAUCACCUAGAGUUGUUCAUGUCAUCCACAACUCUGAGUUGUUCAUAGAAUCUUGAGCCUUGAGCUCAUGACCCGAAGUCGUUCAUGUCAACCAUACCGUAAAGUUCUUCAUAACAUCUAAAGCCCUGAGCUUAUGAGCCACAUUUGUUCAUGUCAACCACUGCCCAAUGUUAUUCAUAGCAUUUAGAGCCUUGAGCUCACAACCUAGAGUAUCCCUUGUUUUCCGUAGCCCUUAACUAUUUUUAGCAACUAGUGCCCUGAACUCACCACCAAGAGUCAUUCAUGUCAACCACAACUCUGAGUUAUUCAUAGUAUCAAGAGCCCUUAGCUUAUGACCCAUUGUCUUUCAUGUCAUCGAAAACCCUGAGUUGUUCAUAGAAUCAAGAGCCCUAAGCCAAUGACCUGGAGUUGUUCAUGUUAACCACAACCUAGAGUUGUUCAUCGCAUCUAAAGCCUUGAGUUCAUAACCUAGAGUAGCUCAUGUCAUCCAUAACCUUAAGUUGUUAAUAGCAUCUAGUCCCUGAGCUCUCUAACUGAAGUCAUUCAUGUUAACCACAAGCUAAGGUAGUUCAUAGCAUCUAGAGCCUUGAGCUCAACACCCAAAGUGGUUGAUGUCAUCUACAACCCUAAGUUGUUUAUAGAAUCUAGUGUCGUGAGCUCAUGACCCGAAGUCUUUCAUGUCAACCCCAACCUAGAGUUGUUCAUUGCAUCUAGGGCCCUAAGCUCAUGACUCAAAGUCAUUCAUGUUAUCCAUAACCCUAAGCAGUUCAUAGAAUCUAGAGUCCUGAGCUCACGACCUAGAGCAUUUCUUGUCAUCGAUAACCCUGAGCAAUUCAUAGCAUCUAGAGCCUUGAGCUCACGACCCGAAGUUGUUCAUGUCAACCAUAACCCAGUGUUGUGCAUAACAUCUAAAUCCUUGAACUCAUAGUCGAGAGUGGCUCAUGUCAUCAAUGGCCCUGAGUUGUUCAUAGCAUCUAGAGCUCUAAGCUCAUGACCUAGAGUCUUUCAUGUCAAGCACAAGUAAGAGAUAUUCAUUGCAUCUAGGGCCUUGAUCUCACGAUCAAGAGUCAUUCAUAUCAUCCACAACCUUAAGCUAUUCAUAGAAUCUAAGCCUUGAGCUCAUGAACCGAAGUCUUUCAUGUCAUCGACAACCUUGAGUUGUUCAUAGAAUCUUAAGCCCUAAGCUCACAACCUGAAGUCUUUGAUUUUAUUGAAAACCUUGAGCUAUUCAUAGCAUCUCGAGCCCUAAGCUCACAACCCGGAGUCGUUCAUGUCAACCAUAGCCCAAAGUUGUUCAUAACAUCUAAAGCCCCGAGUUCAUGACCCAAAGUGGGUAAUGUCAGUGACAUCCUUGAGCGGUUCAUAGCAUCUAAAGCCUAAAGCUUACAACCUAGAGUCGUUCAUGCUAGCCACAACCCAAAUCUAUUCAUAGCAUCUAAAGCCCUAAGCUUAAGACCUAAAGUGGUGCAUGUCAUCCACAAUCUUGAGCUGUUUAUGGCAUUUAGAUCCUUGAGCUCACGACCCAGAGUCAUUUAUGUCAACCACUGCCUAAAACUGUUCAUCUCAUCUAGCGGCCUUAACUCACGACCCAAAGUAGCUCAUGUCAUUUAUAGCCCUAAUCUUUUCAUAGCAUCUAUAGCCUUGAGCUAACAACCUAGAGUCGUUCUCAUCAACCACAACCUAAAGUUAUUCAUAGCAUCUAAAACCCUAAGCUUACGACUAAGAGAAGCCCAUGUCAUCCACAAACCUUAGUUGUUAAUAGCAUUUAGAGACAUGAGCUCACGACUUAGAGUAACUCUUAUCAUUCAAAGCCUUGAGCUGUUCAUAGGACCAAGAGUUUUGAUCUCACAACCCAUAGUCUUUCAUAUCAUCGAUAGCCCUAAGCUGUUUAUAGCAUGAAGAGUAAUGAGCACAUGACCUGUAGUCGUUCAUGUCAACCACAACCUAUAGUUGUUAUACAUCCUGAGCUCAUGACUUGGAGUAGCUCAUGUUAUCUAUAACCUUUAGUUCUUAAUAGUAUCUAGAGCCUUGAGCUCAUGACUUUGAGUUUUUUAGGUUAACCACAACCCAGAGCUAAUCAUAGCGUCUAGAGUCCUGAGUUGUUCAUACACAAAGUGGCUCAUGUCAUCCACAACACUGAGCUGUUCAUAGCAUUAAGAUCUCUAAGAUCAUGACCUAUAGUUUUUCAUGUCAUCGAUAGGCCUAAGUUGUUCAUAGGAUUAAGAGCCCUGAGCACACGACCUGGAGUCAUUAAUGUCAACCACAACCCAAAGUUAUUCAUAACAUCUAGAGCUCUCAGGUCACGACAUAGUGUUGCUCAUGUCAUCAAUAACCUGAGCUAUUAAUAGCAUCUAGAGGCUUGAGCUGAUGACCCAUAGUUAAUCAUGUUAAUCAUAGCCUAAAGCUACUCAUAACAUCUAGAGCUUUGAGCUCAAGACAAAGAGUGGUUCAUGUUGUCUGCAACACUGAGCUGUUCAUAAUAUCUAAAGCCUAGAGAUCAUGACCUGGAGUCUUUCAUGUUAACCAUUGCCUAGAGUCAUUCAUUGUAUCUAGGUACCUGAGCUCAUGACUCAAAGUGGUUCACGUUAUCCACAGCUUUGAGUAGCUCAUAGAAUCUAGAGUCCUAAGCUCAUGACUCGAAGUCUUUCAUGUCAUUGACAACCCUGAGUUGUUCAUAGCAUCUAAAUCCGUAAGGUAAUGACUCAGAUUCAUUCAUGUCAACCACAACCCAGACCUAUUAUAGCAUCUAGAGUCGUGAGCUCAAGACCAAGAGUGGCUUAAGUUAUCCAUAACCUUGAGCUGUUCAUAGCAUCUAGAGCUCUGAGCUCACAACCCAAAAUCUUUCAUGUCAACCCCAACCUAACAUUGUUCGUUGCAUCUAGGGCCCUGAGCUCACAACCCAGUGUCUUUCAUAUCUUUAAAGUCAUUGUCUAAGGAAAAUAAUCACAAAAAUAAUAAAUAAUACUUUAAUAUAAGAUGUAUAUAUUUUCUUCAAAAGGUCUGUCUAGACUUCCACAAUUUUCUUGGACCACUUACCAACUUCAAUUAAUUGAAGAAAGUAUCAUUAUUAUUAUUAUUAUUAUUAUUAUUAUUAUUAUUAUUAUUAUUAUUAUAAAGGGUUGAAAAAAUGCAUAACAAGUCUAUUUGGUAUUUAUUUAUUUUUGUCUAAAAUCUAAAUAAACCUAAAUUAUUAUAUUUUAUAAUUCUAAAAUUAAUAAUUUAAGAAAUAGUAAUUUAAUAUAUUUACAAAUAUGUCAAAAUUAUUAAUUUAUUACCAUAAUAAAAAAUUUCUAACAAUUAAUUAUGUAAUUAGUAGAAAAUUUAUAAUUAGAUAAUGAUUAGGAUUUUUAUUUAUGUUUGGUUGUUAAGAAACUAUUAGAAGUUUUCUAAGCUGAAACUUAUUUUUAUGUAAUGUAUUUUUCUGAUUUAUGAAUAUUGUUAACUUUUUAUUUUUAAUUUGAGAAAAAAAUAAAUAUUAAUUUUGAAAAUUAAACAAUGGAUCAUAUAAUGAUAGAAUAAUAUUUUCUCCAUUGUGUUUGUUUAAUAGGUAGAUUCACAAAAUAUUUCGGACUUGUAUUUGAGAUUUACCAAUUUUUUCAAAUGAUUGGAUUAAGGUUCAGUCAUGAUUGGAUCAUAUAUAUUAGAUACUAUUCUAUUGAUGAGUAAAUCAAAUGAAUGAUGUAAAUUACCAAGCAUUGCCAAAAGAAAAAAAAAAAAAAAAACCUUUUUUUUUUGUACACAUAGACUAAGGAAAGUCAAUAAUUAAGAUGUCAUAAAGUCCUUCAAGAAAUGUCCAAGGAAAUUUUAAAAAUCAUGAAAAAAGAGUUAUAAAUGGUGUUUUAAUGUAUUAUAUACAUAUGCAUUUUUAAACUCCUCUUAGAAUUUGCUAUUCCGACAUUCUUUUUCCUUUUUCUUAUCUCAAUUUAAAUAGGCUUUAAUUUAACUUAAAUAUAAAUAGUAUAAAAUUAAAUAGGCUUUAAUUUAACUUAAAUUUAAAUAGUAUAAAAUAUUAAGUGAUUUGUUUUCUUUUUUUUUUCUUUCACUUAAGUCUUAAAACAUAUUGUUUUAAUAUUUAAGUCAUUUUAAAUAUCGUUUUAUUUGUUUAACUUAUUAUUUUUUAAGACAAUUUUAUCUUAAUAGAAAAACUAAUUCAUUGUUUUUCUUUAAUCUUAAAUUUUAAAUUAACUUGUUUUAAGACUUAAGUUAAAAUUAAAAUUUUAAAUUUUAAAAAAACAAUAAACCCUUAAACUAUAUUUGUUUAUGAAAACAAACUAAGAAAAAUGAUUUUUUGAUUAAUGGUUUCAUUGUGGGAAUACAAAUAUAUAUAUUAAAAUUUUAUAGAUUUUAAAAUUAUUUAAAUUUUAUUUAAUAGAGAAAAAUAAAUUAAAUGGGUUAAAAAAAGAUAUUAAAAUAAUUUAUCUGAAAAUGGUCCACUGGAUAGGCACCUCCCACAAGAAAAUUAAUGAAAGCUAGAAAAAUGAAAAAAAUAAAAUUAAAAUUAAAGCUUCAUUUUUAUUUUUUUUUUUGCCCUAUAGACUAAGACUUUGUUUAGUCAAGAGUCAACAUGUCACAAAAUUCCUAAAGUCAUUGUCAAAGGAAAAUAAUAACAAAAUAAUAAAUAAUACUUUAAGGUAUGAUGUAUAUAUUUUCUACAAAAGACAUUUCUAGAGUUCUACAAUUUUCUCCGAUGGACCACUGACCAACUUCAAUUAAUUGAAAAAAGUUACGUGAAUGAAGGAACUUCCUACUCCAUGUUAAGUGAUAUGACAUAUAAAGGAAAAUAAAAUAUCAUGAAAAUUAUUAAAAAUUUUAUAUUUAUACAAUUCUUUAUUAUUAUUAUUAUACAUAAAGGGUUGGAAAAAUGCAUAACAUGACUAAGUGGUAGUUAUUAUUAUUAUUUUUUUGUCUAAAAUGUAAAUAAAUCUAAAUUAUUAUUUUUUAUUUUAAUUCUAAAAUUAAUAAUUUAAGAGAUAUUAAUUUAAUAAUUUACAAAUAUAUACAAAAAUUUAAAUUAUUACCAUAAUAAUUAUUUUCUAACAAUUAAUUAUGUAAUUAGCAGAAAAUUUAUAAUUAGAUAAUGAUUAGGAUUUUUAUUUAUGUUUGGUUGUUAAGAAACUAUUAGAAUUUUUCUAAGCUAAAACUUAUUUUUAUGAAAUGUAUUUUUUGAUUUAUGANNNNNNNNNNNNNNNNNNNNNNNNNNNNNNNNNNNNNNNNNNNNNNNNNNNNNNNNNNNNNNNNNNNNNNNNNNNNNNNNNNNNNNNNNNNNNNNNNNNNNNNNNNNNNNNNNNNNNNNNNNNNNNNNNNNNNNNNNNNNNNNNNNNNNNNNNNNNNNNNNNNNNNNNNNNNNNNNNNNNNNNNNNNNNNNNNNNNNNNNNNNNNNNNNNNNNNNNNNNNNNNNNNNNNNNNNNNNNNNNNNNNNNNNNNNNNNNNNNNNNNNNNNNNNNNNNNNNNNNNNNNNNNNNNNNNNNNNNNNNNNNNNNNNNNNNNNNNNNNNNNNNNNNNNUUACUUUAGUUAGUUUUGAUUAGAAAUUAUACUUUAAUUUAUGCUCUCAUUAUUAUNUAAAUCUAUUGAGGUAAAUAUCAACUAGCUAGAUAUUGGAUUUGUUAGAUAAGCUCAUUCAUGCAUUAAGCUCUCAAGUUUGACAUAUAAAAUGACCAUAGUACCCUUAACCUCUGUGACCAUAGUAUUAAACUUUUAAAAAACAUUUUAAACUUGAUGCAUUGGAACGGUAUGAUCAUUAUUAUUGAAUGAAUCUAUCAUUUUUUAUUGAAUGAAUAGGUUUUUUUUUUGCUUAAGUUAGAAUUUUUAUGAUUUUUGUUUUAGUUAGAACUUAUAAGCUAUGUUUGAUUCCUGGAAACUUUAAGGGAAAAUAUAAGGGAAUAAAAUAGAGAGGAAAAAUAUAAGGAAAAAAAAAUUUAAAUCACUUAUUUUAACUCAUAUAAAUAUUAAAUAAUUUUUAAAUGCAUAAAUUUUUAACUAUUUUUAAUUAUAUUUGAUUUUUAUUGAUAUUUUUUAUGAUAUAACCAUCCAUAAUAUAAUCAUUUUCUCUAUUAUUAUUUUUUAUUUUCUUGGCACUUUCAAGGAAACAAAAAUAAACACCUAGUAAAAUUAUGAUUUUAAAGGUAGCUUGGUUAACAUUAUGUGUACUUUUUGUUGAACUCUUUUCAAAGUGGAAUUUUUGUUAUAAAUUUAUCUAAAUACCUAAAAAAUCUCGUAAGCAACAACAAUUAUGUUUCUUUUACAUCUCAUUUAACAAUUAUUGUAAAGCUAUAAUGACUAGAUUGGGUUAGAUAGUUCACAAUUUGAACCUUUGGUUUCAAAAUUUAAUCAAAGAAAAUUUAGUAACCAAAUGUUUAAAAUUUAGGAAUGAUGAUGGACAAGUUUUGAAACUAUUUCAAAUUUUGAUACAACUAUAAAUCUAGAAGAAAUGAAGACCUUUUAGCAUAUAGAAAAGUUUCACCAAACUAAUAAUUAACAUAUAAAUAAGUAGGAUGAGUGUUUGAGACCGUUCUCUUUUUGUUGGAUUCGGUUCUAGUCCGACUCAAGGUUAAUAUAUUUUUAAUUUCCAUUUUGUUCAUUUAUGCAUUGAUUCAAAAAAACAUUUCAUGUACUGAUAUUUGAGAUUUACCAAUUUUUUUUAUAAGGAUUAGAUCAAGUUUCAAUCACAAUCAAAUCACAAAUUGCCUUUAUAUCCAUAAGUAAGUUAAUUCAAGAUAUUAAUUACCAAGUUUUUGAAACAUGAAGUCAUGGUCCAAAGAAAACGAAAUAAUAUUUUAUUUUUUAUUUCUAUUUCUCCAUUCUUUUGGUUAACUCACACGAAAUAGACUAAGGACUUUGUUUUAGUCAAGCAUCAAGAUGUCACAAUAAAAAAGAAAAGAAAUUCAAAUAAUGCUUUAAUGCAUGAUGUGUAUAUUUUUUCCAAAAAGCAUUUUAGACUCUUGUUAGAAUUUUCUCCUACGGAUUCUUUACUAACUUUAAUUAAUUGAAGAAAGCUAUAUGAAAUUUCCUACUCCAUGUUAAAUAUUAUAGCCUAUAAAGGAAAAUAAAAUAUCAUAAAAAUUAUUUAAAAAUUUAUAUAUAUUCAAAAUUUUUAUCAUAUAUAUAAAGGGUUGGAAAAAUGUAUAACAGGUUAAUGUGAUAUUUAUUUUUUGUCUAAAAUUUGAGUAGAUUUAAAUUAGACUUAAAUCUACUUAUUAGGUUGUUUACUUUUUAUCUGAGUAGAUUUAAAUUAGACUUAAAUCUACUUAUUAGGUUGUUUACUUUUUAUCAAUGUAUAAAUAUUGUUAAGUGUUAAAUUGCUUCUUUUAUUAAUGUCUACAGAGUUACACUUAUUUAUUUCUGUAUGUUAAAAAUAUCUAUGAAAUUAAUUAUUAUAUUUUUUCUUAUUUUAAUUUUAAAAUUAACAAUUUAAGAGAUAUUAAUUUAAUAUAUUUAUAAACAUAAAAAUAUUAUAAUCUAUUUUCAUAAUAAACAUUUUAUAAUGACUAAUUAUGCAAAGUGUAGAAAAAUAAUAAUUAGAUAAUUAUCAGGAUUUCUAAUUAUGCUUGGUUGUUAAAAAAUGUUAAAAAAUUUCUAUGUUAAAACUUAUUUUUAUGUAACUAUCUUCAAAUUUAUGAAUAUUGUUGAGAUUAAUUUAUUAAUUUUUAUUUUUAAAAUGGGAAAAAUGUAAAAAUCUAAAUUUUAUUUUUAAAUUAAUUGGAUUUUUUUUAUUCUAGUUAAUUACUAAAUGAGGGUAAAUUAGAAAUCUAAGUUCAAGGGCAUUAGCCAACCAAACUGACUCAAACCUAACCAAUCCAAUCUUAUUACUUCUUAUUUCCAUUUAAAGAUGUUUGUUCUAUUAAAAAAAAAAUGAUUACAUUGGUUCAUUGUUUAUGAACCAAUCAAAGCUAAACCAACCAAAUCUAUCUAUUAUAUAUAUAUAUAUAUAUAUAUAAACCAUUACAUUGGUUUGGUAUUCAUUUCAAAACAAUGAACCAAUAGAAACCGAAUCAAACCUAUAUAUUAUAUAUUAAACUUAAAAGAUGCAAAUUUUGAAUUUUCAAAAUUUGAAGUUGUUUUUUGAAGAGACUUCAUAUUUUGCUUCUCAUAAUUUACUAUAAAUUUAUGAAAUUAUUUUUUAGUUGUCAUAUUUUUUAAAAAUAUUUUAUUUUUUAAAAAUAAAUUCACUAAAUAUUGUCUCACAUGUAUUUGUGGUUCACUAAAUUUUUAAUAAUCAAAUCAAUAAAUUUGUAAAAGAAAAAUAUUAUAUUUUCUCCAUUUUGUUCACUUGAUAAACAAAUCUACAAAAAUGUCAAGCGAAUGUUUGAAAUUUACCUCUUUUUUUUUUUUUUGGUGGUUCUCUUUGGUUGAUUGUAUUUUUAAAAGCAUUAUAAAUCCCAAGAAAGUAAUAUUUUUUUCUUUACCAUUAUAGUUCCCAUAGUGUUUGAACAUAUCUUUGCCAUUUUUUUCUUCUUGAUCUAACUACAAACUUGACUGCACAAACUUGGUCAGCAAUGAGAAUAAAAGUGAGGAGGGUGAUGAAGUUCUCCCUAUACUCUCCUCUCUCUUUUUAACUUUCCACGUUUUAAUUGUAUAUCCCCCUCAACAGUAUAGUUUUAAGGUAUGUACACUUUAAUCCUGAUGGACUAAAGGCCCAUAAUUCAUCUCAAUGGGUCAACUAAAAUAUUAUGAGCAAGGUGAAGCCAUGGGCCUCUGCACCAUACAUUAAAUUGAUUAUGGCCCAAAACAAUACCCAUGCACAACCAAAUAUAGUUUACAAUAUACGUAGUCCACAAAAAACAUUUGACAUUAAUAGGUGAAUUUAGGUGAUUAUGCUACUCCAAUAACAUAUGAUUACAUUUUACUCUCUCCCUUUAAUGUUAAAUGACCAAUCAUGAAACAGUAAAAAGUUUUAUUUGAAAAUUUAUAUAUUUUCAAACUCUUGAUUCCUCUUUAUAAAUGUGGAUAAAGUUAGAGAUUGUCUUUUGAAGAAAUUUCCUAUUUUACUUUUCAUAAUUUCCAACAAAGUAAGAAAUUGUUUUUGAAUUGUCAUAUUUUAAAAAAUAUUAUAUUUUUUUUUCAAAAUCCCCAAGGAAUAGAUCCAUUGAAUAUUAUUUCACAUGUGUAUAUUGUUCACCAAAUUUUUAAUAAUCAAAUUAAUUAAUGUAAUGAAAAUUAUUGAAAUAUUACUUCUUGUUUUUUUUAGUCUAACAAGCACCUUAUGCGCAUAGGUUACGGUAGUUUUAAAGUCAAGUCUUUCCACACCAUUGCUUAAUCAAAAGCUAAGUACCGUAAAAAUAAAAAAAAUAAAAAAAAUUAGACUUUUGAUAUUUUUCUAAUAUUUUAAAAAUGAAUUUAUAAAAACUAGUAAUUGUAAAAAUAAUUUGGGAGGUAACGUAAUUAAAAAACUAAUUUUUAAAUUUAUAGAAGCUUAUAAAGUACUAAACAUAAAAUUACCUCUCGGUGAAAUAACUUCAAUAUAAUUACUUUACACUAAAUUACCCUUUGAAGAAACAAUUCUAAAUUUCGAAAUCUAAAAUAAAGUUAUCUCGAUAAAAAAUAAUAAUUCCUCACUUACCCCAAAGUUAAUAGUUUUCUGGUUAUUCUAUUAACAUUUUCUUUAAAACAAAUACUAUAUUUGGUCAAAAAAUAUUGAAAAUUUCAAAAAUAUCUUAUAUUCACUUGUAUGACAUAAAUUAAAGACUUUAUUAAACAUAACAUUAUUACAACUAAUGUCUAUGAAACAUUUUUUUCUAAGCCAAAAUUGAAGUACUUAGAAUAAUGACAACAUAUACAUAGCAAUGAUUUGACUUGUUUAGAGUAACGAAUCUAUUUCCCAUAAGGAAAUAAUUGAAUCUAAAAAUUACAUGUUUCUUGGUAUAGACAGUAGAUUUAAGUUAUGUGUUUCUCUAUUUUACUUUUAAAGUUUUGUUAUGUUAGGAGAAGAGUAUUUGAUGCUACUAGUCUUGAAAUUUAUUUUUUAAUAAAAACUAUUAUGGAAAUAAAGAAAAAGUUUCUAGUGAUGCUUAUCCUCCCUUCUUUUCUUUAAGUUAAAAGUGAUAAAUUAUUAGGAAUGACAAUGAAGACUUUUUUCAAGUACCUAUCUCACUCAUAAUAGGAAGGGUUUGAGAUAAAGAUAAAUGAGUUCGGGAUGAGUUUGAGAAUUUUUAAAAAACCUAGGAUGGGUUGGGACAGAUUCGGAUAUGACUUUAUCUUCUUGAUGCAAUUAUAUAUAAUUUUAAAUAAUAAAAAAUUAUUUUAAUUGAUUCAUUUUUAUUUUUGAACCUUUUAAACAUAACUAAAAUAUUAAUUUUCAUAAAAAUAAAUUAUAAAUAAUAUUUUUUAUUUAUAAACCAUAUUUAUUUUUAUUAAAAUUUAAAAAAUUUUAAAUAAAAAAUUGAAAAUUUUUAAACAGGGCAAGCGUCGGGCAGGAAUGGGAAUAGAUAUAAAUAAAUAAGACAGUUUGAGAUAGGGGCGACCUAUCUCAAACCCACCCGUUGCCACCCCUAUCAAUUAUGGAAUAGUAAAAAAGUUAUUGAAAAUUUAUAUAUUUCCAAACUCUCAAAAAAAAAGAGAAGAAUUACUAAAAUUCAUAGGUCAAAAAAAAAAAAAAACCUAUUAAAACUUAUUUAGCUUGAAGGUAAGUGAACUAAUUUGGAACAGGAGUAAAAGAAAAUAUUAUUAAUUUUGUUGUGCUCAAUCUUUAUUUUGUUUUAAGCUUCCUUUCCUCUUUUUAUUAUUUUUUAUUUUUUUUUUAUCACUUUAUCUUUUGUCCCUUAUAGUUUAGUUCAAAUUUAAAAGUAUGAAGAUGAAGCAGUUGUAGUAUAAAUCUGUGAAAGUUCAAGUCUUACUUCUAACUAGGGGUAGUUGUUUUAUGUCUAAAGACUGUUUACUAUUGGAGCGUUUGUCUCAGCAUAUAGAAGGAGCGGUGGUGCCCCGCCCUAACUAUUAUUAAGGUGCUACCCCUAACUAUUAUCAAGGUUCUAGUUGAUCACCCCUAUUUUCUAACAUUGCAAUUCAGAACAAGCCAUCAUUGAAACUAUCAUUGCAUAAUCAAUCUCGAAACUUGAGAGAUCACUUUAUUACAAUUUGUCCUUCCAAUAGAUGUUCAAUCAACCAAAUAAUUAGCUAUAAGAAUUUUCAUAUACCCAGAAAAAGAACACCCUUUUUGGUCCGGUUAAAUAGUUUAAAUUGCUUGUUUUCAUUUUGUAGUGUGUAAAAUGGUGGUUGUUUGCAAUUCAGGUGUUGCUUUCUAUUUGUUCUCUAUUGAUGGACUCGAACCCUAAUGAUCCCCUGGUGCCAGAGAUUGCUCACAUCUACAAGACGAUUGAAGCAAGCAUGAGACAACUGCAAGGAGCUGGACCCAAAAGUAGGCCAUGGGUCAAGUUUUGCAUUUUUAUGUGUGGGAGCAGGCCCUUUCUCUCUCUCUCUCUCUCUCUCUCUCUCUCUCUCUCUCUUCAAUCCUAAAAUGGACAAAAAAGAAAAGUCCAAAACAUGCUCUCAAUUGAAAAGAUGAAAUAUCUCUCUAUCUCUCCCUAUCUCUCUCUUCAAUCCUAAAAUGGACAAGAAAGAAAGGUUCAAAACAUGCCGGCCCUCAAUUGAAAAGAAAAAAAAAACAAAGACUCAAUUUUUGUAUUGUUUGAAUGCAAUCACACUCGUGGAUUUUCUAAUGUUUCGAUUCGAUCUAUUCUAACCGAGCACUUACCGGGCUUGCGAUAAUUAAAGAGAAGACAAAUUUUCCAUUAUAAAAGUUUAGGAGUGAAAGUGUGGACAAUUACCCAAGGUGUGCAUGGUUUGAUUAGUUCAAUUUUAAGUAUAAAAUCAAAUCAAAUUAGUCUCACUACUACAAAAAUAGUUUAUGGUGUCACUAUUUACGGUGUCACUUUUAAAAUAAUGACACCAUAGGGUUUAUAAUUAAUAAAGGUGACACAUCAUAUAAAAAAUCUUCAAUUGAGGUAGUUAGAUGAUAUUAAUUUUAUAUUUAUAGUGUCAUUUUUUGGGAAGUGACAUCAUAUAAAAUAAUUUUUUUUAAGUAUUAUAACUUAAUGAGCCCACUUUUAGAAUUAAUAAUGAUGGAUACUAUAUAAAAAUCCCAUUAUUUCCAUAUCUCACCCACAAUCCAAAAAAUCUCAAUAUAUAAAUCCUAUAUAUAAAAUCAUGAUCUUCUUCAACCUUUUCUCUCACCCAUCCAUAGUCAACACGCUCAAAACCGACAUUCUUCACUUUGUGGACUCUCAAGUAACCCAAAAUCUCUUGGAUCUAUCAUUUUUUUUCUUUUAUUAAUGCCAUUAUAUUAAUUGUUUCAACAUCUUUGUAUUAUGGUUUUUGUGAAUUGUGUUUUCUUGAGUUGUAGGGAAGAAAAAUUUAGGUUUAAUCUUCUAGUAUGGAAGAAAAAACUAUAGAUUAAUUGAUUUUUUUUAAUCUAAACCAAACACGUGAUCAAGUCCUUAAAAAAAAAGUGAAAAACAGGAAAAAAGUGAAUGAUUUUUAAUAUGUAUUUGUGUGAGUGUGACAGGUACAAUUUUUUUUUAAGAUAUACUAUCACAUAAUCUUCAUCCUUUCUAAAAAACGAGAGAGGAAAAAAAAAAGAAUGAUUUUUCUGUUUGUAUCUAAGUGGGAAUGAGAUAUAGAAUUUCAUUGAGAGUAUCCAACCCCAAAAUGACCAAUCCGGGAAGGCAUGUGUGGUAUUGAUGGGAGAUGAUAAGAUGGAAAUCAUAACCAUAGCCAUGUUCUCUCUGUGUCUUUCUAUCAUCUUCAAUUAAUUCAUGGGCAUAGAUAUUUUAUUUAGUUUAUUUAUAGCUUAUUUAGUUUCUAAAAUCCAAUUAGUUAGAUAUUUUAUUUGAUUUUGUUUUUAUAUUUAAGUAUUUGAGUUUUGGAAAGUUUUUAUAUUUUGUUAAUAGAAAUAGAAAUUUUUAUAUUUUUUAUUAUUAGGAAUUUCUAUUUUGUUAAAUUGUAAGUAUCUAUCUCAAUAAGAGAUUAUUAAUAUUCAAAUGAAAGUGAUGAAAGAGAGUAAAUAUUUUAAUGCUCAAUUAUAUUUUAAUGUUAUUUUUUUUUUUACAUAAGGGUUUAUUUAUGUUUUCAAUUUUGAAGUUCCCUUUCCAAGUCCAGCAACAAAAGUAGUGUCCAACCUUAAAAUGGGCAUGUGUGGUAUUGAUGGGAGAUGAUAAGAUAGAAAUCAUAAUCAUAGUCAUGUUCUCUCUGUGUCUUUCUAUCAUCUUCAAUUAAUUCAUGGGCAUAGAUAUUUUAUUUAGUUUUUAUAUUUAGUUUAUUUAUAGUUUAUUUAGUUUCUAAAAUCCAAUUAGCUAGAUAUUUUAUUUGAUUUUAUUUUUAUAUUUAAGUAGUUGAGUUUUGGAAAGUUUUUAUAUUUUGUUAAUAGAAAUAGAAAUUUUAUAUUUUUUAUUAUUAGGAAUUUCUAUUUUUUAAAAUUGUAAGUAUCUAUCUCAAUAAGAGAUUAUUAAUAUUCAAAUGAAAGUGAUGAAAGAGAGUAAAUAUUUUAAUGCUCAAUUAUAUUUUAAUGUUAUUUUUUUUUACAUAAGGGUUUAUUUAUGUUUUCAAUUUUGAAGUUCCCUUUCCAAGUCCAACAACAAAAGUAGUGUCCAACCUUAAAAUGGGCAUGUGUGGUAUUGACAGGAAAUGAUAAGAUGGAAAUCAUAACCAUAGCCAUGUUCUCUCUGUGUCUUUCUAUCCUCUUCAAUUAAUUCAUGGGCAUAGAUAUUUUAUUUAGUUUUUAUAUUUAGUUUAUUUAGUUUCUAAAAUCCAAUUAGCUAGAUAUUUUAUUUGAUUUUGUUUUUAUAUUUAAGUAGUUGAGUUUUGGAAAGUUUUUAUAUUUUGUUAAUAGAAAUAGAUAUGAGGACUUAAAGGGUUUAUAUUUAGGUAGUGCUUGAGCCAAGGAAAAUGAUAGUCCACUAUCUUGACCCUAUGCAUCACAAACUAUGUGAGGACUUAAAGGAUAUCGUAAACAUGUAAGUUCUUCUUAUUAAUUUUCAUAGUAUUAUUUUUAAAUAAAAAAAAUACAUUCACCUCAAACACAUUUGUUUUAUUAUUUAUAUAUAUUAAAACAUAUAACAUUUACCUAUUUUAAAAAUGUACCCAUUGAACUUAUUUACAUAGGGCUCUUCGAAUAUCUGCAAAGAAAACAUCUAAGAGGGAGCCAUCUUAGCAACUAGUGCAGAUGACAUCCAAAAAUUUUUCUUUACACAUUAGCUUAUGCAUUUGCACCAUUUAUAUAUGUAAGUACUAAUGUUAUUUUAUAAUUGAUCGAUUAGUGUCCAAGACAAGAAGGAGGGUUCGAAUGUGGCUACUUUGUUAUGAGAUUCAUUAAAGAGAUAAUUUUUUAUCCUACAAUUAUUGCUUCAAAGGUAUUACUUAUUUAAUGAAUUGUACAUAGUUUUAGGCUUCCAAAUGUUAUGCAUUUUAAUGUUAUUUUCUUAUUUGAUUUCAGUUUGGUAAUAAAAAAAACAUAUUCUCAAGUAGAAUUCGAUGAAAUUAGAGGAGAAUGGGCUACUUUUGUGCUACAACUAAUCAUGAAUCAUGUUGAUGCAUCAUGAUCACCAUGCAUGGUGAGUCCCUUAGCUACUACAUGAAUUUUUCCAUAGGUAUUGUAUAGUAAUGCUUAUUCUUUGAAUAAUGUUUCUAUUUGAAAAAAAAAAUUAAUUCUUAGAUUUGUUCAUUUAUGAUAACAUAGAUCCAUGUUUAUUUUCUUCAAUAAAAAUCUCUAAAACUUAUUAAAUUUUGAAAUGCAGGUAUACACUCUUGGGAUGGUGAAAUGGAGAAUAAAAAGAAAGAAGAAGGCAACAAGAUUUUGGGUUUUUAAAUGCAACUCUUAUGUCAUACGUUGUAGGACAUAAACGUUACUUUAAUUGCAACUGAGAAAUUUAGAUUUUUAGAUGGGACUUCUAUGUCAUUUUAUGGUUAGCCGGUUUUAUGCUUAUGAAAUGGAGGUAUACAUGAAUCUUGGGAUCUUUAACAUUUCUAAAUCAUGUUUUGGUAUGUAUUCACUCUUCUUUUUUAGUUUUGAUGGGUUUGAUAUGUUGGACGUACUAACCUUUUGUGAACAUUUGAUAUACAAAUAUUAUUAGAUGAUCAAUGUAUUAUGAGUUAUUCCAGAAACAUUAUAGAAAAAUGAGUUAAAUAUAAUAUGAUUGUUAUAUUUAUGGACAAAAUAUAAACAGGUUAAUCUUAUUAAUUCAUAAGCAUUACAAAAAUCAACAACUAAAACCAAUCAUAUAUUCCACAAUAAUUUACAAUGAUGUGAUACCAUAACUCAAAGGUGAUGCAUUUAAUGUGACAUCAUAACUCAAAGAUGAUGUAUUUAAUGUGACACCCUAUCAUCACUAGAAAUAUAUGGUGUCACUUCUGAAUGGGUCACCAUUUAUCUACUUUGGUGUUACUUCCAAAUACGUCACCAAUUGGUACCCUCUAUGGUGUCAGUGGAGAAGGUGACGCUAUGUUGUAGUGACACCUUAUGUUUAUGGUGACUCGUUAUAAAUGUCACCAUAUACCUUUUUCCUUGUAGUGUCUUAUGUGCUUUUACGUAUGAAGAAUUGAACUAAUUAGUUUGGUUUGGUGGAACUAGAUUUGGUUUAAUAACAAAACCAAGAUGUACAUUCUCUAUUAUAGCCCAAUGUUGAAAUUAAGAGGAUGAUCGAGUAUUGAGAAAUGUAAAUAUUAAAGUAAACAACUUGAACCUUAUUUAUUUUUCAUUUCAACCUAGUUUGAGGCUUUGUCUGAUUUGUAUAUAAAUUUUAGUUUAGUUGAUUUAUUACUAGUUAAUGAAUUGUUGAUCGAAAUGCAUUGAUUCCGUUUUAUAUUUUGAAAAUUGAAAUUGUUAAAAAAAAAAAGAAUUAAACUCUAUCCAUUUAGAAUGGUUUGAUUAUUUUCAUUGAAUGAAUUGACCAUCUGUUGUUUAGUGAAUUAGGUGUUUUUUUUUGUAAGAGAAGAAAAUAGAGAGAGAAAAUAAAGAAAAAUAAAAAUAGUGUAAACAUCAAAAUUUUUAGUGAAUUAAAUUAUCAUUAAAUUGAUCUUUAAAAUUGUUACUUCCCAGUUCAACAAAAUUUGUGUUUGAUGAGUGAUGGAUCACACAUACAUUUGACCUAUGACAUAUAUUAAAAAGGUGACGCGUGACAAAAUUUGGAAUGUUACAAAAUUUGGUCUUACAAUUAAAUUAUCACUAAAUUGAUCUUUAAAAUUGUGGCUUCCCGAUUCAAUAAAAUUUGUGUUCGACAAGUGAUGGAUCACACAUACAUUUGACAUAUGACAUAUAUUGAAAAUGCGACACGUGAAAAAAUUUGGAAUGUUAGAAAAUUUAAUCUUACAAAUAAAAUCAAAUUUUCCAAUUAAAGCUAAAAGAUAAUUAAAAAUAAAUAUUCUCUUAUUAGCAAAUUUAUUUAAUGAAAAAAGACAAGUCGUUAAAAUUAAGAAAACAAAUUCUUUGAAUUAAACAACUAAAUAUUGAAGAAUUAUAAAAUUUAAUUCCCUAAUUUCACCUAAAAAUAAGGUUAACUUCCUUUAACCAGGGGAUUGACAAAACAAUUCCAUAGGUAAAAAGGUUUCACAAAGAAGAAAAGAUUUUACACUUCAAAUAUUUAUUUAUUUGUUUAAAUAAAUAAAAUUGUAUAAUGGACUCUUUAAUUCAAAUAUAGUAAUUACCAAAUCUUUAAAGUUUUGGUCAUUGAGAAAAAAAAAAAAAUCCUUCUCUUGUCCACAUGUCAUGGACAAUUUGUUUAAACGAGGAAUCCAUAUGUCACCAAUUAAGCUCUAAGGUCACUCUCCCAAGGGAAAGGUUCCAAGAAAAGAAAAUGACAAAAAAUUCAAAUGGUGGUUUAAUAUAUAAUAUAUAAUAUAUUAUUACUAUUAUUAUUAUUAUUAUUAUUAUCAUUAUUUUAUUUUAAUCUAAGAGGUACUUCAGGCAACUGUAUUAGGCCAAUUUCUUCUUUUGUUAUAUCAUUUAUUUAUAAUAAGAUAGAUAUUUUAAAUAAAUAUACAUUCAUGCAUAAGAUAAUAAAUAUGAAAAUAAUAUAGGUAGAAAAAUACACUAAGAUAAUAAACAACCAUUGGAAGUAAAAUUAUAUUUUGCUUAUAUAUGAUAUAUCUUUUUAAUAAUAAAUAUUAUAAUAUAAUUAUUUAAUAUAAUUAGAAAUAUUAAUAUAUUUAUGUUUUAUUUUUAUUAUGAUUUAAUAUGGUAAAGAUAGAAAGGCAUUUUGAUUAUUUGUAUUUCUUAAUUUUAUGAUGAUUAAAUUAUAAUAUUAUAAUUUUUUUUUCUACUUUCGUGAAAUCAAAUAUAACAAAAGUACUCUUAGACAUUUCAAAGCUAUGAUUAUUGAUUUAAAACAAAAUAACAAACACUAAUAGUUUGUCAAAAUUCGUUAAUCUAUUUUUUAUUUGCAGCAUGAAGAUCCGAAAAAUUCUUACAUUUUAUUUUCAAACUUUUGAUUCCUCUUUAUAAAUGUGGAUAAGGUUUGAGAAGUAAUGAAAAGAAUUAUUAAAAUUUAUUAAUCUUGAAAAGAAGUAAAGAAAAUGGGAAAUUAAUAAAAGAUUUUAUUAAAAUUUGGUGAGGUUAACCUUUUUUAGUUCCUUUAUUUUAUUUUUUUUACUCUAGUUUUCUUCAAUGUUAUCUUUCCUAGUAAUAUAAAUGAAGAUUUGGAAGGUACACAUGCCGUGAUAUGACCCACAAAUGAUUGGUUAUAGAAUAGUAGAAAGAAUUCACAUACAUUUUUUUUCUCAAAGUUAAUAUAUUUUUACUAGUUGUUAUAUAUCUAUUCUGUUGAUGCCUUCAUGAACUACUUCACAAGCCUAUUUGUCAAACUUGCAACACAAGAUGAUUGGGUAGUCAUCCGGCACAUCUCCUAUGGUCAAGUCAGUGAAUAACAAGAAAAGGAAGUGCUAAGAGUAGAUGCAAAAAUGAAUAUGGGAAUAUGAGUGAGAGAAUAUGAUAAAUGAAGCUUAUUCUUUUUGCUAGAGGCUAGUCAGACCUUUAUAGUUUAUUACCCAAUUAUGUUAGGCUAACCAUAAUGAGGUAAGUGGUCACCACGUUAAAAGAUUGGAAAAUAUUAAGGUAUUAAAGUGGUACCUAUUGACUUUCUAUCUUGAUUGUUGACUUUGAUAAAAUUAAUUUAGACUCUUAGCUAAAGAUACAAAUAAAUAAGAUCAAGUAUAAAAGUAUGAUUAAAUAAGACAUGAGAUCUAAAGGUACUAACUGAGUGCUCACCAUGACAUUGAUUGGUAAUGUUUUUUUAACAUCUGCUAAAAAAAGGUUCCUUCCGGUGUUAUGGUAAGAUCCUAAGAGAUUUGGCUCUCAGAGUCCUAAAACUCUAUGGUAUGUCUAGUGAAUUGUUCCUUUUUUUUUAGGCAUCGAAAAGAAUUGUUUCUCCAACUACAUUACUACCAUCACUAACUUCCUCACCACUACGAGGCCUAGAUCAACGACUAGCUCCUAUUCUCUCUUUUCUUCUUCGAAAUACUCGUGUAUUUCAAAUUUGGAGCCGAAAUCUGGUCAAAGAGAAACAAUAACCUGAAAUUCAACCUAGUUGCCCAGCCAUUCAUGAGAGGUCUCUAAAGAUUGUUGUCUUUUUCGCUUCACAAUGAAGAAAUGCAUAGUUGGGGAUCAAAUCACCGGCUAUCUGGUUCAGCUUCCAGAUCUCAAGUUUCGGUUCUCAUGCUAGCCAUGUUCUCCACCAUUGCAUCGAUUUAUGUCAUCGGCCGAUGAGUUCUCGCACUGUUUCGUAUUAUGAAUUGAUUUUCGUUUCUUAGCUAUAAUAGUGCCCAUGGUGUGGUUAAUUUCGUUAAUUUAGGUUUUUGAUUAUAAUUGGUCUAUUUUUUUCAAAAAAAAAAAAAUGUUUUUAUGGAAAUCUGUUAUUGGUAGGUUAUAGCUGGAUUUUGAGAAUAGGGUUGAUUUGAUUAAAGAGCUUGAUGGGAAAACUGGUCACAUGCUUUUUUAUCUUUAAUUUUGUGCAUUACCAUUUGUUAUUCAAUUGUAGCUUCAAAUUUUCUUCCCCACAGUUUGUUAAUGCAUUUAUUGGGACUAUUUUGUUAUCGAGUUUAAAUUAUAGAAUUAUAAUGAUACAAAGGGGGUCUUGACAUUGUAUGGAACCAAAAUCAGUCCAUCAUGGUUUAGAUUAAUUAUAUGUUCUACAGCAUUACAUUGCAAUGCCAAAUAAACCGGUGAUUUGCAUGAGCUCAUGCCUUUUUCUUUCUUUCUUUCUGUUUUUUACUCUUUUUUUCUUUUAUUGAAACAAUUGGAGUUUGAUACCAACCGAUUUUCAUAUUUUGAAAUUAAUCAUUCAGAGUAAUGGACUAGAUAAUGGUGUAGACCCCAUUUGAGGCUCAUUUUCAUGCAGCCCAUGUUUUGCCACGGGCUAGGAUUGGAGACAGCCACGUGUCGACUCCUGAGAGGUCAUAAGAGAAUCACGUUAGUGGAUUGAGCAGCAGUAAGGAAGUGACACGUGUUUGAGAAUAUUCUAGGGGAAGGAGGCCGUUAAGCAAGGAGAGGUGAUUUUUGUUUUUUAGAGAGAGAUCCUUUAGCUGCCGAGGGGGAGAAGUCUUUCUUGGAGGGGAAGUUUUUCCGGAGGGAGGGCGAGAGAUUUUUCUGGCGAGAGGGAGCAAGGGGAUUUUGUUGAAGGGUUUUGGGGAUUUUUCGGGGGGGGGGGGGGGGGGGGGUGGGUGGGGAGAGGUUACUUUGAGAUGGGAGACGGAGAAGGUCAUUAGAGAGGAACGUUUGAGGUGGGAUAUUCGAUGAGGAGUUGCAGAGAGAUAGAGAAGUGUGGAAGUAUUUCUGGGCUUUUCUCUGGAGGGGUCAAGAGGAGAUUAUUAGAGAGAGUGAGGCUGUUGAAGUUUUGGCUACUGAGAAGGAGAACCAGAGAAGGAAAAGAUUGCUUUAGUAGCAGUCUUUUGAGAGGGAUUUUGAGUGGAGCACUUACCAGAGAUGGAGCAGUGAGCUGCAGCCCAAGACACCUAGUUGAGGAAGAGACUUUCAGGUAUGGUUAUUAUGGUUUUCCCGUGUAUUUUCAUUCUUCAUAUCUCUCAUGUCUCAUUCUCUGUGAUUUCUACUCUGCUUGUUAGGUUGCUUUGGUUUGGUGAUUAUUGGUUUAAUAUUUGAAGAGCUUGCUAUAUUUUAUACUCUAUUCUGGCAAACAUUUUUCAUUUCAAUCCACUGAUUGUUGGACCCAUGGAUAAAAUGAGGAAAUGGGUUCAGCAUGUUUGUUGAAGGUUCCGUGUUCUUUUCCUGUUGUUAUUCUCUUGUUCCCUUGUUUUUCCCCUGAAUGUAUACUCAAGGCCUCAAGAUUGGGAGAAAGUGGGUUGAAGCUGAACUUGGCAGUCUAUAGUGUGGUGGUUAAUGGGUCUAAGUUCUCGCACUGAUUCAUCCUGGAUGUAUGGUAUUUCUAUAAGAGAUGCUAAAACAGAAGAUCUUGAUGAAAUAAAUAAUGGUGUAUGCAAUUCCUGAUAAGAAAAAUCAAUAUGGUUGCUGAGAAUGAUGACUGUUUCAAUAAGUCACCUACAACUGAGAUCCUGAUAACUGGACUGGACAAAUGGAGGUUCAUAAAGCCCAUUCAAAGAAAGCCCCUUGAUCGAUUUGAGAGAAAAGAAGCUGCAGAAGACUAAUUCUGGACCAUUUAUCCUGGUUCUCUCCACUACAGGCCUGAUUACAUCUGGUCUCAUUCCUUCAGGCCCAUUAAAUUCAUCAGAGGUUUCUGGUGCAUCAGGUCCUAUUGGAUCUCUGAAAUCACAUGUUGCCUCAAUUGCAUGCAAAACCGGCUGUGAUUAACUUGGGUCAAGAAGCAUGCAUUUGGGGUAUUUGUUGAGGAAGAACCGCUGUCACUGGUUUCAUUGUCCAUUAUCCAAAUGUUGAGCUUGAAAUUGUUAAGGGUGGCCAAUUCGUUGAGGUUUCUGGGUGUAGAGGAUUCCAGUAAAUCAGUUCUUGAUUUACGGCAUCCUCCUUGAUUGUAGGAGAUACGGUUUCCAUUGAUUUCCUAUACGGUUUCCAUUUGUAAUUAUCUUUUCUAAUUUAUCUCUGUAUUCAAACUCUACUCUGUCUUGUAUACGUAUAUAUAAAUGGAAAAACUCAACCCCAUAGAAGUGUGGUGGUUUUACAAACAUUGUUAUGGUAUCAGAGCGUCUUUGGAUUAACCUCCUCAUCCUUCCAUGGCCGAUUCUUCCUUCUCCUUCAACACCAUGAUCCAAAUGGUCACUAUUAAACUCUCCUCCACAAAUUAUCUUCUCUGGUGAAAUCAACUUCUCCCUCUUCUUCAAUGUCAGAAUCUCCUUAGCCAUGUCGAUGGUUCUGUUGUGGUGCCUCCAAUCACUAUCGUCGUUGAUUCUUCUUCUUCUCAACCGAAUCCUCAAUAUGUGGCAUGGCAACUUCGAGACCAACGUCUUUUCAGUCUCCUCUUCUCCUCCUUGACUGAAGAAGCCAUGGCCGAAGUUCUUAGUCUCACCACCGCUCGUGAUGUCUAGCUUGCCUUGGAAAAUUCCUUUAGCCAUAUUUCCAAGACUCGUGAGCUUUGCAUCAAAGAUGAUUUGCAACUCAUCAAGCGUGGCACCCGAAGUGCCAUUGAAUAUUCUCGUUCAUUCAAGGCUCUAUGCGAUCAACUCACUGCAAUGGGCUGCUUGGUGGAUGAUACCGACAAAGUCUACUGGUAUCUCAGAGGAUUGGGUGCUAAUUUUGCUAAUUUUUCUACUGCCCAGAUGUCUCUCACCCCAUUACCGGUUUUCAAAGACUUGGUUCCCAAAGCUGAAAGCUUUGAGAUUUUCCAGAAGUCAAUCGAGUCCUCUUUCCCUGUUUCCUCUGCUGCUUUUACUGCCACCAAUGGGUCUUUUUCUUCAUCUCGGGGUGGUAGUUCCUCCAAGUCUCGUUGUUCUCGUGACGGCUACCAUGGAGGCCAUGGCCCUGGACGUGGUAAAUGUGGCUCCUAUACUUCUCGGUGUCAAAUCUACAAGACUGAAGGUCACACUACUGAUCAAUGCAGGAGUUGUUACGAUCGUGCCGAACCUACGACAUAGCUUGCUAAAGGUUUUACCACAGCCUGUUCUCUCUCUAAUGGCUCGGAAUAUGAUUGGUUCACCGAUACCAGAGCAUCCGCUCACAUGACCCUUGAUCCUUCUCAGUUGGACAAGGUUGAGCCUUAUCAUGGUAAGGAUUACGUAAUGGUAGGAAAUGGUGCUUCUCUUCCUAUUACACACAUUGGCACGCUCUCUCCCUCUUCCAAUUUUCAACUUUUAGAUGUUCUUGUUGUUCCACGUCUUACCAAAAACUUAUUGUCCAUAAGCAAACUCACGUCUGAUUUUCCUCUCUUUGUCACCUUUUCUCAUGAUAAUUUUGUUGUACAGAAUCGAGUAACAGGAAACGACAGUGGCAAAAGGUAAACGAGAAGGUGGUCUGUAUGUGCUGGAACGUGGUCACUCUGCAUUUGUUUCUGUCCUUAGAAAUAAGAAUUUACAUGCUUCCUUUGAAUUAUGGCAUGCUCGCCUUGGUCAUGUAAAUCACUCUAUUUUAUCUCUUUUGAAUAAAAAAUGACAAUUAUUUCCCACUUCUUUAUUGCCUACUCCCUCUCUUUGCUCUACUUGUCAACUCGCUAAGAGCCAUUGCUUGCCUUUUUCCCCGAAUACUACUUGAUCUAAUGUUGUUUUAGGUCUCGUCCAUUGCGAUAUUUGGGGUCCCGCUCCCGUCAAAUCUAAUUUGGAAUUUAACUAUUAUGUGUUAUUUAUUGAUGAUUACUCUCGAUUUACUUGGCUUUAUCCACUAAAAUUAAAAUAUGAUUUCUUUGAUAUUUUCCUCCAAUUUCAAAAAUUGGUUGAAAAUCAAUACUCCACCAAAAUCAAGAUUUUUCAAAGCGAUGACGGUGUCGAAUUUACAAGCAACCGUUUUCAAUCUCAUCUUCAACAAUUUGGCAUCCACCACCAAAUGUCUUGCCCAUACACUCAUUUCCAAAAUGGUAGAGCUGAGCGCAAAUAUCGUCAUGCGACGGAAAUUGGCCUUGGUCUCCUCUUUCAUUCCCACGUUCCUUUUGGAUAUUAGGUUGACGCUUUCAGCACAGUGACCUACAUUAUCAAUCGGCUGCCUCUGCCUGUUCUUGAUGGUCUUUCACCUUUUGAAGUUUUAUUUGGUAAGUCUCCUAAUUAUGAGAAUUUCCAUCAUUUUGGCUAUCGUGUUUACCCAUGCUUACAGGAUUAUGCACCUCACAAAUUUUCUCCCCGUAGCUUACCGUGUAUUUUUCUUGGUUAUAGUUCCACACAUAAAGGCUUUCGUUGUUUUGACACCACCACUUCACGCACAUAUAUUACACGGCAUGCUCGCUUUGAUGAACAUUUUUUCCCUUUUUCAAAUACUUCCAAUGCCACUUCUAUUGUUGACAUUGGUCUCUCAAAUUUUUUUGAACCCUGCGCCCUUGAACCAUCUCCUAGCACAUCAUCUCCUACUACUAUGCAGGUCCCUCCUUCUCCUCCUUGCCAUUUUUGUGCAGAUGACUCUAUUGUUGAGCCCUUGUAGGUUUCCUCUUUUGCUACAAAGUCCACAUCUUCUUUAGCUGUGGUCUCGCCCAUACCUGUCUCUGCUACGACCUUGGUUCCUUCUGUAGCUCCCAUGGACCUGAUUCAUACCACUACUUUAGUAGCUCAUUCUACCUCUCAUCCCAUGAUUACAAGUGCCAAAUUCGAAAUUUUCAACCCACGCCACCCCACUCAUCUCAGCUUUGUGCAGUCUUCUCCAUUGAUCCAUGCCCUACUUGCCACCUCUGAGCCUAAAGGAUUUAAAUCAGCUGCCAAAAACCCAGCUUGGAUUGCUGCCAUGGACGACGAGAUCAAGGCGCUUUAAACAAAUCAUACUUGGGAUCUUGUUCCUCGGCCCUCCAAUACUAAUAUUGUCGGUUUCAAAUGGGUUUUUCGAACUAAAUUUAUUUUCGAUGGAUCCAUUGAGCGCUUCAAAGUGCGUUGCAAAGGGCUACACUCAACUUCCUUGUCUUGAUUACAUGACCACCUUCAUCCCUGUCGUCAAAGCCUCCACAGUUCGUGUUGUCCUCUCUCUUGUCGUGUCUCACAAAUGGCCCCUACAUCAACUUGACGUAAAAAAAAUGCCUUUCUCAAUGGCAUUCUUCAUGAAACUGUUUAUAUGGAGCAGCCCCUGGGCUAUGUUGAUCAUCACCAUCCCCUUCAUGUUUGCAAAUUAAAGAAGGCUCUCUACGGCUUGAAACAAGCACCUCAUGCUUGGUUUCAACAUUUUAGUUCAUUUCUUCUAAAACUUGGUUUUUUUUUGCAGCCGCACGAACACUUCUUUAUUUGUGUUCACUAAGAACGAUGAUCUUAUUUAUCUCUUUCUUUACGUUGACGACAUCAUACUCACCGGAAAUAACUCUACUCUCAUCAAUCGAUUUAUCUCCUAGCUGCACUCUGAAUUUGUUGUCAAGGACUUAGGCCCACUGAAUUAUUCUCUUGGACUCGAGGUAUCUUACAUUCCAUACGGUUUUUUCCUCAGCCAAGUUAAAUAUGCUACUAAUAUCUUGGCCCGUGCCCCACUGCUGGACAGUAAACCAGUUACUACUCUCUCAUGAUUGUCUCUCAACGGCUCUCCUCUUAAGGUACUCUAUUUGCGAAUCCGACCCUUUAUCGCUCCUUAGUGGGUGCCUUGCAGUAUUUAACAAUCAUGCGUCUUGAUCUUGCUCACUCAGUCAACUCUGUAAGUCAGUUUCUCCACGCGCCUACUGAAGUUCACUUUCAGGCAGUCAAGUGAAUCCUUCGCUAUGUUCAAGGAACACUUCAUUUUGGUCUCAAGUUUGCUUCAUGCUCUUCAAUAGGCUUAGUUGCAUACUCAGAUGCAGAUUGGGUUGGUUGCCUGGACACUAGACGCUCCACCUCUAGCUACUCAAUUUUUCUUGGCAAUAAUCUUGUCUCUUGGAGUGCCAAGAAAUAGCCGACGAUUUCUCGUUCAAGCUGCGAAUUCGAGUACCGCGCUCUUGCCCUUACUGCUGCUGAAGUUUUAUGGCUCACUCAUCUCCUACGUGACCUUUGGGUUACUUUAACUCAUCAGCUUUUCCUUUUUUGUGACAAGAAGAGUGCAAUUUUCUUGAGCUCCAAUCAUGUGUCCCAUAAGCGCGCCAAGCACAUCGACCUUGAUUACCAUUUCCUCAGUGAGCUCAUUGUUGCUGGCACCCUUCGUCUUCAACACAUUCCGUCUCACUUAUAACUGGCGGACGUCUUCACCAAGAGUGUCUCACGGGAUCUUUAUGUCUUCUUUCGCUCCAAGCUCCAAGUUUGCGUUAAUCCCACUCUUAGCUUGAGGGGGGCUAUAGAGGAUUCCAAUAAAUCGGUUCUUGAUUUACAACAUUCUCCUUGAUCGUAGGAGAUACGGUUUCCAUUGAUUUGUUAUACGGUUUCCAUUUGUAAUUAUCUUUUCUAAUUUAUCUCUAUAUUCAAACUUUACUCUGUCUUGUAUACAUAUGUAUAAAUGGAAAACUCAACCCCAUAGAAGUGUGGUGGUUUUACAAACAUUGUUACUGGGGUGGUUAUCUGUGACAAUAUCCCUCUGGAAUCAUUUUGAUACUCACUGUUAGCUGCUGAUUCAAUCAACACAUCCAUCCCCAUCCAUGGUUUCAUCUUUCCUAUGCUCAUUUCCCACCAACCCCCCACUACCCAUUCCACUAACUCCAUGCUUAUAUCCUUCGUACCCAUUUGUCAACAGCCCGUACUCAUCCUUUCUAACCUUCAUACGCACCAAUGUCCAUCACCUCCAUACCCACAUCUUCGUAUUCCAAUACUCCGUAAUCCACUCCUAUCACCCCUCCAAUACCCAUCAAUCCAUUUCUCUCACUAUUCUUGACUCAACCCAACACUAAUCCACACGUGCGAGGCUACCUUCAUUUCAUCACCUCUCAUAUUCAUCCCCAUCAUGCGUGCACUUAUGGUCGUCUACCAUACCCCCCAUGCAUUUCCAUUUUCCAAAAACCCACCUGAGAGACAAGCUCCAUGUGCAUGGUGCAUUCUUUCCCACAAAAUCUCGAUCAUUACUUAAUAUGGGCUCCAUUCGAGUUUGAGGACGUGCUUGAGAAAACGCUAACAGAAGCGAAUGCACUCCGUCCAGUCCAAAGCACUGUGCAUCAUGCUCUUAUCAUUUGCUACAGCAAUAUACCCUGCACACCAAACUGGUACUCUUACACUCAUCAAGCCUGAGCCAAAUGCUCCAUCAUAGACCACUCAGAAAUGCAUUGCCAGUCCGAGAAUAAAUUGCCUGGACUGAUUUUGAAGAAUAAAUAGUUUUCCUACGCCGCGCUGUUAUUCGGGUUUUUAUUUGGCCCAGAGUAUUGGCACCAUCAAUGCGACCAAUGUCAUGGAGACAUUGGUGAAUUCGAGAGCAUUGACGUUCCGGUAGAUAGCGUUCACAGCGACGACGCUAGAGUUUUCAAGGGCGUUGCCGUUGGGAACCCAUGUAACCAUAUAUCUCACUCGGACUGUACUGUUCUUUUGUUGGUUCAGUACAAUUCAUGCCUUGUUUGUCAUCAGGAGUUGCCUCCAUAAGUUUCUGGUAGUGUUCGUGCUCAACAAAGUUCAAAUGGUGGGUCAGCAGCCACUGAUCUACAGUUUUAUAGUUCGCGACACGGAGAUUCUUGCAAGCACACCGGAAUUUGCAUGGUCCAGCUGCUGGUGCAACACUUGUAGGCUGUAUGUAUAUAAACAAGCUUGCUCUCAUUAGGGCAACUGGCACAAGGGACAAUGUUGUUGUGUUGGGUCAUGCACAUUUGCACAUGAGAGCCUAUAUGAUGAUUUUAUAAAAUAAAAAAAAAUAAAAAAGUUCUUCAGAACCCUGUCCUCCUUGUUUCCAGUUGAUUUUGAUCCAAGAUAAGUAGCUAUGUCGCUGCUCUACAUACCAGGAGGACCAACCUCUCCCAAGAAUGAGGCCCUUCCAUCACCUCCAAGAAGGAGGUUCAUGCCGAAAAUGGAAGCUCUGAUGCCAAAGCCUCAUCUCCUACCUGUUUGGUUUAUGGUGUGAGAACGGUGAAUAAACUGAGAUUGUCCAAAGCCCUCAUGAUUCCUGAAGGAAUCACCGUGUCUGAUGCAUGCCGAAUGAUGUCAGCUCGGAAAGUGGAUGUUGUUUUGUUGACAGAUUCAAAUGCGAUUCUCUCUGGAAUUGUUAUAGACAAGGAUAUCGCCACUAGAGUUAUAGUGGAAGAACUGAGGCCAGAACAGACGGCAGUUUCAAAGAUUAUGACAAGGCAUCCAAUUUUGGUCAACUCAGAUUCGUUGGCUAUUGAGGCUCUUGAAAAAAUGGUGCAAGGCAAGUUUAGGCACCUUCCUAUAGCAGAAAAUGGUGAAGUUAUUGCUUUAUUGGAUUUUACAAAGUGCCUUUAUGAUGCUAUAUCCCGAAUGGAGAAGGUUGCGGAGCAUGGUAGUGCAAUCGUGGCUACUGUUGAAGGGGCAGAACGCCAAUGGGAAAGCAAUUUCUCUGCUCCGUAUAGUUUUAUCGAAAUGCUCAGGGAGUGGAUGUUCAAGCUUGCUUUGUCAACUAUCAUUUCGGAAAAUACCAAGGUGGCAAUAGUAUCACCCUCAGAUCCUAUCUCUGUUGCUGCUACAAAGAUGCGAGAAUAUCGGGUUAAUUCAGUUAUCAGCAUGACUGGAAUCCAGAUUCAGGGGAUAUUAACUUCAAAGGGUAUUCUUAUGCGGGUGUUUGGAUUGUGGACAUUGGGUAUUCGAUGCAAUGCAGGACAGAGAUGUGAUUUCUUGGACCCCUCUGAUUGUUGCAUAUGCGAGGUUGGAAGCAAGGAGGCUACUUUUAGAACAUUGGGAAUGCAACAAACUUCGCAUUUGCUGUUCUUGUACUAUCUGGCACAGUCGGCUGUAUGCAUGUGUUAAAAGAGGUGAGGAAGGCAAAAUCUGACCGUGGGACCCACCUUCUUUCUUUCAUGAAAUGCGUGGCCACCUUUAAUGGGCCACUCCUGAAACCCACGUGCUCCACUCCUCUAUUCUCAUGCAAACUUUCAAAAACGGAUUAAAAAAUAAAAAAUAAAAAAUAAAAUCUCGUUUUUACAUUAUUUUAAUUCUUCAUUCUUCUUUAUUGAUCUUAAAUAAACCCCAUUUUAACAAAUCAGCCCUUGCCAUUUUCAACCAGGCAUGCAUAUUUCAUUUUUGUUUAUUUAUUAUUAUUGUUACUAUUAUUUUCAGUUUCAUUUUUACUUUCAUUUUAUUUUAUUAUAUUAUCUUUUAUUAUUAUUAUUAUUAUUAUUUUUUAUUUUUCAUUGAUUUUAAAUAUUUUUCACUCCUUGACAAAUUUGGCUGCCACAUUUCUUUCUGGCAAACAUCUUUUAUAAAUCCUCCUUGAUUUUUAAUAAUUUUAUAAUUUUCACAUUUUUAAUAAGCAUGAAUUUAAUUUGAUAGUUUCAAGUGAUGGGAUUUACGGAAUUAAUUCAUACCAAAAUAAAUUGGGCUUUGGUGGGGGCCCAACAUUAAAGAAGUUUUAUUUAAAAUAAAAAUGAAUUUGAGUGAAGUGUCAGGUGUGUCAUUAGUGAUUUCGUAUUUGAUUUAGUGACAUGUGAAUCAUAUCUUAUGUUCAUUGUCGUGCACUAACCUCAUUUUUUUAAUAGCGCAUUAUGACUCGUUACCAAGGUAUGCACCCACUCUCACUCUAGCCAUUCUUAUGCGUGUUUUGAUUCUCAUAUGUGCAUGAUCGUUCUGAGUAUCCAUUGAUUUAAUUAUUAAUCAUCAUACUUGCUUUAUCUCAUUAGUAGAGACCCAUUUUUUUGGGACUUAAAGGGAUGUUACGGUCUUUAUCGUACCUUCCCAAUAAGUAACCUGAUCCUCGAUCCCGAUUUGGUUUUUUACAGAUCACCUGUUCCGAAAUAAAGAGUCACACUUAGGGUUUUCUUUCUUAUUUUGUUUACCCUUUAAAAAUAAAAUAAAAAUAAGUGACGACUUCAAGUCAUUUUCUUAAAAAUGAAAUAAUUUUUCAAAUAAAAAGCAAGCUCACCAUCGAGUGGAGAUGCAUGAGCCAAAAUGCGAGGUCCACAAAUGGGUUUUUCCAUUUUAAUAGUUUUCAGGUGCAAUGAGCCAAUGACACACUAUAAAUAAAUCAUAGUUAUCCUUCCUUUAUGUGGGGUUCUUUUUUUGGGGUUUUUGUUAUAAUAGAUAAAAUAUAAUCUAGAGGUCAUGGUGAUGGUUCUUCAAUUUUAUAGGAAUAGCAGAAGAAGUUAGCAACCCUUGAGAUGGAGUUAGUUGCAGCACAGCAAGAAGAUUUUAUCUCAAAGAACUUGUCAGAAAAUAAGGAGACUCCUCCUAAGAAAGAGCUUUUAGUUGUUGUAGGAAUUAUAACAAAGUUUGGCCACAAGAACAAUAGAGAUGCAAUCCAUAGGGCAUGGAUGCCAACUAGUAGAAUACCCUUCUUUUGUAAGUUUCGCUCUUUAUUCUUUGUAUGAUUUACAUGGAGAAUGACCCAGUUGCCACUUAACACAUUGACAUUUCUGUUAUAAGCAUGUAAGGGAUAAAAACAAGAGGUUUGUAGGUUGAACUCUUAUUAAUUGGAAACUUUUAGUGAACUUCCAUUUCUCUUCUAUUCUUUUUUCAUUGUUUUGUUUAUUUUCUCAAUUUGCAAUAGUCAUCUUUCAAUAGUUUGCAAACUCCAUCAACCAAUUUGAAAAGCCUUGGAGCCAAUAGGGGUAAAUUAUGAGAAGCUAAAAUGUUGUUUCUCUAGGAUUUUUCUGAAGUUGCUCAAUUUAAUGGAGAACAAAAAACUAUCAAGAGGCCUUGCCCCUGCCCCUACACCCUCUAUACCCCUGUUUACAAAAAUUUUGAGUUUGUCUUUAACGUAAUAAGGGAGACAAUAGUUUGUAUAAUAGUGAAACAAGAAUUUAUAAACCCUCAAUUUUGUCCCUUUAACACAUGUCUUUAAGUUCACUUCCAAUGCUCCACAGUAGUUUCCUGAUGACCCAUUACUACUCGUACAACUUAUCUUUUUCUGAGUCACCUCGGAGACUUUGGUUGAGGGAUUAUCUAACCCCUUAUUGUGACCCUUGGUAGCUCUAAUUUAGACUUAGGUUUUUCAUCCAUUUUUAGGAUGACUUUUAGGGUAGCUUACUUAGGCCCAUUUAGGCACUCUUGGCUCAUUAAGACAUUUUUAGCGUGACUUGUAUGACUUGCAUGAUUGCAUGGCUUGUGGGGCUCAGUUUUUAUUUAUUUGUUUAUUUUUCAUUUUUUAGUUUUAGUUUUAUUAUUGUCAAUCACUUGUUUAUUUUUAUUUGUUAUCUUCAUUUUUAUAUUAUUUUUCUUAUUUUUCUUAAUUAACCUAUUUAUUUAUUAUAGUUUUACUGUUUUCUAAUUUGUUUACUUAUUUAGUUAUUCAUUCAAUUAUUUACUUUAAAAAAUUUCAUACUUUUGCAAGAAAACUUACCAUUGGAGUUUAGAGAAAUUGGGACUCUCCUUGGAAGGUUUUGGAGGGGAGUUUGAAAUUAGGAGGAUUGCUUGAAGGGGAAGAUUGAAAAAAAAGGAAAAUAAGAAAAUAUAUAUAUAUAUAUAUGUGUGUGUGUGUGUGUGUGUGUGUGUGUGUGUGUGUGUGUGUGUGUGUGUGUGUGAGAAAGGAUGUUGAAAAGGGAUGAGGAUUCUGAGGACGGAAAGGGGCACAAUUUGUUUUGUUGAUAUUGGUUGCUCACUUAUUUUGUCCCGAAUCUGUUUGUGAUCUUCCCCACUAGCCUGAGCCCAUUAAAAAAUUCAUGAGAUGUGGCUUUCUCUUAUUUUGAUCUCGCAUGUUUGUUCUCCCUUUGUUCCCUCUAUUCUCUACCAUACUCAUUUUUGCUUUUCUUCCUACCCGUCACAUGGUUAUCAACUCUUUAUAUGGGGGUGACUCCAAGGCUUGGGCAUGCAGUCAUGAGUUUCAGCAAUGGGAUUAAAUGCUCCAAAAUUCUGGAAUUGCUAUCACAAUAUGGGAUCUAGAGAGGAUUGUCCAAGGGGCUUGUCGGCUGUUUAUGUACUCGUUAAAUCUGGUUACUGUAAUACAAAUUUGAAGGUUCAUAUGGGGAUUAGAGAUGUGGCCUCUCGGGAUUCAAUCAUUCCAGGGUAUGUACACUGAGGGAAGAGUGAAGAGCAUGGGAGUUGUUUGAAGAAAUGCCUAUGAGAAGGAACCUGAUUCCACCAUUGAGAAAAUCUGUAGUUUUAUAAUGGUGUUGUUCAGAAGCAUGUUGCUAUCGCAAAACAGGAGGGAGAAAUCCAUGGAUCCGGCGAAGGCCAGUCAAGUGCAGGGUUCAAUGAUAUAUUGACAUAACAACAUGAAGGUGUUGCAUCAAUUUACCACUUGGGUUCAGACUAGAAGGCUCGUUCUUUUUUGUUUAAAAAAAAGGAUUUUCUUUUUUGGGCAGAGAGAAGAACCGAGAACACACAUUGAGAGGAGAGAGAUAGGUGGACAGAUUCAAGAAAAGGGAGUGUGGAGAUCAGGGCUCUGAGCCCAUUAAACGUGAGCGCCCUUCAAAAACUGAUGAUGGGGAUUCUGGUCACUCUAGACCAGAGAGCGUUUGGAAAUCUGAGAUUGCUAAAAUUACAGAAAUGGGAGGGCUUGUUGAUUCAGAAGGGGUUGAGAGACUUGUGCAACUCAUGCAGCCUGAGAGAGCUGAGAAGAAAAUAGACUUGAUUGGUCGUUCAAUUCUUGCAGGUGUUAUAGCUGCCACAGAGGAGUAUGAUUGCCUUGGUCGAUUUGUCCAGCUCAGGGGCUUGCCUGUAUUGGAUGAAUGGCUCCAAGAGAUACAUAAAGGAAAGAUUGGUGAUGGUAGUAGCCCCAAGGAUAGUGAUAAAUCUGUUGAGGAAUUCCUAUUGGUUUUACUUCGAGCACUCGAUAAGCGGCCUGCGAAUCUUCAAGCCCUUCAAAUGUGUAACAUUGGCAAAUCUGUUAAUCAUUUACGUAGUCAUAAAAACUAAGAAAUUCAGAAAAAAGCAAGGAGUUUAGUUGAUACAUGGAAGAAACGUGUUGAGGCAGAAAUGAAUAUUAAUGAUGCGAAGUCUGGUUCAAGUCAGGCUGUUGCAUGGUCUUCGAGGCCAUGUCUUUCUGAAGUUUCUCAUGGUGGGAACAGACACUCUGGAGGCUCCUCUGAGAUUGCCAUGAAGAGCUCAGUCACACAACUUUCUUCAUCUAAAACAGCUCCAGUUAAGCUUGUACAGGGGGAAAUUGCCAAGUCUGGGUCUGCAUCCCAGGGAUUUACAAAAUCAGCAACAUCACCCGCAUCAGUGAGUACUAGCUUAAAGGAUGGUCAAACCCGCGUUGCUGUGCUGGUAAUGCCUCUGAUCCUCCUCUAACGACAGUAAGGGAUGAGAAAAGCAGCAGUUCUAGUCAAUCUCAUAACAAUAGUCAGUCUUGUUCGAGUGACCAUGCCAAAACUGUGGGUUUCUCAAGGAAGGAAGAUGCUAGGAGCUCGACAGCUAUGUCAAUGAGUGUGAGCAAGACCUCUGGUGGUGCUUCACGGCAUCAGAAAUCAGUCAAUGGCUAUCCAGGGCCUGUUGUGUCUGGAGUGCAAAGGGAAACAGGUUCAAGUAGAAGUUCUUCCUUUCAAAGAAAUCCUGCCUCAUAAAAAGUAUCACAGUCUGGAUUGACAUGCGAUAAAGCUUUUGAUGUCCCCACUGUUGACGGAAACAGUCACAAACUGAUUGUCAAGAUCCCCAAUCGAGGCCGCAGUCCUGCAGAAAGUGCGAGUGGUGGAUCUUUUGAAGAUCCUUCCAUGGUGAACAGUCAGGCAUCUUCUCCCGUGCUUUCAGGGAAGCAUGAUCAAUCUGAUCGUAAUCUGAAGGAAAAGAGUGAUGUUUAUCGAGAUAAUAAUACUUCAGAUGCGAAUACUGAGUCAUGGCAAAGCAAUGAUUUCAAAGAUGCAAUGACUGGGUCUGAUGAAGGUGAUGGGUCACCUGCUACUCUUCCCGAUGAAGAGCGCUCCAGGACUGGUGAUGACACUAGGAAAAUCAAAACUGCUUCGUCAUCAUUAGGAAUUGAACCCAAGUCAGGGAAAUUGGUUGAGGCUUCUUUCACCUCCGUGAAUGCUUUAAUUGAAAGUUGUGCCAAGUGUGAGGCUAAUGCAUCUGUUUCAGUUGUUGAUGAUGUCGGAAUGAAUCUGCUUGCUAAUGUGGCUGCUGGAGAAAUGGCCAAACGAAAGUCAGUUUCACCUGAUGAUUCUCCACUAAGAAAUACUGCUGUUAUUGAAGAUUCUUCUGUAGGCAAUGAUACGAAAUCAAAACCAACAGGAGAUGACAUCUUGAGAAAACAAAGUCAGUCUAACUACGGUCCCACCGAUGAUACUGAGAAGCAGGGUUUUUGGGCUAAGGAUGAAUUGCAUCAUUUACCUAAACAUGCAUUAAUUAACAGAUAGAACAAUGAACAUAUUAAUUCUACCAGUAUUGAUUUAGUAAGAACUUCAGAGCUGUGCUCAGAAAUCAACGGAAAAUCAGAUGAAACAGUGGUUGGUGCUUCUGUGACUGCAUCCCCUGUGAGCACAACAGAAAAAGGCAGUGAUGAUGAACAAGGGAAACAACUUCAUGAGAAGAAGGCAGCUGCUGAUGGAGUAAAUGUUGAUGGUAUUCCAGGUACUAAACCAAAGGUGAGCAGUUCUUCAUUGGCUGAAGAGAAAGUCAGUGAUGUCCUUCCCUGUGUAGAAUUAAAGGAAGAACAGUCAUCAUAUGCAUCAUUAGAACCUGGUGGUGAAAAGAAUAAUGUUAAUGAAGGUUUGAAUACAGAGCAAAAGCCACCAGCUUCCAUGAUACAUUUGGACUUUGUGAAAGGAACUGAAAACGAAGUGCCACUUCCUUCUGGUUCAGGUAAAUAUUUGGUCCCAGAAAAUGUUGAUCAAAUGAAGGCUGAAAAGGCUGAUGAAAUUUGUGUCUCAAAUCAUGCUAAUCAGAUGGAAGAACAGAGAAUUGAGCCAAAAAAUCAUGCUUCAACUGCUGCUGAGAAUCGAGUUGUGGCUGGUUUGUAUUCAGCAGCAACUGAUCACAAGAGGGAACUUAUGGAAGAGAAUUUAGGAAAUAAAGAGGUUCUUGAGAACUGUUCUAGUGGGCAAGCUCCUUACAAACAAUCACCCACAUUUCCUGUGUUAGAAGUGGAACAGCUUGUAAGGCCUAGAGGAUCCAAGUUGCCAGGUGAUGAAGCGGAUGAAACAGAGGAAUGUGCUUCCACCACUGCAGAUGUUUCUUCCUUUUUCAGCUACAGGGGGAUCAGAUGUGGAUGGAAGACUGGAAUUUGAUUUGAAUGAAGGUUUUAAUGCAGAUGAUGGGAAAUUUGGGGAACCGGUAAAUGUAGGUACACCUGGAUGUUCAGCCUCUGUUCAUCUAAUUAGUCCAUUGCCUUUUCCUGUUUCUUCAAUGUUCGGUGGGCUUCCAGCUUCAAUUACAGUGGCUGCUGCUGCUAAAGGGCCUUUUGUUCCUCCUGAUGAUCUAUUAAGGAGUAAAGGGGAACUUGGGUGGAAAGGAUCCGCUGCUACUAGUGCUUUCCGACCAGCUGAACCAAGAAAGACACUUGAGAUGCCAUUGAAUGCACUGAAUGUUCCAUCUGACGCUACCAGUGGUAAACAAAAUCGUCCUUUGUUGGAUUUUGACCUGAAUAUGCCCGAUGAAAGAAUUCUCGAGGACAUGACUUCUCGAAGCUCUGCUCAGGAGACAAGCUCUACAUGUGAUCUUGUUAGUAGUCGUGAUUUGGCACAUGACAGACCUAUGGGUUCUGCACCCAUUUGUUGCUCUGGAGGUCUUGAUCUUGAUUUGAACCAAAGUGAUGAAGUGACUGAUAUGGGGCAUCAUUCAGCAAGCAACUCUCAUAGAUUGGCGGUUCCCCUUCUGCCAGUUAAAUCUUCUUCGUCGGUUGGAUUUCCUAAUGGUGAGGUAGUUGUCCGAAGAGACUUUGAUUUGAACAAUGGACCUGUUCCUGAUGAGGUAAGUGCUGAACCAUCAUCUUUUAGCCAACAUGCCCAAAGUAGCAUGGCAUCCCAGCCACCUGUUGCUUGCCUUAGAAUGAAGAAUACAGACAUAGGGAACUUCUCAUCUUGGUUUCCUCCGGCAAACAAUAUUCAGCUGUCACAAUUCCAUCCAUCAUGCCUGAUAGGAAGCAACUAUUUCCAAUUGUUGCAACUAAUGGGUCUUUCGACUGGUGGAACCCCAUUUAAUCCUGAUGUCUACAGGGGCCCUGUAUUGUCACCUUCUCCUGCAGUUCCCUUCCCCUCAACCCCAUUUCAAUAUCCACUAUUCUCUUCUCGGACCAAUUUUCCCCUGCUUCCAGCUACUUUCUCAGGCAGUUCAACUUCUUUUACAGAUUCCUCGUCUGCUGGGAAGUUUUGCUCCCCUAUUGUAAAUUCCUAGCUAAUUGGACCAGCUGGUACAGUUCCGUCACAUUACCCCAGGCCUUAUGUGGUGAACCUUUCAGAUGGCAGCAACAGCGAUGGUCUUGAGAGCAAUAAGAGAUGGGGAAGUUUCAACAAGGCCUGGCCUUAUUCCCACCAAUACCACCUCCUAUAGCUGAUGUGAAAGAUCACCUUGUUUCUCCAGCAGUAGAGGGAGAGAUUACGCAACCUGGGAAACAUGUGUUGCCUCUCUCAAUGGUUAUAAAUGAGAAGUUACAUCCUACUCAAUAAUUUUUUAGGGAGAACUGAUCUAACCUCUGGAUCAUUUAGUACUAAAACCAGCUUUAGAACAAAAUAAGCUUCAAGGCAUUUGCCAAAGUUCAAAAAGGGCACCACAAACAUUGCAAGGACCCAAGAUGUUCUGUAUGCAUCCCUGUCAAGAAUUAUUUGCAGGCACAGUUGAGAGCGCGCACUUGUCCAGGUUCUGAUCCUAGCUUGACAACUCCUCUAGCUGGACCCUGUAAAUCCCAUGAUACUAUAGAGACAGCUAGAUUAACUUCAAAGGCUCGUCCAGUUGUUGAAACCUCAGAAAACUUACAAUUUUCAUCAAAAUGCAUGAGAACAGGGCAGCUCUCCUAACCUCUUCUUGCUGAAAGCGAAAGUUCUGCAGUAUUGGUUCCUGUAAUUACUGAAUUUCAUGUCCCACAAGAUGAUCAAUGCCGAAAGUACCGACACAAUGAUGUUAGUAUGUCAAUUAGAUCUGAGUUUACAGAAGUAAAGAUAGAAGUUCCCGUGAACUCUAGACAGGGAAGUUCUAAGAUUAGUGAAUUAAAGAAGAAUAAUUUAGAUGAUAUCCACAGACAAAGGCUUGAUAGUGAACCUAUUAUAUAUAUUGAGUCUGCUAGUUUCGCUAAGGGAGAAAUGGUUAAGCUUGAGAAGGAGAAAUGAUGAAACUUUAACAGUGAGAAUUUAAUAUGGAAUGCAGAAAACCUGUCAGUGCAAAGAAUUAGAAAUUUUGAACCUCCUAUUCAGUGUUUGACUACUGUUGAGGAGAAUCCAGUUGAGAUUACAAAUCGAGUCGCCUUUUAAGUUGAAGCAUUGGACGGUUGGACAUUUUUGUAGCGAAUUGGUUUCUUCUAUCCAGAAUUUCUGGUUCCACUUCUUUGGCCAUCUUGGUGCACACCUCUUCCUCCUUUUUCUUCAUUGAUUGAGAAUUUACAGUUUUGAAUUGAUCUUUCAAAUCUUUUUUUUAACUGAAUAAUUCCAGCUUUGAAAAUUCAUCUUUAGAUUUCUUUUAGGUAAUAAAAGUCCUCAUUUUCAAUCAACUUUUGCUGCCAAAUUUCCUUCAGGCAUGCAUUUCCUUGAUAAUCUUCAUGAUUUUCUGAGUUUUUAACAAGUAUGAACAAACUUCAUGAUUCCAAACAAUAGAAUUCAUAGAAUCAACUCAUGCAAAAUCAACUAGGACCAUGGUGGGGGGUCCAACAUUCUUGAUAUCUUCUCUAAUAUUGUUUCUAAAGGUGAUUGUUUGGUAUUCAAUUGAUUUUGAUUCCUCUUGGAGAUAUGCUUGAAUUUGUUUUAUAUUUAUUGUUGAGCUAACCUCGCUUCCCAUUGAAGUGCUCAACUUGCUAUCUAGGUACGCUCUUUCCCACCUAUUUUCGAGAAUUCUAUAGACAUAUAUGUUAUUGAUGACUAUAUCCACACAUGAUGUGAUUCUUGGGUGUUUUGAUAUAUGCUUGAUUUGCUUGGAUAAAACAAAUGUUGAGUCAUAUUUCCAAACUAACCUUGAAUGUUUUGUGAUAGCGCUUGAGAAGUGGUUUAGGUACGUGCCCAAAAUCUUCCACAUGAUUGUGAUUGGUUUUUUUAUUAAGCAUGUCAUUCUUUUGAAAUCACCUAGCUUACUUAGGUAUCUAUAAUUAACUAAUUAAUUGUCACAUUCCCCUCAACUUAGUUAGUAGAGACCUUUGUAGGGCUUAGAGGGGUGCUACCUCCUAGAGGUACCUUCCCAAUAAGUAACCUGAUCCCUAGACCAAGACUCAGGUUUUUUAGAGACAUGUUUUUCCAAAAAUUAUGGAAUCAUUUUGUUUGGAUUUUAUUUCUUAUUUUAUUUUCCUUUUAAAAUAGAGAUAAAAUAAGUGGCGACUCCAACUUUUUUUCCAAAAAUUAACUUUUCACAAAUAAAAAGCGAGUAUCGCCGAUCGAGUGGGGACGCAUGUGAAAAAUGCUGGUCCACAUAAGUAAUAUUGUGAUUCAUUGCUGCAAAAAGUAAUAUUGACAUAACUUAUGUGUUAAACUGCACUUAAAUGCUUAGCACAAAAGUAUGUUAUUCUUCAUUUGAGAGCAUUACUUUAAACCUUAUAUGUUAGCAUCACUUUUGCCAUGACUAAUCUUUCUUUCUUUCCCCUUAUCCAAGACAAUGCAUAUCGAGUGAUUGAUACUUAAGUUAAUAGCCUUACUACCCACAUGGGGUGAAGUUUGAAUCCAGAAUUUCCCAAUAGUCUUAAUACGCUUCCCCGGGUGUGUUCAAACUUAAGAUGUCAAUGUUAAACCACCACUUUACCAAAAAAAUUUAAGUUACUAAGUAAUAGGCCAACAAUGUGAUAUUAAGGCGACUAACAGGUAGACUAAUAGCCUGAGCAAUUCUCUUAUAAUGUUUAAUGGUUCAAAUUUGACAAUUAAAACGCUUACAAAAGCAUGAUGACUUACUGUGGACCCCGCAUUUCGGCUCAUGCGUUUUCCACUCGAAUGGCGAGCUCGAUUUGUUAUUUGAAAAUGAUUUUUAUUUAUUAAAAUAAUGAUUUGGAGUCGCUAUUUAUUUUUGUUUUAUUUUUAAAGGGUAAACAAAAUAAGAAAGAAAACCUCUAAGUGUGACUCCUUAUUUUAGAAAAGGUGAUCUACGAAAAACCAGAUCGGGCUCGGGGGUUAGGUUACUUAUCGGGAAGGUACGGCAUGGACCGUAGCACCCCUCUAAGUCCCUAGAGUCGGGUCUCUACUAAUAGAAUGAAACUGAUGUGACAAUCAAUAGGAAAAUCAAUGAAUAUCAACAUGAUUACACACCGAGAAUUAAAACAUGCAUGAGAGAUGAACAAAGUGAGAGAAAAUGCAUACCUUAGCAGCAAACAACAACGCGCUAUCAUGAAAAUGAGAUUAGUACAAAAUAAUGAUCACAAGAUAUAGCAUACAUGUCACUAAACUGAAUACAAAAUCAUCAAUAGCACAUGUGUCAUUUCAUUCAAUUUUAUUUUAAAGAAAAUUUAUUUGAUGUUGGGCCCCCACCAAAGCCCGAUUAUUUUUGCGUGAAUUACUUCCAUAAAUUCCAUUAUUCGGAAUUAUAAAAUUAAAGUCUUGCUUAUUUUAAAACGUUUUAAAACAAAGGAGAUGUGGAAAUUGGGAAAUUAUUAAAAAUCAAUGAGGGUUUAUAAAAAGAAAAAGUUUGCCAAAAAUAAACAUGGCAAUCAAUUUUAUUUCUAAAGAAAGAAAAUAUUUAAAGUUAAAGAAAGAAAAGAGAAAGAGAAGAUAAUAAUAAUAAUAAUAAUAAUAAAAAUAAUGUAAAUAAGAAUAAUAAUAAUAAUAAUAGAAAAAAAAAUAAAAAUAAAAAUGAAAAUAUGAAUAAAAGUAAAAAAUAAAGUAAAAGAUGCAUGAUUAGUGGAAAAUGAUUAGAAUCAAUUUUUGAAAACAAAUGCAUGGGAAUACAGGGGUGUGGCGCGUGGGUUUAAGCAGUGGCCCACCAAAGGUGGCCAUGCAUGCCAGGCGAGAAAAAGAGAAUGGGUCUUAAAGAUGCCAUGAAAAAUUGCCUCGUUCAUUGCCUCAACAGUAGCUUCAACCUGUAUCACCUUGAGAUCUCUUUCAUUCCUCCUAGCAGGGUUUGCAAUCUUCACUAACACUGCCCUUCUCUGCCAAUUCGGAUGCUGUGUGAGCAUCUGCUCUAUUGACAACAACUUCAAAUCGACACCCUUGAAGAUGUCCAUGUCGUCAACAAAAUUAAGCAAAAAUCACUCCAACUUCUUCAACAUGAAACUGCCCAGACCACAUAAGUGCUUCCAGAAUCUGAGGAUGCUCCCUUUCUUCCCUCUGUUUUCUCUUAAUUUCUCUCUGGUUUUUCCCUCUAAAAAAAAAAUGCUCUGUCACCUCUCUAUAUCUCGCUCCUCUCGCUAAGACCUUUCUCUAAGCUCUCAAAAACUCACCUCUCUGCAACUAGAACCCAGCAAAAAAAGCUCUCCUCCCCUCUCUAGCUUCCUCCUCCAAGCUCCAGAAAAACCUCUCUCAAGCAAAAAACCGCCCCCUAGCUAACAGAAUCCCCUCCUCUCGCUCCCUGCCAGAAUCCCUGCACGCCUACCCUCACUAACGGCCUGCAGCCUUUGCAUAACAGACCCGCUCCUCAGAAUAUUCCCUUGACAGGUGUUGCUCCCUGAUUGCAUCUCCCAUCCACUACUCUGAUUCCUAGCAGCCAUCCACGAGUUGACAAGUGGCUCAUUGAGAGGCCUCCACCGGGUAAGAAUGAGUUGUUGGGAUAUGACAAAAACCGAGCCUCAUAUGGGGGUCUACACUUACCCAUCGUUUUCAUAUAGAUACUCUGGAAGCAACUCUUGCUACUCAUUUGAAUAAGCCUCGAGUUUAUAUUGGGUGUAUGAAAUCAGGCGAAGUUUUCUCUAAGUUUUGAGUAUAAUCAAAGUUUUUUUUUUCUUCUAAUGAUGAGAAAAUGAGUUGUUUAUGAUAUUCUACUUUCAUAUAUUGUAUUAUCGUUCCAUAUUGUUUGAAUUAUGUUGGAUCCACAAGUGGUAAGAACCAGACUGGUAGAAAUUUGGUGAUGGAAAAUCGUGAGUAAUUCUGUAUUGAUUUCAUCUUAUCUCUUAUAUUAAGAUAAGUAAUUAUAACUUUCUAGUUCUGUUAACUAGUUAAGAAGUCUCUUAGUAUCGCGGAAUUCAUCUGAUAGGUGAUAGAAGUCCCAAUGAACAACUAGGGCAUUGUCCCAUAGGAGGCUUGCUUGAUGGAGAGUCAGAGUACUGUUUCUCAAGUUUUUUGGGCAUUUAAACAAUUUAUCAUUCCAUCACAUUCUUGACAUCUGUUACACUUAAUUUGCCUACCCCAUGUACCCCUAUUUAAACCAUCUCAGCUCUAAAUUGUGCCGAGGUAUCCUGGAGUUGGCAGAGGGACGCCUUCUCGGGAAGUCAGGCUUACAUUGGCUGAAGAUACAUUUAGAAAAUGUAUAUGCUAGUGGAAUGGACAAGUUAUCGUAUGAGGGUUGGGUAGCAUUUACUGAGAAUCAUUUGGAAGAUAUCUUUGAUUCCGCAGACAGACCUCUAGAAGGAAGACGCCGAUGGUUGUCUGCCUAGGAUCCUUUCCAAUGCUCAUGUAUUAAUCUCUCAGAAGCAUUAAGAAGCUCCCCUCCAGAGACUACUAUUUCACACAUGCAUGUCCACCAAGUACUUCAUUCUUAGCAUUGUCACAUUCAAACUAAGAAAUGUUUAUCGAGUGAAAUCAAAUUAAUCCCACCUCCUCCCAACCCCACAAUAAAAAGGAAUUCUCAAAACUAGCUUUUAUUGGAAUUAUGUUCUAUGCUAGGCAUAUCGUUUGUUGCCCUGUGUAUUUUGUAUAAACUCCUCCAGGUAACUACAUAGCUCUUCUGCAUUUACACAUGGAAAAUGACAGUCACAUGAUCAUACAUACCCUUCAGAGUACCCCAUUUGUCGCCCUAUCAUUAGGAGUAUAAAUAAUGGAUCUACCACUUUUUUCAAAGCCUUGUCUUAUGUUUGCGCUAUCCUACUAUAGUAUGCUUGAGUUCAAAGGCUAUUUGGUGAGUUCAUUGGUAUUUGGUGAGUUCAAAGGCUAGGGCAGCAAAUCAGUCUCUGGAAACAGAAUUUUAAUUAGAACUUAGUAUUCGAGGAGAUAAUUUUUCUUUUUUAUUGAAGUUUCCUUGUCCUUUGGCAGCAGAACUUUGAAUUGGGGAUUAUUAUUUGAUUAUGCAGUUGGGAUACAUAUAUACAUACAUACAUACAUACAUAUAUAUAUAUAUAUAUAUAUAUAUAUAUAUAUAUAUAUAUUUGGAUUAUGCAAUAUUGGAAAUUAAAAUUUUGUUAUGGAAAAUGUAGCAGGACCUCUUCAAUAUUGAAAUGAGAAUUUUAAUUAAAAUAUUUGAAAAAAAAAAUUCAAGACUUAAGCUGUGGCCAAACAUAAGUUGUGUCCACAUAAUAACCUAUGGCAGCAGGCAAGGAAAAGUGGCAUGCAUACGAAGCCCUAUAGUUGCGGCUAACAAAAGGCCAUGUCUAUAAGUACUAUAUAGUAUUAAAUUCUGUAGAUAUUACACCUUUAUAGCAGCAACUAUCAGCUGUCCCAGCCACAUAUAGAGCUUUUAAUUGAGGAAAAAACAUGACCGCAAGGAUAGUCUCACAACAACUACUCGCGUUUUUUACCGGUGGCUGCAACUAUAGGAUUUAUCUGCAUCCCUAUGGCCUUCGCGGCUAUAAACUUACCUUCUUAUAGUAUGAAACACUCUUGCCUCGUGUAUGAUUGCAUUAACUUGCAACACUUGUACUGCACAACUUUUUGUUAAUGGUUGUAAAAAAUAGUUUUCUAUUUUUUGAGAAUUGAAAAUAAGAAAAUCUUGUUUGACAAUAAGAAAAUAGUAAACAAUUUUUUAUUUUUAAAAACAGAAAAUAGUUUUUGUUCUUAAAAAAAAAAUGCGUUUUCAAUUGUUUUCUAGGAUUAUUUAAAAAUAAUAAUAAGAUAAAUAUAAAUAAUAAUUAAAAAUAAAAUGUUACAUACAAAACUUUUUUUUUUUGAAAAAUAUUUGAAAGCAAAAAAUACAUUAAAAAUAUUUCAAAUUCUCAAAUAAGUUUUUAUCAUAUCAGAGAAUUAUUUUUGAAAACAAUUCUUAAAAACUAUUUAUUUUUAGAACGGUUUUCAAAAUCAUUUUCAGACCUAAAAUAUAUUUGACAAUGAUUUUUGGAAGCGUUUCUAAUUUUUUUAAUACUUGAAAAAUAAAAAAUUUGAAGUGUUAAAACUAUUAGAAGUCUUUUCUAAAAUCACUACCCAAUAAACUCUAAUUCUUUUUGCCAAAGGCUUGUAGGAGCUUUUAUAAUUUACCUCACAAUCAUGUUAUGAGAUUUUGGGUUAGCAUUGGCUAGUUUGUGCUUAUAUGUACUUAAUUUUUGUUUUUAAAAAUAGAAAAUGAAAGUAACUUCGAUAUAAAAUCUAAAAACUUUUAGAGACUUAUCAAAAUUUUUUAUAGUGAUUUUUAAAGAUAUAAGGUGAGUUUAUACUUUUGGUAUAAAAAUUUCUAUUUUUUAUAUAAAAAUUAUUAUUACUUUUUGUGACUAAAAAAAUGUAUAAAAAAAAGUCAAUAUAUAAAUAAUAAAAGUUGAAAGAACAUUUUCAAUAUAUAGAUUAUCUUAAGGGUUCAAAUGUGGGCUAAGUCUAAAACUUAAUAUUAAAUCUUCUCUCAUUCAAAUAAUAGUCUUUAUAAAUAAUAGAAUAUCCUAGAGAAAUAUAGUUAUGGACCAAUAUUUCAAACACUAGUAUCAAAAGAAAUUUUCAUUAACUAUGACGAGCUCUUGUUUCAAUCUAAAACAUAUAAAUAAGCAUAAUUAAUUUUAAUUUAAGCAAGAUUUAGAUUUAUAUUAUGGACAAUAUAGUGAACCUAAAAGAUGAUCACAAGUUUUUUAGUCCAUGACUUCAAUUAGUAGAAAAAAUAUUUACAAGCUCAAUUUUGUUGGAAUUUUGUUCAAUUCAUUCUAGUUUGAGACUUUUUAUAUUUUCCUGUAACUUACACCCCAUUAAAGAUACAAGAAUAUUUAGAGUUAACUAGAGAUUAGAUAGCACAAGUAUAAAGAGUUAUGAAAAGGAUAAUAGCUUUUAAUUGAAAAAGAUUUUAGAGAUCGAGUGCUCAAGCAUUUGAAUCUAGUUUUCAAGGCUUAGAGCACUCAAGUUUGCUUGAGAGUACCCAAUAACAAGCACUCAAGUACACUUAUCUGGUGUUGGAGCACUCAAAAGUGGGGUUUCCAAAAAAUGAGUUUGCAUACAACCCUUAUUAAAAAAAAAAAAUGAUUGCUAUAUAUAUAUAUAUGGUUUAAAUAAAACAUUCCUUAUAUAUACAAUCAGUUUAUUUUAGAGUACUGUUAUUAUAUUAUACCAAGGUUGUUAGGCCAUAUUUUGCUAAACAAAAUGAAGAGAAAACACAUUAUUUGGCAAAUAUUUUACAACUAGAGAUAAUGAAGACUAAUGUUAGUAAUUAGGUUUGCCAUAUUUUUCAAUAAUGCACAAUUAGCUCAAUCACUUGAAGCUUAUACCAAAAAUAUAUUUGAAUUAAUGGUCAAAAUUUUUGAAUGGUACUUAGUGAUAAUCAACUACCAAAUUAACAUAAACAUAAAAGUUGAAAGGACAAUUUUACGACAUAGAUGACUCUAAAAUAUCAAAAGUAAGCUAAGUAUCCAACUUAAUAUUACAACUUUUCUCACUUAAAUGACGGUUUACAAAUAACAAACCUACCUAAAUUAUUAGUAUUAUUAAAGAAACUAUUUACAAAAUCUAAAAAAUUUAAUUCUCACUGAAAAUUAAAAAAAAAAAACUCAAGAUAUUAACCCUACUCAAUAUUCAAUUGAUGAAAUUUAUAAUAGAUUCAAAAAGAUUCAAAGGCCUAUAACUAUUAAAGAUUUGCAAGAAGAAAUACAAGAAAUAAAAAGGCAAAUAAAUCAAUUAAACCAAGAAAAUGAAAUAAUAAAACAAGAAAAUGAAUAAAUUAGAAAUGUAAUACAAUAUAAAUUAGAUUUUGCUGAAACUUCUAAUAAUCAAAAUCCAGGAAUAAUAAUACCUAAUAAACAAACACCUAUAGAAUCAUUUAUAAAUAUAAUAUCAAAAAUAGAUUUUCAAAUAUGGUAUACAAAUGUAAAACUCAUAAUUGAAGAUUUUGAAAUAGAAAUAGUAGCAUUAAUAGACUCAGUAGCUGAUAUGAAUUGUAUUCAAGAAGGAAUGAUUCCCACUAAAUAUUAUGAAAAAACAGGACAAGAACUUUUUGCUGCAAAUAAAGGAAAAUUAGAAAUAGAAUAUAAACUUCAAAAUAUUUAUAUAUGUCAAAAUAAUUACUGUUUUAGAACUCAGUUUAUAUUAGUACAAAAUAUGACUGAACCUUUAAUCUUAGGAACCCCUUUCAUUACCUUACUCUACCCUUUUCAAAUAAAUGAUGAAGGUGUCAAAACUACAAUAUUAGGAAAUACCAUAUUUUUCCCUUUUAUAUAUCCAUUAACUAAAAAAGAAAUACAUCAAGUUCAAAGUAAUUCAAUAAACAAAAAUAUAAAUUUAAUUCAAAGAAAACAAGCUCAUAUAAUUUUUUUAUCAAAAGAAAUUCAAUAUAAGAAGGUAGAAGAACAACUUCUAGAAGAUAAAGUUCAAAAGAAAAUAAAAAAGAUUCAAGAUUUUUUUCAAAAUGAAAUUUGUUCUAAUAUUCCAAAUGCUUUUUGGUCCAGAAAGAAACAUGAGAUAAGUUUGUCAUACAUUCAAAAUUUUGAUGAGUCUAAAAUUCCCACUAGGGCUAGACCUAUUCAAAUGAAUGAAAAACUUUUAUAAUACUGUAAACAAGAAAUAGAUUCAUUAUUAAAGGAGAAAUUAAUCAGACCCUUAGAAUCUCCUUGGAGUUGUGCCGCUUUUUAUGUUCAAAAUGCUACUAAGAUAGAAAGAGGAGCACCUAGAUUAGUCAUUAAUUAUAAACCUUUAAAUAAAGUAUUACAAUGGAUAAGAUACCCUAUUCCUAAUAAGCAAGAUUUACUCAAAAGACUUCAUAAUUUUGUAAUUUAUUCAAAAUUUGAUAUGAAAUCAGAAUUUUGGCAAGUUCAAAUCAAAGAAGAAGAUAGGUACAAAACUGCUUUUACUGUCCCUUUUGGUCAUUAUGAAUGGAAUGUCAUGCCCUUUGGUAUCAAAAAUGCCCAUUCUGAAUUUCAAAACAUUAUGAAUGAUAUUUUUAACCCUCAUUUUCAGUUCAUAAUUGUAUACGUUGAUGAUGUUUUAGUAUUUUCUGAUUCAUUAAAGAAACAUUUUGUUCAUUUUAAAAAGUUUUUCAAUGUCAUUAAAGCAAAUGGAAUGGCUUGUUCUGCUUCAAAAACGAAAUUGUUUCAAACAAAAAUCAGAUUUUUAGGACAUUAAAUUUUUCAAGGAAAAACCAAAUUGAUUCAAAGGUCAAUAGAAUUUGCUGACAAAUUUCCUGAUGAAAUAAAAAAUAAAAAACAAUUGCAAAGAUUUCUAGGUUGUUUAAAUUAUGUUUCUGAUUCUUUCAAAGAUUUGAAAAUUAUUUGUGAAUCUUUAUACAAAAGACUUAGAAAAAAUGCAUCUGCAUGGAUUGAACAUCAUACUAAUUUGGUCAAAGAAAUUAAACAAAGAGUCAAACGUUUACCAUGCAUUAGCAUCCCUCAUCCAAAUGCAUUGCUCAUUGUAGAAUCAGAUGCAUCUAAUUUAGGAUAUGGAGGCAUAUUAAAGCAAAAAUAUAACAAUCAAGUGCAUAUAGUUAGAUAUCAUUCAAGGAUCUGGUUGGGCACUCAAAUAAAUUAUUCAACUGUCAAAAAAGAAGUUUUAUCCAUAAUUUUGUGUAUUUCAAAAUUUCAAAGUGAUUUGAUAAAUAAAAAUUUCUUUUGAAAAUUGACUGCAAAGCUGCAAAAGAUAUUUUACAAAAAGAUGUUAAAAAUUUGGUUUCAAAACAAAUUUUUGCAAGAUGGCAAGCUUUACUUUCAAAUUUUGAUUUCGAAAUUGAAUUUAUCAAAGGAGAGUUGAAUUCCCUUCCUGACUUCCUUACUCAAGAGUUUUUGCAGGGUAAUGAUCCUUCUCCAUCCUAAUGGGCACUUCCGUUAGGCUUCAACUUCCUUCAUCAUCCAAGAAAACCAAAGCUUCAUAUGCAAUGAUUUCAAACUUUUCAAAUAUUUGUCCUACUUUUCCAUUACAAACAUCAAAUUCCUUUCAAGUUCUGGGUCCAGAUUUUCCUCCUCUUCAACCUUCAAAAAGUUUUAUUCAAGCUUCUAAAUCAAACCCUAAAAAUAUUUUUGUUCAGAGUCAAUCCAGUCCUAGCACCAUUUCAACACUACCUUCUCCUUCAUCUAUUUCAACACUAUCUUCUCCUUCUUCUUUUUCAAUAGGUCAAUAUGUAAAAAAACCCAAAACAUUAGAAAUUGCUUUCAUUGAGCCAGAGUACAAUUAUGAAGAGAUUCCUAAAAUUCUUCCUUACAUAUUUCCUCAAGGAGUCACCUUCAAUUCUAAUGAUCCUUCGAAAACUCGUCAAUUUUAUGAGUUCAUCCUGGUGGACACAGAUUCAGUUGAAAUUACUCAUAACACUGAUAAAAAAAAUCCUUAGAGGAUUGCAUUUUUUCCAAAUGUCAAAUUCUCAUAGUCAUGAUCAUUGCUGAUUGGAAUAAAAAACCCUUCACUUGCAAAGCGUUUAGUCAACAUUUCCAUCUCAUGAGCUACAAUUAUAUAAAUUAUAUGGAUGCUUGGUACAAUAUGUUUUAUUUGCAAAGUUACCAACAUUCUUAGUUCAUUCAAUUUUCAAGAAAUUGUAAUACCAAAUUUCUUGCUUGGUUUCAAAACUGGUGGACUUUCUUUGGUCUACUAGAUUCCAUAUUUCCUCCUGAUAUUCAAGAAAAAUUCAACUUCUACAAGAGCAAGACUUCAUCACAGUCUAUCACUCAGUCGAGACUCCUGACGUUCUGUUCAAGAUUAAGAAUUCCAUGGAUUCUCAUAUGGAACAUUAUCAAGAAGCAAGAGCAGCCUCCUCCUUUUCCAUUAUCUCUUUAUGGAGAAUUUAGCAUCAAAUGGUGGGACAAAUUCAAUCAUGAUUUUGUAUGUCAACCGAAGAUUUUGCAAAUAAUUUCAACAAGACCCGGAUAUUCAAAUUCAAAGGAUUCAUCAAGUUCUUCUCAAGGACCGACUCAAGAAGAAUUCUUAACUUUGAAAAGCAAAUGUCAAGCUUCAUUAGCCGUUGCUACUGAUUUAGAGCAAUAUAGGUAAGGACUCAUUCAAACUCUCAAACAGUUUGGAGAUCAUUAAGAAACUGAAGACACAACAUUAUCAGAUGAUUCAUACGUAGACCUUGAGUUUAUCAUUUACGGAGGACCUAGGGUCAAUCUAGAUAAAAGAUUUCAAGAAUCUUUUGUACAUCUAUAUAUUUGUACAAUUGUCUCUUUGUAUUUAUCUAGAAAAAAAAAGAAUGUAAAAAAAGAUUGUGAAGUAUGUAAAAAAAAAAAAAUGUCAAAAGUCAUGAAUAGUGAUGAAUAGUAAGUUUUGUCUCCUACUUUAUCUUUGAAGACAACGUGGAGCAAUGUAAAAGAAAGAGAAUAAACAUUCUUUUCUUACCUUUCUCUGAAGACCUCAUGAAGGCUCCAACUGCCUCUACACAUCACGGAUUUCAAAAUUUUUUCAAGAAUGAAGACGCAAGCCUGACUUCAUCAAUUAUAAAUAAAGAAGCACCCCUCUUCAUCAGGCAGAGCUUGCGAGUGCCAAAGAGAACUUGUGAGAGUUGCAAAAAGAGUUCAAGAGUGUUUCAAAAAUUUCAAUUUUUGUAAUUUCCUCUUUCAAAAAUUCUAGUCCUUUGUAUUCAUCACUUUGAGCCAUCUCUCUACUGUCAACAAGCUUGUAUUCAACAACUCUCUGUAAUCAAGUUAUAUUUUCAAUAAACAAUAUUUUCAGAUUCAAAUAUUUGUGUUUUUAUGAUUAAAUUUCUGCAAUAAAUUACACAUUAAUUAUUUCAGUUUUUAUGCUUGGAGUUCAUUAGACAGAAUUAAUUAUUACGUGCAUGAACUGUUGUAUGUCCUGGGUGCAAAUGGUAUCAGAGCCACGUUCUGCUUGAGAAUCGAGUGGUGUUACAAGUUGGAACAGUAAUUAAUCACUGAUUUAAUCCAGACUUACUUCGAAUUGAAUUUCCUGUGAACGGCUUGGUUAGCCUAUGAUAGCGGUGUUUGAAGGGUAGAAGGAGCGUAAAUCCCGUGUUGAUCCGCUUGUGGUGGUCCCUGUUCAAGAAAUUAUCUGAAUUGAUUAAGGAUAAAAUUGUGAUUAUUUUAUGUGACAAUGAGUAAUAUUCUAAGGAGAUUAAGUAAAGUUAGUUCUUCCAAAUCUCUUAAGUCUAAUGAUAGUUCUGCAUUUUCAUUAGAUAAUUCUGCACACACAUCACUUACUUAAAAUAUGGUCAAUAGUCAAGAAAUAAAUAUUGCUCAAAUAGAAAGUCAACUACAUAAUUGGUCAAUUCCUCACAUGAAAAUUAAUACAAUAUAUCAACAAGGAAAUUUCAAAUUUAAUCAAAAUUAUUCAAUAAAAACUAAAGUAAAAACUAUUUCUCUUAAUCAAAAUUUAGAAAUUCUUCAAUUAUUGAGUCAAAACACUAUUAAUCAUCAUAGGAAGAAAUUUAAAUAUAUUCAUAUAGGAUUAGUUCAAGUUGCCAUAAACCUUUAUUUAGGCUAGGAUUAGAUAUUCCUAUGUUUGUAUGUCUAAGAGACGCUAAAUCCAUAAAAUUUACUGAUUCCAUCCUUAGCAUGAUUGAUUCAAACCUUGUCAAUGGUCCUGUUUAUUUUAAUUGUUUUCCAAACUUUUCCAUGAACAUAAAUGAUCCUGGUAUUCUUUCAAGUUUAACUUCAAAUAUUAAAACCAAAAAUAUGAAUUUUGUAGAAGAAGCCCAAACUAUAAUAAUAAUUUAUAGGAUAUAUUAUAAAGUCAUGACUACUCAAUUAAAUCCUAGAGUCAUAUGUCAAUCUGUCAAAGACGAAACAUUAUUAUUACAAUAUAAUCCAAAUAAUACUCAAGCUUUUGUUCCUAAAAAAUUAAAAUGGAAUGAAAUUACUCAAGGGAGUCAAUGGGAGUUAAAAGAUUUAACUCAUCCAAAACCUAUUAAACCUUUAACAACUCCUUCAAAAAUUAUUCAACAUACUGAUGGUACUGUUCAAAUAGAAUUUGGUCCAGCUUCUAGAUAUUCAUUUAAUCAAGAUUUUAUGUUUGCAAGACCUUCCUCUUCAAAUGCUAGCUUAAAUAGUGUUGAUUUUACUCCAAAAAUUCAUAUUCUUAUAUAUCAACAACAUGAAUCUCUUCCUGUGUCUUCUACUCAUUCGAAUAUGUUUCAUAAUCAAGCCAACAUUAUUCAUAAGAAAAAUUAUAAAAAGACUCAUUUUACUCCUAAUAUAGAAUGGAUAAAAUCAUAUUAUUUUUCUCCUCAAAAUAAUACUAAAAGAGUUUAUUUUCAAACAUUUCCCCCUCAAGCUAAAAAUGCAUUAAGAAAACAAUAUGAAAAAUAUAUGAAUCAAAAGAAAAUUACUAUUCCUUUUUUCUAUUGGUUUUUCAAACUUAAAAAACAAAGAAAACAAAUAAUAACUUUAAGGAAUGAAGAAGCACUACAAGAAAAAUGGUCAUUGUUGACAUAUAUUAUCUUUACUUAAAGUAGUAUAUGUCAAUAUUUUUUAUUUAAAUGGGCAACUAUGACAUAUAAAACUUAGUUAAAAGGAAUAAUGACAUAUAUGAAUUUCAGUGAUUAUUCCAUGACUUAUGACGAUGCAACCUUGACAGAGAAUUUAUAAGUCAAUAUAAAAUUAAUAUAUUUGUAUGUCAAGGUAGCUAAAUAAAGGUAAUAAUGACAUAUAUGGAAUUUGGUAAAAUUUUCUUUAAUUUAUAGUAAUACAAUCUUGAUAGAAAAAUUAUAAGUCAAUAUGUAAAGUUAAAAUAUUCUUAUGUCAAGGUUGGUAAAAGAUAUCUUGACAAAUAAUUUACAAGUCAAUGUAAUUUCAUUUAUAAAUCUAUCAUGGUUAUAUUAGUAAAUAUUGAAAAUCUCACUUCUCAUUUUUUUUUUCUUUUAAUUCUUUUGUUUUUCUUUCAAUUCUAUCUAGACCCAUUCCCAUCCAGAAGCAACUUCAAAGAAAAUCCUAAGAGGCCACCAUUAAAAAUUUUGUGAAAAGUAAAAAUAGUUUUUAUGAAAAUUUAUUGGAUUAGAUAUUUAUUCUCCAUGCAAAUGUAUAUCCUUUAUAGGGUUUAAUUUUAUUUUUUUUGUUUUGUUUUGUUUUUUUUUUUUUUUUUGAAUUUUUUAUGACAUUUAUUAAAUGAUGUAACAUGACUUCCUGUUCAAAUCUGGAAUUUGUGGAAAUCUGAUAUAAAUAUAUUUUAUGACAUUUAUUAAAUGAUGUAACAUGACUUCCUAUUCAAUCAUCCAAUUAUCCCAGAAGGCAUUUGUAUAAUAAUCAGAAAUAAGAUAAUUUUGCAUUGAAUAUGGUAACUACAAACUAUAGUGGAUACAACACAAACGAAAGAUAAGAAAUCUUUUUACAAAGCUAGAAUUUGUCUUUUUCAGGUUACUUCCUUUUCAUUGUUUUCUGUAACUAAUAACUUUGUAAAAUUUGUUUUAUGCAGUACAUUCCUGGAACAAAGAUGGUAUUCCCUGGACAAACGAAGCCUCAGGAACGGGCCGACUUGAUUGCAUAUUUGAAGCAAGCCACUGCUUAAUUUGAAACUAAACGUUUGAAGAGAGUCCAUUUUGCAGUUGCUAGAGGUACCGGAACCAGAUGGCAGUACCAUUCUUUUCCAAAUAAAAUAGACUUAUAUAUGUUGGUAGGUCUGACAUAAUGAGAGUUUGUAGUUAUUGCUACUUUUUCUAAGAGAUUGCCUUGAGAAACAUUCAAUUGGAUUCAGUUACCUAUUUGUGACUAUCUGAUGAAUAUUUGGUGAAACAUCAAUUUACUACUAUGAAUGCCUGGGCUAGUCUUUAUAUGAUUAGCAAUAUCAGAAGACUGGUUUAUGCUUAAGUUCAUUUUUCUUUGUUUUUUUCUUUGGUUCAUUUUUUUUAACCCAAGCCAAUGACAUAAGAUGUUGCGGUUGAUGCUGUUAGCGUGAGGAGAGAGCAUCAUUGUUUUUUAGCUAUGUUGGAAACAUUAUGAAAUAAUAUUUGCAAGAAGUUAGUCAUCUCAUCUGAAAACCAAUUAAGUGUCUAGACAUUCAUAUUCUAUUUGUUGUAGGGUUUAACCAUUUAGAGGUACACCUUUGUGUUUGAUCUAUUCCAUGCAACAUGCUUAUCUCCAUCUCGAGUAUUACUCAUAGUGAAGUUUAUACCAGUGUUCAACCAUCACCGAUCUUAUCAAGGAGGUUGUUUAGCAUUUGUCUUAUCAAAGGGUUUCAAUUUUGAACUCUCUGUGAUUGAGUGUAUUUAGUUCAAAUAUCAAAUGAGGCAAGUGAAAUUUAAAGAAAAGACACUUUAAAUAAUGUGUUUUUGAGCAAACCCAUAUCAAGUUAUGAUGAUAAUUGAAAUAAAAUGAAAUGAAAGUUGGUUUAAUAUUUGUGGGUUUCACUUGAUUUUAAAGUAGUUAUCAACAAAUGUAAGGGGAAUUAAUAAAUUUAUUUUAUUUUAUUUAUAUAAAUAUUAAUAUUAAUAAUUGUUUAUCAAAUUUAAAUAAUAUUAAAAAUAUCAAAUCUUUAAUAAUUAUACCUAGUCAAUGAAAUAUAAAUAUGUUAAAUUAAAUUCUAAACUCUUUCACUUUUUUUUUUUGAAAGAUGAAGUUGUAAUCCCUUCAAAACAAAAUUUUAGAAUGAGAAUAAUUUUUUAAAAAAUAUAAUAAUAAUUUUAUUUAAUUAUUGGUUUUUGCAUUCCUUAGAGUAGGAACAUUACUCCCACACAUUAAGUAAGCACAUCCUUGGAUGUCAUUUUGUAUGAGAAAGGGCAUUUGAGAUAUGUCACUUUGGUAAUUAUUUUCAAACAUAUGGGCAUCACAUCGAAUAAAAGUUGUCUUCCAAAAAUUUAAUUUCAGUUUAAAUAUGAGAAAACUUUCAAAUUAUCUAUUCGGAAGUUAAUUUUCAAUUAAAUUUUUUGAAAAUACUGUAAAUUUAAAAAUAGUUUAAAAAAUAUCAAAUUUUAAUAACUAUUUUUUAAAAUUGCUGUAUUUUUUUCAAAAUCCCGGUAAUCUAGUUGCUUUUUGUGAGUAACAAGGAAUGGGCCCUCUCGGCCCAAAAGACAUGCCAUAGAUAUUACUGUGGGCUAGGAGUCUUUGCAUCCAUGAUGUGGGUCUCUAAACAUGCAACAUAAUCAGCUUCAUACCAUGUCACUGGUAGUCUUCCUCCUAUAUAUAUAUAUGUUGUCCAGUCACACAUAAUCCUUCGAAAUUAGUUCAUAUGUAUUCUACUUUUGAUUCCCAAUUAAAGAAAGUGAAUUAGAAACUUACCAGGAUUAUACUUCCCAAAAACAACAUCUGCAAUGGCGUGUCCGCCUUGCUCCCCAGGAAAGCCAACCCAGAGAAUGGCUGAGAUUCUGGGAUUAUUUUUAGCAAAAGUGAUGUCAAUAUUGCUACCACUGAGGACUACAAGAAUCACAGGACCACUGGAGACUUCAGCAACUUGUUUGAUCAGCUCUGUUUGGUUGCCUGGGAGUAGGAAAUCAACUCUAUCUACGAACUCAGCCUCGAUCGAUAAGUCAGUCCCUACGAAAAUGAUGGUAACUUCUGCAGAUUUUGCAGCUUCUUUUGCUUCAGAGAAAUAGGUAUCGUUACUGCAUGAAGCAUCCAAACAGCCCGUCGUAUACGUGACGUUUCCAAUGGCAGAAAAGGCUUCAAGAGGAGAUACAUACUUGCGGGGCAGCCCUACAUAUAAAGUGUAAGAUUCCCGACCCAUUAAAGAAAAAAAAAUGAGAAAAAUCUCAUACUGCACCUGCAUAGUUUCCAAUCAUAACUUCAGUAGCAUUGGCAUGGGGCCCAACCAAUGCUAACUUUUUUCCAGGUUUUAAUGGAAAAACUUCAUAAUCAUUCUUCAGAAGAACGAUCCCUUGUCUUGCGGCUUCCCUUGCCAACUCAAUGUGAUCUGCAGCACAGAUAUCCUUCAGUCCAAGCGACUCAUACGCCGGGAUACCAUCAAAGUAUCCAACCCUCAUAAGCAGAACAUAAAUAUUCUUCAACGCCCGGUCUAGUUCAUACUGACUCACUUUCCCAGUCAGGACUAAUUCGUUAAGGGCAUCAGUAUAGUAAUGGCCACAUUCCAAAUCCAACCCUGAAGAAUAUGAGGAUAUACAUUCAACUUACUUAGAUUACCAUGCAUGAGUUGCAUUGAAAGAAAGAGAAAUUGAUUAACUUCCCAACCUGCUUGUAGGGUUUUUGCAACAGCAUCCACCUUUGAGUCAUUAAGGUAGUUUUGAUUGUCCACAAUCACCUCAAGACCAUAACAAUCAGAUACUAUGUAUCUGUAACAGAAAUUGAAUCAGUAUUGGGAGCAGGCUAAAUACUUAGAAUAUGAAUCAUUUUAAGUUGUUGGAUCCGUAGCCGUGAAGAUCCCAUUCGUCUCUUAUCACUCCUUUCAAGAGUCUUGGAUCAGAACAAGGAGGGAUUCCGUUGAUUUUAUUAAAGGAGCACAUAACACUGCUUACAUCACCCUCUCUGACGCACCUCUCAAAUGGAGAGACAAAAGUCUCCUUCAUAUCUUGCUCAGAAACCUACCAAAAAAAUAAUAUGGACAUUAAAAAAAAACGAACUUUUAUCAUUGUGAAUUUAUGGAUGAAUGUUUAGUCUUACCCUUGCAUCGAAAGUAUGUCGAUCGAUGUUAAGCCAUGAAUCAAUAUCAUAAGCAGCAUAAUGCUUGCAGCAUGAGGAGACCUUGAGAGGCCUAGAGUUCAAAUCCGUAACGUUCUCUGUUCCCUCAACAUCCUGCAGGCCUCUAACGUAGUUAACUGCAAACUCACCAACCAUGAAAGGAUCUUCACGGGAUGUCUCUUGGGUCCUUCCCCAUCUUGUAUCACGUACUACAUUGAUGUUUGGACUCCAAAACGUCAACCCCGCAUGCCCCAAAUUGUACAUGGCUCUACCAUACAGCCAUCAAAUCCAACAAGUUAUAUAUAUAUAUAUAUUCACUAUUAUAUAAUAUAUAGGAAUAAAUUUAUAAGUUCAAGUAGGCCAAAGAAGUAUAUUCUUCACUCUUCAUUUCAUAUUUCCUUUUUUCUCUCUCCCCUUCUUUUUCUCAAAUAAGACAACAAAUAAAAAUCUCAAUCAUAUCCGACAGAUACUCCACACAAUCAAAAUGCUGCCCAUCCUGAUGCAGUGGUCUUGGUUGAUCCUGAGUUGGUGCUAGCAGGAAGGCUCUUCUACAAAUUCCAACAACUCUGAAAUAAAUAUACCAUUCACACCUAAAUAUAGCAGAUUACCAAUAUUCACCAUGCAAAAGUACAAGUCCCCUGGUGGAUCAUAUAUGUCAAUCUUUCUAUCCAUUAUUCAUGCCAAAUAUCAAGUUGAUUAGAGAUUAAGAGCUGCUGCAUCCUUACUGGACUCUGAAUGACAGUUUUCUUUCAAGUUUUUAAUGAAAUGAUGAUAGUUUAUGGAUAAGACAUUUUCAUAUUUAUAUAUCCAAAAAAACAAAAUGUAGUGGUGGUGGCAUCUAAAUCCAAUAGAGCGUUGGGAAAACAAAAGUUGUAAAGAACAUAAUUAAGGGCUGUAACAAUAACAAUAAGUAUUCACUAACUCUAACAAUAAGAAAAACAAUCUUAAAUCUGAAGGGCCCAAGACAAGAAAAUCAAAAAAGUCAUCCAUGAAAGGGAAAACCUGUCGGGGUUAAAGAACUACAACAACAAAAUCUUGGCAAGCCUCAAGAGACCUCAUCCAUGAAUAUUAGCAGCUUCCCAACCAAAUUGGCAGAUCAGGGUUGGUAAGGUCACGAGCCUGCAGAGCAGCAGUUCUUAGCGUCCUAAUUGUCGACAUGUUGGCCUCCCAAAACGAUAAACUCCUAUAAGGCAAAUUAUGCUUCUUGCAUAGGUCCUUCACCAAAGGGGAAAUGCUCCUCAAAUGGCACCUUGGCAACUGAGGAAACAAAUGGUGCUCAAGCUGAAACUGCAGACCACCAUGAAACCAGUCCAUCCAAGUUGAGCAUGAAAUAUAAAUUGUCCCACUAUUCUGCUUCUCAAACCAAUCGUUCCCACAAGGCGGCCCAACAUACACAUUAGCUGAAAAUUGGUUCAAAGUGAAUUAAAUAUGUUGAAUUGAAGUCCUUGUAGCAUUUGAACAAGUUGUGGGUUGAAUAGGGCUGAAGCUUGCUGUAAUUCAGCUGCGCACUCGUCGCUUCUGCUCCUCCUGGCACAUUCUACUGGUACACACCCCAUUCGUCCAGUGCUUGUCGGAUUCUCUUGUUGUUGCAUGUCGGAUUCCCCGCGGUGAGUUUAGAUGGAGUUGACAACUGAGUUCUACAUGAUGAGCCAAAAAACGUUUGGGUUGGGCCAUCCUCGCCACCUCUUCACGGAUGAUUUGCUGCAUAUUGAAACUGCUAUGGUGUUCAGUUUGAAGGAAAGAAGAAGACGACAUGACAGUGAGGCUGAGUGCUGCUGAUCAAAAUGUGCAUGUGCGGAGGAAUAAGGAGGGAGAAUUAGUGGAUGGGAAGUAUGGAUAGCUAUUCAUUAUCACAGGUGGAUUUUGGGCAGCUUGGGCAGCCCAAAGCAUGGGCUGUGUCAGAAGAAAGACUUUUGAUGUCUGGUGAAGGUGGUAGGGAUAGGUUUUUUUGAUUGCCUAAAGAAUAGGGUGUUGCAGGGUAUGGCAUGGUCUGAAGUACUUGUCUUGAGCAACUAAAAAUAAGCUUUAAAGAGAGAGUGGUAUGAGAUACGGUUUAAGCCAUCUGAAAUAUGAGCAGUAGCAUGUAGCAACAAAGCAUAAUUGAUGGGUGAGAUAAAUGGGAAGCUAGGCUAUUGAUGGACGGUUGAUGCAUGGGUUCGUUUAAGGUGUGUUUGGAAUGUUUUAAAUUAUAUGAAAGCUAAAUAUAAAUAUUUUAUAAAAUCAUACAAGUUGCAUAUUUGUUUUUUAUUUACAAAAUUAAAUUAUUUUAUGUUUUGAUGUGUGAUUUUUAAUAUCAUAUACACUUUACUUAUGAUUCAUGAUAUCUAAAAAUAAUAAUUAUUUUGGCAUGUUUAUUAUAUAAAAAAAAUAACACAUUUUGUUUUAUAUUUUAUAAGACAUGAAUUAGAUAACCAUAAUAAACUCAAAUUUUAAUUUUGUUUUUGGUUCAUAAAGUAUUAAAAAAAGAAUUGCUUUGAUAUAUUAAUAAACUCAAAUCUUUAUUUUGAUUUAGGAUUCCUUUGAUGUUAAAAAAUAAAAUUAUUUUAUCAUAAAAUAAAGAUUUGAAUAUAUAUUUAAUAACCUUAACAUAUUAUUUCUCAAUUUAAUCAUUCAAUAUAUUGAUUAAUACCUCAAUUUCUAUAAUUUAUAAGAUAAAGUUAACAAAAAAAACUUGAAUCUUAUUAAAUCAUUCUUAAAAAAAAAAAAACAACCUCAUUCCAAUUCAUUAUCAAAACCUUAUUAUAUUUUAUAUUUUUAAAGAAUAUGAUAUCAAUUAUUAUAUUAUUUUAAAACAUAAAUUUAUUUGUAAGAAUUAAGGGUUUAGAAUUCUAAACAAACCUAAAUAUGCUAUAACUCAAUAAAAAAACAAAGUCCUAAAUUAAUAAUUAAGGAUCACUACACACGAAAUAGGGAUCCACUUAUUCUCUCCAAAAUAUCUAAUUGAAAAUCCAAAACUAAUCAUCGAUAUAGUCUUACUAGACCAUCAAUUAAUAAAAGCUAAAAACAACUCAAAAAAUAACCACAAUUGCACACUAAAGCAUCAAAGCAUGUAGGAGGACAAUCCUAUAUGGAAUGUGUCAAGAGAACAAAAUAGAGGGUUUAUAAUAUUCUAAGAAAAAAAACACGUUACCAUAUACAUAAUCAUCUUUCUUAGUUUAGACUUUAAUAUGGUAGUAUCAAACUAAAGUUGUUUGAUUGUCAGCCACUUUAUUAAGCUAGGUUUAAGUCUUUUCAUACUUCAACUCUAUCCCAGUUCAUUUAUACUAUAUCUUUAUAUUUUAAUACUUAGGGUUUAUUUGCUUUCACUAGUAUUUUUCAAUUUUAUAAUUUCAAGGAGACGCCUAAAUAAUAUUACUUUAAGCAUUUUUUUAAUUUUUUUUGGUUUUAGGAUAUAAAUGGUCUAUUUGAUAACUGUUUUUUAGAAUAGUUUUUUUGUUCUCUAUAACAAAAAAAAAAAAAAAAAACCUUUGAUAAUAAAAAAUAUGAUAUUUUUAGAUAACAUCUUUUAGUUAUUUUCUAUUAUUUUCACUUCUUUUUUAUGAUUAUUUUUAAAAAUAAUUAUACAAACAUAUAAAAUUAUUAAAAAUAAAAUAUUAAACAUAAAAAUUAUUUUUAAAAAUAUUAAAAACAGGUUAAAAACAUUUUAGGUUUUAAAACAUAUAUAUUUUUUUUCACAUAAAACAUUAGAUAACAAUUUUUAUCUUGACUUUUUUUUCCUAUUGAGAGUGACAAUUUAUUUUGAAAACAUUAAAUAUAAAAAUUAAUAUAAAAUUUAUUUGAAAAACAUAUUUAAAAUAUUAAAAACAGUCUAAAAACAUUUUAAGUUUGAAAUAGAUUUUUAUUUUAUAAAUAUGAAAGAAUAAUUUUUAAAUGCUUGAUAGCUUUAUAUUUUUUAUUUUGUACCAUCAAAUUUUAAAAAAGAAAAUGGCUAACAAACAUGUGUGAUAUAUCAUAAUUCUAAAAACAAAAAUAUAAAUAUAUAUAUAUAUAUAUAUAUAUAUAUAAAUUAUAAAUUUUAUUAUUUACCCAUUUUUCUAAAGACAAUUUCAUAAAAUGAAUUAUUACUUUGGACUGUAUUUGGCAAUUAGUUCUGAAAAUAGUUUAAAAAAAAAAAAAGUUUUAAUAUUUUGUGUGGUGGAGUCACGUCAUCAGCAUCCUAAACCAUGAAAUGGUUAAAUGUUGCAGGUUAGAUGGGUUAGCUUUGGACUACUUAUAGGCUAUAGGAUAGUGGAGAAGUGGAGAAAAUGUCAUAUCCCCAAUCAUUAUCCCUAAAUUGUUAGCUACUUAUAGCAUAUCAAAAUACUGAACAUUACCACCCAGUCGGUGGAGAAAAAAAAUAAAAAAAAGGGAAAAAAAAAUCCAUAAAAAAAUGUGUUGAGGGGGAAAAAAAUCCAUAAAAACUUAUUACUAUAUAUUUAAACGUUUGUGAUAUAUAUAAUUAGAAUCAAGGAUAAAAAUAUCAAUAAUUAUAUAUAUAUCGCUACUGUGAUUUUAGGGAUAUAUCAGAAAUAUUAGAGAAAUAUCAAUGAAUAUUUUUUCACAAAUAUCGGUCGAGCGAAAAUUAUUUAACAUUCAUAGGAAUGAUUGGAAAAACUGUAAAAAUGAUAAAAUAAGCAAGAAUACACAUUUUAAAAUUAUUUUGUAAGUAUAAUUGACAUAGAUAUGAUAAAAAGAAAAAAACAUAGAUAAACAAACAUAUAUUGGUAUAUUCGAUAUUUCAAUUUUAAGAAUAAUAAAUAUGCAUUUUGGAAAUGAAUAAAGUUAGAAUUGAGUUAAAAAAAUAUUUGUUUUUAUUGAAUAAAAAUAAUUUAUACAUAUGAUAUUGCAAUAGGAGUUAGUAUCAAAAUAAAGAUCGAUAUGGUUCUAUCAUAUUAUUAGAUGAAGGGAGCCUAUCUUGUUGAAGACAAUAUUUAUUUUCAAAAUUUUAAAAUACUUUUAUUAUAACAUGUUUUAUUACAUUUUAAAUGAAAAAUGAAAUUAAUUUAUAUAAAAUAUUUUAUUUGAGAUUUAAUUUCUAUAAUUUUAUUAAAAAUAUGUUAUAACAAAUUUUUUUAUUAACAUUAAUUUAUUUAAAUAAUUAAAAUUAUUAAUAAUUUAUCUUAUGAAAUUAAUUUUAAUUUCUAAAAUAUGGCCCAUAGAAAGCCAAAUUUCUGAUUUCAUCAAGAUGGAUAAUUAAUAUAUAUUUUUAUUGAGGGAGGAAAAUUGUUCUCAUAAUUUGUUUCCUUGUUUUUCUAUUUGUACUAAAUCUAAAAAUCAAAAGGCCUCACUUCCUUUGACUCGGCCAUGAAGAAGCCAUUUCUCCAGUUGCCUUCCACAAGAGAGAAUCCCUAAAAAGGCCAUUUUUUCCUCUGCCACUCUCUUUCAACGCAAGUACUAAUCUGAUAUGGUUACUAUUACUAUUAUUAUUAUUGCAAUCCCCAUUUGAUUCCCACAAAAACUCUUUCCCCCAUUCCAUUUCUGGGAAGAUUCUUCCCCGGUUGAUUUCGGAGACAAUCCAUGCAAAACCCCCAUGGAAAACCAUAAAAAAAAAUGUUCUUUUUCUUUGUUCCGUGUGGUUUCUGGAUGUGUUGUAAGGGUGUCUUAGCUUUUGUACCAUUGGAUUUAAAUUUUAUGAACCCUAACUCCACGAUUUUUUGGGCAGGUUGAAAAACUCAACCUUUGCCUGCAAAUCAUGGUCAUAUUAUCGAAUAGCAUCUUAUGUUUUUUUUUUUUUUAAAAAAAACGGAUAGAUUUUGUAUCCUGUACGUGGGUUGGACUGGUAGGAAAUAUCGGUCAAUUUUCUGAAAAAUCGUAAAAAUACCGAUUAAUACCGAAAUAUCGGAUAAAUUUUUGAAAAAUUACCGAAAUUUCUGUGGACCAAUAAUUGGUUACGAAUUUUGUGUUGGAGUCGGUAUCUUUCAUCAUCCACAUGGGUAUGGAAUUGUUCCAUUUUUGGGACAAGGAGCUUAACUAAAGUUGGUGAAGUGGAGACAAAGCAGGAAGAUGGGAGGAAACUAUUCCUUUAUUUAUUAUUAUAAUUAUUAAUUGUUAAUUAUUAUAAUUAUUGAAAUGGUCGUCACUUUUUGAUUUUAUUGACUUAGAUGGAAGUGGAACCUCCAUAUGGCCAUAUAGGUUGGUGGUUGGCCCUUUAGUUUUUUUAUUUUCUUUUCUCCACCUAGUGUACUAGGAUUAGAUUAGGCAUCCUUUUGGAACUCUUAUAUAAAUUUUCAAGGAUAUUUCCCAUCGAAAUAGUAUUUUAUUAAUAAUUAUUAUGAAAGCAAUGACAAAAAAAUUUAUUAAAAAAAUAUGACAAAUUUUAUGGUAAAAUUAUUUAUUAAUCAAAAAUAGUUUCUAUGAAAAAGAUAAACAUGAAAUAUGAAAAUUCUAAAAUUAUUGAAAGAAAAAGAUUAUAAAAUAAAUAUCAUAAAUAAAUUAAAAUGGAUAUUUUAUAAUUCUAAUUUAUUUAUUACAAAAUUCAUUAUAAAAUAUUUUAUUGCUAUGUAAUAAUGGUCCACAAUUUUCAACCCAUUGUAGAAAUAAAGCAAAGCUUUCUCAAAUUGCAUUGGUACGUAAUGAUGAUCCUAUUUUUUUAGCCAAAAAGUAGAACAAGAAACAUGAAACCUGAUGAGAAAAAAAAAACAAACAAGGAGAAAAAGAACUAAGAGUUUUAAUGGAGAUUGAUGUUCUAUUUGUUGUUUAAAAGUUCAUCUCCUUGUACCAAAAAUGCAGGUCCUCCUAGGUUAGCUUUUGAAUUUCUCAAUCACUAGAGGACAAUUUCAAGGGACAAGUCUUGUUAAGGUAAUUUUUUACUCUCCCCGGUUUCUCUCUCUCUAUACUUUCCAAUGAAACUCUAACUUGUCAAUACUUCAUUUUUUUAUAAAGGAAAUUGAGCAUAAAUAAUCAAACUUGCAAUUGAGUUAUUUGAUGGUUAGUAGAUUUGGUCUAGUGGGUGGGUUUACUUUUAAUUUAAUUUGAUUCCAUUGAAUGUGACGUUGAUGACUUUAUAUUUUGAGUAUUAACUUUUGUUUGUUUGUUGCCAAGUGUAAUUAAAUUUCUCUACUCAUAAGUUUUCAAGUAAAUAUAUUUCUUUUUUCCUCUACUAGGCAAAUAGCAAAUAUGUUAAAGGAAUUAAAUGUAUUUCAUUUUAAUGUGUUUAGGAUACUUAGAUAGGAUUUAAAUAAGUUCAUGCAUGAAACAUUAGACUUCCCGUUCUAGCAUCCUUGUAUGAAAAAAAUUUCUCUUAUUACAUGCUAAGGACAUUUAAGUUGUCAAAGAAUGAAAAUGGUUCAUUGAUGAACAACUUUGAAGUUGACAACUUCUAAAUUUGUCUAGCAUGUGAAUGAGACUAUUUUUUUCUACAAAUGAUGCUUGAAGUGUCCAAUUGGACAAUAUAAGGAAAACAUAAUAUCUUUGAAGUUACGCUCUUAUGCUUGGUUCAUUUUUUAGAAAUUUCGAUAGUCGUUCCUUUUGUUCUCUAAGUGCAUAUUUGGACAAGGCUGAAUAAUAUGCCUUCUCCAUUUUGUGUACUUGGAGAACUAUAGGGAAAUGCUGUCGAAAUUUUUCUAAAAUGAAACGAAACAUAAUAGUUGUUGACAUGUAGGGAUUAUGUAUUCCUAUAUGGGAUAGGAACCACCACCUAAACUAGGAAGUUGGAGAUGUUAGAAUGCAUAAGACAUGUAGUAUAAGUUGAUAUUAGUUUAACAAGAUAGAAUCAUGAGAGUUAAUUAUGUUUCUUGGUUUAAUAUUUUGAUAUAUAAUUUUAUUUUAAUUUUACAGAAAUAUGCAUAAUAAAUUAUCUUUGACGAUUCGAGAGUGAAUAAAGACUUAAACAAAUGUAAGAUAUAUUUAUUUCUCAUUUGCAUGGUAGGACAUCAACUAGAUAGGAUCAUAAUUCUAUAAGAGAACCACAUUUAUUACUUUGGUUCAAUACGUAAUGAAAUUAAAUGUAUUUAAUAAGAUGAAAUAUCAUGAAGUAAUAGAAAUUUUAAAUUGAUAAUUUGUGGCAUUAACUACAAUGACAUGAAUUGAAUAAGACAAUUUUUAUAAUUAACCACCCCACUUUCAUAUACUUGUAGACAACAUGGAUAUAUUACAUGAUGAAUCCUUUUGAUAUAUGAUACAACAUUAACAUUUCAAAAGUGUUAAAACAAUUGCUUUUGUAGACAAAAAAAAAAAAAAAAAAAGGUCUAAUGCAUGGAGCAAGAGCCCUUACUCUUAACAAGUUGAUUCUAAUGUUAAAAUUCCUCAUGAUUAAUUCAUUGUGUAUUUGAAUCAUAGAAUGGAUCGAAGUUGGAUGUCUAAAGAUAGAAUGUCAAGGGAGUACGAGGAAGGAGUUGAAUACUUCAUUAAUUUUGCAUUAGAACAUUGUCCCAAUCAACGUGGAAUUCGUUGUCGUUGUAUGCGAUGUGGAAACUUAAUACAUCAUACACCUAACAAGACGGGAACAUAUGUUUUUCAAUGGAAUUGACCAGAGUUAUUAUACAUGGUAUUGGCAUGGAGAAGCAGGUCUUACUAGUAGCCAACCAACUGAAAUGGCACAACGUUAUGACACGAUGGAUUGUGGUGACGUUGCUAGUACAGUAGAAAUGGUUCAUGCUAUAGAAGAUGAGUUUAUGACAGACCCAAUGUCAUUUAAAAAAUUGCUUGAAGAUGCUGAAAAACCUUUGUAUCCUAGUUGUAUAAAGUUCACAAAACUUUCUGCACUAGUUAAAUUGUACAAUGUGAAGGCACGGUAUGGGUGGUCAGAUAAAAGCUUUUCAGAUUUACUCCAAAUAUUAGGGGAUAUGCUCCUGGUCAACAAUGAGAUGCCUUUAUCCAUGUAUGAGGCAAAGAAAACAUUGAAUGCAUUAGGGAUGGAAUACAAAAAGAUACAUGCAUGCCCAAAUGAUUGCAUACUAUACAGGAAUGAGUUAAAUAAAGCAUCUUCAUGUCCUACUUGUGGAACGUCAAGGUGGAAGGUAAACAAGGCAGGGGCAAGAAACACUAAGAGGAUUCUUGCAAAAGUGUUGUGGUAUUUCCCACCCAUCCCUAGGUUUAAGAGGAUGUUUCAAUCUCCCAAAAUAGCGAAAGACCUAAAAUGGCAUGCACAAGGAAGAGAAAAUAAUGGUAAACUUCGACACCCAGUGGAUUCCCCAACAUGGCAACUAGUGAACCAAAUGUGGCCUGAAUUUGCUUCGGAUUGUAGGAACCUUAGACUUGCCAUUUCAGCAGAUGGUAUCAAUCCUCAUAGCUCCAUGACCAGUAGGCAUAGUUGUUGGCUUGUUCUCACAAUAACUUACAACCUUCCCCCUUGGUUAUGCAUGAAGAGGAAAUUUAUGAUGUUAUCUUUACUAAUAUCAGGACCACGACAACCUGGUAAGGAUAUCGAUGUUUAUUUGGCACCAUUAGUUGAUGAUUUGAAAACAUUGUGGGAUGUAGGGGUGAAAGCCUAUGAUGCACAUCAACAAGAGUUCUUCACAUUAAAUGCUAUUUUGUUAUGGACGAUUAAUGAUUUCCCUGCAUAUGGAAACUUGUCUGGUUGCACCGUUAAGGGAUAUUAUGCUUGUCUAAUAUGUGGUGAAGAAACAAAUUCACAUUGGCUAAAACAUGGGAAUAAGAACUCAUACACCGGGCAUAGAAGAUUUCUUCCAUGCAACCAUCCAUUUAGAAAGCAAAAGAAGGCAUUUAAUGGUGAACAAGAGUUUAGGUUACCUCCAAAAGAACUUACUGGAGAUGAAAUAUUUACAAAGGUUGAUAUGAUUCAUAACUCAUGGGGGAAAAAAAAAGGCUAAACAAUGUGAAUCCUUUGCUAAUCCGACAAGUUGCUGGAAAAAGAAGUCUAUAUUUUUUGAACUUGAAUAUUGGAGAUAUUUUUAUAUCCGACACAACUUGGAUGUCAUGCAUAUAGAGAAGAAUGUUUGCGAGAGCAUCAUUGGAACUUUGCUUAACAUUCCAGGUAAAACAAAGGAUGGAGUAAAGUCUCGACUUGAUUUUCUCGAAAUGGGCUUAAGGCCUAACUUAGCACCAAGGUUUGGGUUGAAGCGAACUUAUCUUCCUCCUGCAUGCUAUACUCUUAGUAGAAAGAAGAAGAAAAUACUAUUACAGACUUUAGCUGAUUUGAAGGUUCCAGAAGGUUAUUGUUCAAACUUUAGAAACCUUGUGUCCAUGGAAGAGCUAAAGCUUAAUGGUCUUAAGUCCCAUGAUUAUCAUGCACUUAUGCAACAACUACUACCAGUAGCAAUAAGAUCCGUGUUGCCUAAGCAUGUCAGAUAUGCCAUUACAAGAUUGUGUUUUUUCUUUAAUGCGCUUUGUGCAAAGGUGGUGGACGUGUCAAGAUUGAAUGAUAUACAACAGGACAUAGUGGUGACUUUGUGCUUGCUAGAGAAAUAUUUUCCACCUUCCAUCUUUGACAUCAUGCUUCAUUUAACAGUGCAUUUGGUAAGAGAGGUUAGAUUAUGUGGACCAGUGUAUAUGAGAUGGAUGUACCCAUUUGAAAGGUACAUGAAAGUCCUCAAGGGUUAUGUUCGAAAUCAUAAUCGUCUAGAAGGGUGCAUUGCUGAGUGCUAUAUCGCAGAGGAAGCCUUAGAGUUUUGUACAGAGUAUUUAUCGUGCAUGGAUGCAAUUGGGAUUUCUUCUAGUGUGAAAGAUGAAUGGAAAUGUGGGAAACCAUUACUUGGUGGUCGUGCAAUAACUAUUCAUGAUUACAAAUUGGUGGAGCAACCACAUCAUUAUGUUCUACAAAAUACAACCAUUGUACAACCGUUUAUUGAGUAAGUGUCAUAUAUGUGAAUAUUUGAUUUUAAAAUUCUAACUAAUGUUUAUACAAACCAUGACUUGCCUAUUUUUGCUUGAUAGUGAACAUAUGAAAUAUUUGAAGACAAAAUAUCCUCGUCAAUCAAAGAGAGUGAAGUGGCUAGAGGAUGAACAUGUGCGCACAUUUAGUUAUUGGCUUAGAAAAAAGGUAUGAAACUAUUCAUACUCCCCUUAAAAUUUAAUGCUUACAAAAUUUAAAUUACAUUAACUUACAUAUCAUUAAUGAACCUUAUAGGUUUCAGAUGACAUAAGUAAGAAAGAACCUAUUGAAAAGGAACUUAAGUGGCUUGCACAAGGACCAAGACAACAAGUUCUUACGUACCUUGGAUAUAUCAUUCAUGGUUGUCGUUACCACAUCAAGAACCAUGAUGAGGCACGAGUCAACCAAAAUAGUGGUGUUAGUAUUGUGGCAUCGACCAUGCAAAUUGCAAGUUCCAAAGAUAAGAAUCCUGUGCUUGGUGACAUGUGUUUUUAUGGGAUUAUCACAGAGAUAUGGGACCUUGAUUAUAACAUGUUUAACAUUUGUGUUUUUAAGUGUGAUUGGGUUGAUAGCAAGAAUGGUGUCAAAGUUGAUGAGCUUGGUUUUACAUUAGUUGAUUUGAGCAAGAUAGGACAUAAAUCAGAUCCUUUCAUUUUGGCAAUGCAAGCCCAACAAGUUUUUUAUGUAGAAGAUCAAGUUGAUCCAAGAUGGUCUAUUGUAUUAUCAAGGCCAAAAAUGGAGUUGUUUGACAUAGAAGGUGAUGACAACAUAGCCGACAAUUGUAUGGAGCAUCACCCAUUCGCGAAUGGGAUGCCUAAUAUUAAGUCUUUUGAUGAAGUUGAAGAUUAUGAUGAAAUUUGUAUGCGUACUGAUUGUGAGGGGAUUUGGAUUGAAAAUUAAGCUUAAUACUUUUUUUUGGUUGUGAUUGUGAUUACUAAGUGUAUUAUGUGAUUUUUGAGUUAUUGUUAAUAUACAAUAUGAUGCUCAACAAUGUUAUGUUUUUAUUUUAUUCUUGUCAAAUAUAUUUUUAUUAUUAUAUACUUGCUAAGCUAUUCUAAAUAAAUGUAGUUAGCAUCAUAUUUAUAUAUUUUGAAUAGUUUGAACUUUCAUUUGAGCUUAAUUGAUAUGUAGUUAAAUAAAUGUUGCUUAUAUGUUGAUAUUGUAUGUUUAAUUUAAGAUUAGACAAGAUAAAGCCAUUACUCACUUAUUUCAUAUUGAUUCAACUUUUAAAUAAUUUAAGGGGUAAUUGCAUUGAAGGUUUCCAUAGAUUUGAAUUAAAAACUUUAAAUCAAAGUGUUAAACUACGUACUAUGCAAAACAAAGCAAAAGGUUUUAUGGGAAGAUAGAUUGAAUCCACCAACCCAUAAUGAACCGGUUUGAAACAUUAAUAAAUAACAUAUAUGAAUUAACUGUAAACAUAAUAACAACCUACCUUAUAUGAAGUUGAUCUUCGUUAGGAGUCAUCUAACAAUGGAAAAAUAUGUUUUAAUUGAUAGUUGAAUAUUCUUAUUUCCAACUGAAAUGGUGUAUGAAUACCAUAAUUUUUAUUUUCUUGCUCUUUCCUUUGUUUUAGGUCACUUGUUUAUGCUAGAGAACAAAACUUUUGAGAGAUAAUUGAUCAAGUUGCAAUUUUUGUGUAAUUGAAUAACAUUAGUUUUAAAAAAUUCAAAUAAAGUUUCAUUAAUGUGAAUUUGGUGGAUUUUUUACUUUAUGUGAAUUUAGAGAAAAUCUUCUUCAAUUUAUUUUACUUCAACGAAUGUAGUCUUUGGUUUGUUAUUGUUAACUAUUAGUGACAUUACUCCAUCCUCAAUAUUGUGUAAGUGAAGCCAUGUAUCCUAGAAUCAUUAAAGUUAAGGCAACCACAUCUCAUUACAUAUGAUUAAUACUUAUAUGCUUAAUAGUAGGAAAAUCAAACACCUUGCAAUGCAUCCUCAACCCACACUUUUAAACUUCAUUUUAUGAGUAUUGCAUCCUAACUAGAAACAUGCAUUCCAAUUAGGACCUUAUAACAGUAGUGACUAAAAUAGAUGUAAUUUAACUAAGCUAUAAGUAGAAUGUGUGUGUGUGUGUGUGUGUUUAUAAGAUAAGUCAUGGUAAUUUUCUUUAAACUCGAUGAUAUGUUGUUGUUGAGGUUUAGCAAUAGAUUAGCCUAUUAAUUUUAUGCAUAUUUUAUAAUCAACAUUUAAGAUUAAUUUUCAUGUAUUGCAAAGUUUGUACAACAAUGAUUUAUUCAUACUUAUGAAAUCAUUUCGUAACUAAUUUCUUUCGAUUUAGUUGAGAUGCAUUUUCAAGUGUUGUUUAUUAUUGCCUAAUUCUGAAUUAUUUGGGAACUUGGGAGAAAAGUGCUACAUUUUUACGGAUGGCUCCACCAAGAAGAGAUAAAAAGCAGGUAACUAUUAAAAUAUCAUGUUUUACUUUUGAAUGUAAGAUAUAUAUAUAUAUGUAUGUAUGUAUUAUGAGAUUAAUCAUAUUCUUUUGAUUGUCAUGUAGAUGGAUGAAAAGGAAGGAAAACAGAAGAUUACUUCACCAAAAAGGUUAAGAGGCCCAACUUUAAAACCUGAAAUUGCUAAAAAGAGAAGUGAAAGACUGAAAAUUGACAUUCAAUAUAAUGAUGAUGGUGAGGGAGUGGGUGAGGGAUAUGUACAACUUGUAUCAUACAUGGGUGUGUUAGCACGAACCAUGGUGCCAGUUUAUCAUACUGAUUGGAGAGUAGUGUCUGUGGAAUUGAAGGAGAAAUUAUGGGAUUGCGUUAAGGUAUAUAGAAAUCUAUUGAAAUUAUUUUUCUAUAUUUUGUGUAGACUGACAUGAUUAUUAAAUAAUCAAUAUCUUCUUAUAAAGUAUGUAGUAAUCUAAUGAAAUUAUUUUCCUUUAUUUUGUGUAAAUAAUCAAGAUCUUAUAUUUUAGGGUGCAUUCUUGGUUGAUGAGAAUAGAAAAAACAACGUCAUAUCAUCCAUUGGGACUAGCUUUAGGUCAUUCAGGCAUAGAUUGACACAAGAGUAUAUCCUGCUUUAUAAGGAUAAGCCCGAGUAUCUUUUGCAGCCACCAACUGAAUAUAAUUACAUUCCAAUUGAAGACUGGAGAAAGUUAGUGGCUAAUAGGUUGUCAAAAGAGUUUCAAGUUAAAUCAAAAAAAGGAAAAGAAAGGAGGGCAAAAUACGUUUAUAUUCAUCGAGUGAGUAGGAAAGGAUAUGCAGGACUUCAAGAAGAAUUGGUAAGUUGAAUUAGUAUAUUUUAUUUUGUUGGACAUUUACUUUUGUAAAGUUUAAGUACUUCACUUUUUUGUUUUUUGAUAGAUGCAAAAGACAGGUUCGAGGAAACCUAUUGAUAGAUGGGUCUUGUGGAAGCUAACAAGAUUGAAAAAAGGUGAAUAUGAUGAAGUUACGAGGCCUGUAGUGGAAAAGAUUGUAAGUUGUCAAACCUAUACUUAGUUUUAGUCAAUUUCAUUUGUUUUUAUUUAUUUAAUAUGACUUUUGAAGUAUCUUAUAUUUUUUUGGAGGAUGAGUUGACAAAGGCUGUUGAGGAAGGAAAGAUCACAUGUGUUGGCCAAAAGGAUAUCCUUACUUUAGCAUUGGGUACAUUAGAGCAUCCUGGACGGGUUAGAGGAAAAGGUGGAAAAAAAAAGCCCAAACAAUUCUUCAACACACCAAAACCCACAAAAACUCUUGAAAAGGAGGAAUGUCAAAGGAUGUUAAUGGAGAAAGUCAAGAGCUUGGAAGAGGAGAUCAUUGCUUUGAAAGCUGGAAAAAAAGAACCCCUCACACCCCGCUCUGAAGUGAGCAGCACAAACAUAAGGAAACAAUUGUUGCAACAUGAAGAAAUAGGAGGGAAGACUCAUGAUAGUGCUCAUGUGGAGAACCUAUCAGCACAAGGGACUCGAAAAGCUUCUCCACUAACUCAGGUAUAUAUGCCUUUUUCUAAGUUAAAUUUAUAAAAACAAUAUAUAAAAUAACUAUAAUGAAAGACUAAGGAUUACAAAAUAUGUUUUUACAGGUUUAUAAAUGCAAAUUAGCUCUUGAAACUGAAGAUAACAUUGUUGCAUAUGGAACUUAUUUACGAGAUUCACAGAUUUCCAUUGAUGGUGCUGAUAUAUUAGUGGUCAUCCUUUACCCUCUUCAACCUAAUGCACUUCUUCCAUUCCCACUUUCUGAAAACAUUAGGACAAUAAGGGAGGGUGUUGGAUAUGAGGUUUUGUGGCCUAUUGCAUUUGUGAUAAAUGAUGAUGAUGAGGUGAAUAACGUUAUACCCAAACUUUCAAAGUUGAGUUAUAUUUUCCUACACUCUUGGUUUCUUUAUUAAUCAUUUUAAUGUCAUGCAUCUAUUUAUGUGUUUAGGAUGUUGGCAAGAGGAAGAAUAAAAUGAAGAAGAUACAAGCAUCCCCAAAGAAAAUCAAAUAUGAGAAUCCUAGAGAUGUACAACUAUUUUCUAAAACAGUUUCAACAAUGUUGGAGGGUAAAUCGGCACCCAAAGUUGACUUUCCAAUCAAUGUUUUUGGGAUGAAAUUUCAAACUUUCCUCUUGACAAGUGAAAUGAAUGAUGUAAUUUCUGCAAAAGAGUUGACUAUGAAUUGCAUAUGUUUCUAUAUUUGGUGAGAUUUUGUUGUAAAUCUUUAUGUUACAUUCAUGAUAUAAAUAAGUAGAAGCUGUUUUUUUGUUAAGUAAUUUUAAAUUGGGUGAUAUUUCAUUAGGCGGUUGCAUGAACAUCUGGAUGAGACACUACAGGAGAAAAUUAUAUUUAUUCAUCCAGGAAUGGUGUCCAAGGCUGGAACAAUAGCCCCACAAAUUGAAAAAAGAGCAAGGUUCAUUGUUGAUCGCCUAAUUGACUCCAAAUUGGCAGACUUGGUUUUUCUUCCAUAUAACCCAAGGUAAGUUGUUAAUCAUAAUUGUUUUUAAUUUCUUAGCCUUAUAAAUGCUAUUUAUCUAAAUUAUAUGUUAAUAUAUUGUAGGUUUCAUUGGGUUUUGGUUGUAAUUGACCUCAAAUCACAAAUAGUCUACUAUUUAGACUCGCAAUUGCAACAACCAUACCAAGAUAUAAAAGAUAUUGUGAACAUGUAAGCCUACCAUAAUUUUAGUUUUCAUAUCUCAAAACGAACACUAAUGUAAUCUUAUUUUUUGUAGGGGGUUUCGAAUUUUUGUAUCUCAAAAGAAGAAAGGAUCUAAAAAAGAGCUCAAGUGGAUGGUUGUUGAGGUUACAUUUUUUUUUUUCUCCUAAACUUUUUGAAGACUUACCUACAUUUAAGUUGCUUUCUUGAAUGAAAAUUUACUUGAUUUUUGAAAUGUAAAGAUUCUAUAUGGCUUUCUCUCACAUGAAUAUAUACAUAUAUAUAUAUAUAUAUAUAUAUAUAUAUAUAUAUAUAUAUGAAUUUUCUUAGUUUAUAAUUGUUUUUGUUAUUAUUUCCUAUUUCUAACUUGAGUUGAGAAGGAUGCCAUAUAUGUUUGUUUCACUACCUUACGAAAAUAUAAUCUAAAAUGCUAUGAAUACAAUGUACUCAUAUGUCCAUUAUUCCACUAUUAAUUAAUGAAGUAGUACUAAAAAAGAACAAACCCAUUUUUUCAUGUGAUUGAAAGAUUUAUGAUCCAUUUUUACCUUCUACAAUUAAUAUUUCAAGAAAUAGUAAUAGAAACUAGAAGAAAAAUAGUAAAAUUUUUGUUAAAAAUGCAUGACUAGAAGACUUUUUUCAAUUGUAUUAUGAUGUGGAAGAUCAAACCUUAGAAAAUUCAAGCAUAAAAAAAAUUAAUAUAUACAUAAUUAGUCAAUUUGAAAUGUUGGUCAUAGGAAGAACAAUUAUUAAAUUUUGAUCACUAUAUCCAUAGCAUUUACAAUCCUUUAGAACAAUUUAGAUGUAUGUGUGGGUAAGGAAGCAAUGGGGAUCCUUUAGAUAGCUUUGAUCAUGUUACUUAGGUGUGAGUUGUUCUUUAUAUCUUUCUUUUAACCUUAGUAUGUCUUAUAUACAUCCUAUAUUUAGUUUAGAUGUUUCUUGUAAGGCACAACCUCUCUCUUUCUCUUUCUCUCUUUAAUCAAAACUCUUUACUCUUUUAUCCAUCUUCAAUCAAAUUGUUCAUAUGUAAAACAUUUAUUCCUUAUAAUUACUAAUUGCAUUUCUCUUCUAUAAUGUCAAUCUAUGAGAUGUAAAAUGAGGUUAAUACUACAUAUUUCCAAAUAUAUUAUCGAUAAUUGCUCUUGAAGCUUGAUUGAUUUACCUUAAUGAAGUCUUCAAAGUCAUGAUCUUUUCUAAGGGAUAUUCUCACAUAGACAAAAGUUAACUAUUAUAUUUUUUUAAAGUUAAUCACUAUUCUUAAUAAAUAUAAUUGAUCAUUACCUUUAUCUAUUCAUUUUUUUUUCUCCAUAUUUCACAUAUACAUGUUAUUGUACAUUCUUAUAUUUUACCUAAUUUAACCCUCCAAGUUGUAAACAUGGGAGCUUAAGGUAUUAUGCUAGACAUGUAUUGAGUAUAAUUUAGGUGCAAAUUUUACUUGAAACUAACAUUAUGUCAUUCAUUCUUUUUUUAAAUUUAAAAUGUGAAUGAUGAAAAAAUUGACCAAAUUUAUAUGAUGUCAUAUUUGAUUGUGAAAUUUUGUUGCUAUAAUUUUGCUCAUAGAGGCCCAAACAGUUGGAUGGUGUCAUGUGCUGAUAUUUUGUCAUGCGAUACAUGCAAGACAUAAUUGCAAAUAGAAGUCUCUUAACAUCUCAGGUUUAUCUGCCUAUGUAUUUUCAUAAGCACAUGAGAACUUAUACAUAUAUUUAAUGUUUCACAAUAACAUAUUUUCUCUUGUCAUAUAUUUUAGUUUGAAGGAAAAAAACCUAUUCACGAGCUAAGUUAGAUGAAGUGAGAUCUGAAUGGGUCUCAUUUUUUAGCACUCUUAUCUUAGACCAAGUAUAGUGGGUAUGUUAAUUUAUAAUUUUUUCAUAAAAUUUCAGACAUAGAUUUCAAUUAAUGUUGCAUCUUUUCUCUUUGCAAGGUUUCGGGUGACAUUUGCAGUUGUUGCAAUUUUGAGAUGACAAGAUCAUAUGUAAGAUCUUAUUGUCAUGCAUAGAUGCUGAAGUUUUGGAUACUUUUGGGUACAUACCUAUAUCUUUUAAAAGAUACAUUUGAUGAAAGUACUAAUUCAUGUUUUUUUUUUAUUAUGUAUGUUUGUUGGAUUCUUUUCGCAUAAAUUUUGGUACAUGUUAAUAUCAUUUUAGUAAAAUUUCAAAUAUAGACUUAAAGUAAUGUUUUUUUUUUUUUUUUUUUACUUGCAAGAGGUUGGGUGGCAUUUGUAGCACUUGCAAUUUUUAGAGUAUAAAAUCAUGUAUAAAUUCUUGUUAUCAUGCAUAAUUAUUUAAUUUUUGGUUCUUUUUUAGUAAAUAUCUUAUAUAUAUAUAUAUAUAUAUAUAUUUGAUAAUAGUAUAAGAUCAUGUAUACUUGUUAGGUUGUUUGUGGAUACAUUUUGAUAUAUUUAGGAUACAUAUUUAUAUCUUUUUAAUGAACUUUCAAACACAAAUAUAAAAUAAUGUUGUUUUUUUUCAUACUUGCAAAAAAUUAGGUGACAUGUUUAAUAUACAUUGGAUGUAGAUUUUAUGAAUAAAAAAUGAUACAUAAUCUAUCUAAAGCAGAUUUUACUUGGCUGUCUUAGUAAUGCUACAAAAUGAGUUUAAGCUUGCCUUUUGUUAAUCUUGCAGGUUCAUAGAAAUGUUAUCCAACAUAAAGGAAAGUGCCACUCUUCCUCUCCAUUGAAAUGGUGUUCACCAUGGAAGGAAAACUCCUCUCAUCAAUUAGUUUUUGGUUUGCCAAUGCCAUAACAAGUUAAGGUUAGCUCCUUGCUAGUGAUUAAAUUUGAGAUUUCAAAAUUUUCAAAGAUCGUAUCAACUUGAAUUUGGUUUAGGAGUUGAAUGUCUUAGUCCUACAUGGUAUGCAUUUUAAAUAACACAUCUUGUCUUUCAUUUCACAUCCAUGGAUUUGAGAUUGUAAACAUGUUAUCAAAAUCUAAAGCUGCAGUCCUAGAAGUUGUCCCAAACAACAAAGGGCACUCACAACCAAGUAAGUUGAAGAAUAAUCUUUCAAUGCAUUUCUUUUUGGUUAUUAAUGUGUUGUAGUACAAAUUAAGGUCAUAAGAUAAGUACAUUAUGAAUUUUGUAUAUACAAACAAUGGUCUUUGCUGAUCUGAUAAGAUGUCUUAUUUGUUGCACACCAUCAUGUUAUUACUACAGAUCAUUCUUCUUCUUUGUUAUAAUAAAAUAGGAUCUCUUUCAAAGAUGGAAAGGUCAAUUCACCUCGAAACUUUCUUGCUAGUACCCACUUCGAGGUUGUUCAUAAAAAUCAAAUGACUCUCUUCAAUCCCCCAUUUGUAUAUGGUUUUCUCACCUUUUGGACUUCAACUGCUUCUCAAGUGCCAUCUUCUAAGUCAUAUAUCAAGCAAUCUAAAUCAGGAACAUACCUUGAUUCCUUCAUAUGCCCAAUCAAAUUUUCCAGAACUUGAUAUAUCCCCUCUAUUUUGGGGCCCACCUCAUCCCCAACAACAAACUAUAGACAUGAUUUCCUACCUCGACCCAGCAACUACCAGUCUCCUUCUUAUUUCCCAUUUUUUUCAUCAACUUUCUCAGUCUUACAAACUCCCCCACUUACCAUCAACUGCAUAUAUAUUUGAUAGCAUCACAUAAGUCCCUGCCAUAUUAGGCCUCAAAUCCAAUAUCCUGUGAGCAGCUAAUUUUCUGGAAUUGGGAAACCUGUGUGCUUUACAAGCUCCAAGAAAUGGCCCCCAAACGCACUCAUCAGUCUUGAAUGGCAUGCUCUCUAUGAGUUCAUAAGCUUCCUCAACUUUCCCAACACGUCCUAGCAAAUCCACUUCACACCCAUAAAUCUCCUGGUCUAGACUAAUGUUAUAAUCACCCACCAUUAAUUUAAAAUAUCUCAAGCCUUCAUCUACAAGUCCAGCAUGACUGCAAGCACUAAGAAUGCCCAUAAACAAGACUCAGUCAGGCUUAAUAUCUGACCUGACCAUCUUGUCAAACAAUUCAACAACCUCUUCUCCAUACCCAUGAGUCCCAUACCCAAUCAUCAUGGUAGUCCAAGAAACCAAAUCUCUAUGAGACAUACCCCCAAAAACUUGGUGUGAAUAAACAAUAUUUCCACAUUUGGAAUACAUGUCUAUAAGGACAUUAGACAAGGCCAAAUUCCCAUCAAGGCCUCUUCGAAUAAUCCUCCCAUGAAUCUGUUGUCCACAAUUCAAAAAUGCUAAGGUCAUGCAGGCAGCCAUAAUGCUGGUAAAUGUGAAGCUAACUAAGAUAAGAAGAAAUAACAUGUAGGAUAAAUCACUCAAAGAGGGUAUAUCCGAAGUCUCAGAAGAAUUUGACACUGGUCGGAUAAAUUUUAUACUUAAACUGAAUAUAGAAUGUCUACCCACCUGGUUUGAGUGAAGAUCUAAUGUCCCUAAAAGAGAAAGUGCCCCAAUCUCUGCUGGUAGCAAAGACAACACGUUAUUCUUGAAACUUGAAGCCACGACAAUUAGAUGAAUAUCAAAUAUAAAAAGAUUUAAAAUGAAAGAAAAUCUACGUACACCAGACACUCCCAAAUAUCUAAAAUUUUUUGCUACAAGGAAUGAGAAUAUGACCCCAUAUAAAACUCUGCAAGGGAACAACAACCCUUUAUUGAUGCUGGUAUUGAUGAAAUUCCUGCAUAACUCAGAUGCACAUGUUUCAUUAGAAGAGUUGAGAGAAAAUAGUUAAGAUAAAAGAGUAUACUUAAAAACCACUAUUAAUUCCUCUAAAAAUUUACAUACGUACUGGAAAAACCUUGUAGAGACUAGAUUCACUCACUGUUCUGAUGAAAGUCAAGACGAAUGAGACGUGAAAGCCUUCUAAUAUUCUCUGGCAAGCUAGUCAACAAGUUUCUUGCUGUGAAAAUAGCAAGCAAACACAGUUUUGAGAAUACUUUAAGUAUAUUUAAACAAAGAAUCAGAUAUUGGUGGCAUCAGAUAAAGGACUAUUUACAUGUCUCAGUUGGAUUGGAUCUUUCAUAUCCCGCGAUCAAGGUGUUCCAUGUGAUCAAAUCCCUUUGAUUCAUUUCAUAGAAAUAUCUAUUUGCUUCAGAGAAACAACUACACCUGCAAUACAUGUCUAGUAUAGAAUUCAUGACAGGAAGAUUGGAUUCAAACCCAUGUUUAGUCACUGCUGCAUGCAGUUUUGGACUAAUUGAAUCGAGUUUCUCACUAUGAGUGGAAUUGGAUGAAAAUGAGUGGUAGAUAGUAGUCAUGAGUGGAUACAUCUAGUGUUCUAAUCUUAGUUCAGAACUAUGUUUUGGACUAUUUGAUAAUAGUAUAAGAUCAUGUAUACUUGCUGGGUUGUUUGUGGAUACAUUUUGAUAUAUUUAGGAUACAUAUUUAUAUCUUUUUAAUGAACUUUCAAACACAAAUAUAAAAUAAUGUUGUUUUUUUUUCAUACUUGCAAAAGAUUAGGUGACAUGUUUAAUAUACAUUGGAUGUAGAUUUUUUUUCAUUGAAUUUUUAAUAAACUUUAAAAAAUAAAUAUAAAAUAAUGUUACUUUUUUCUUUCUUGCCAAAGGUUAGGUGACAUUUGCAGUGCUGUAGUUUUUAGAGGAGAAGAUCACGCAUAAAUUUUUGUUAUCAUGUACAACUACUUGAUAUUUGGUUAUUUUUGGGUAAAUAUCUAUUCUUUUUUCAUAUAUAUUUGACAAGAUAACAAGAUUUUAUAUAGUUGUUAGGUUGUUUGGGAAUAUAUUUGGAUACAUGUUUAUAUCCUUUUAUUAAUCUUUCAAAUAUAAACAUAUAUUGAUUUUUUUUUCUUACUUGCAGAAGAUUUGGUGGCAUUUGCAGCAAUUACAGCACUUUUGAAGGCACAAGAUCAUGGCUACAUUAUAUUUAUCAUGUAUAACUAUUGGAUUUUUGGGUACAUAUUUGCCUUUUUUUAGAUGUAUGUGAGAUAAUAUAAGAUUAUGCAAGGAUAUUAAGGUUUUUUUUUUUUUUUUUGUCAAUAUAUUUGCCUACAUGUUCAUAUUUUUUUUAAAGUAUAUUUUAUACAUUCAUGUACUUUAUAUAUAUAUAUAUAUAUAUAGACACACACACAACAGGUUCAAUUUUGAUGCAGAUUAUUUGGGUAACAGGUUAGGUUGUUGACAUGUUCCAUAUGCAACCUUGAUAUGAAAUAAAAUAAUUUCCUUUAUAUGAAUAAAGAAAUCUUGACAUAAAAGAAAUUGUAUUCCUUGACAUAAGAAUAAAAGAACCUUAACAUAUUAAAAUUUCAACUUUGAAAAAAAAAAAAUAACAAAAAACAUCCUUGACAUAUGUGUAAAUUAAAUUUAAAAGCAUAUAAAACAACAUUGACAUAUAUCAUACUUAAGCUUAACAUAUAUUGAAUAUAAUCUUGAAAAAACAAUGAGUUAACCUUCACAUAUGUUUAACCUAACCUUGACUAAAGUGGAAGAAACGUUUUAACAUAUGUCAUAUUAAUAAGAUUCCUACAUUGAUAGAAAUAAGGUCUACUUAACAUAUGCAUAUGUCAAGCUAGCUUUUAUCAUUUCUUGACACUGGCAUAGACGACAUAUGUGAAUACUGAUCUACCUUAACAGAUAUACCUUAUCUUGACGAUGAAAAACUGUCAAUGAAGACCUUUUUUCUUGUAGUGAAGGACACCAAUUAGCAAUAAAACACUCAGAAGAUAUUCAAAAAAGAAUUUUAACAAUAACCUCAGAAUUAGGUUCACAACCACCCUUAAAUAAUCAUCAAUUCAAUUUUGAUAAUAAUUCAAUUUUUGCAUCACCCUUCAAAAUUCCAAGAACUAAAGAUGAAUAAAGUCCCAUAAUUUAAAAAGAUAUUAGACAAGUUCAACAACAAUUAAAUUAUACAAAUCAUUCUCUUCAACAUUUAAAUCAACAAACAACAAAAAUUUCUCAAUUUUUGUUUUCUUCUACCCCAAGAGGGAGGAUAGGAGAAACAUCAUCAAAAUUAAAUUUUUCUUCAAAAGUUUCUUCAACUUUAUCAUCAUCAUCAUCAUCAUCAUCUUCUAAGUCUCUAGAUCAACCUUUCAUUAUUCCUAUAAAUGCUGCAAAAUCAAAUAUUCAAUUAGCAACACCAACAGAAACAAUGUUAAAAGAAAUACAACUUAGAUUAGAUAAACUUAAUAUUAAUGGUAUUAAUCAAAAUAAGAAUCAAAUUCAAACUAUAACAAAAGAAAAAUAAGAAAUUAAUAAAAUAGAAGAAUAAUUCAAAAUGUCUCCUGAUUCAAUAGUAAAACCCCUUACAACAGUCAAUGCAAUUUCUAAUAAUUUUGUAAGUAGAAAAAAUUAUUAUUCAAAACCCUCUUUUCCUAAUGUCCAAUUAGAAGAAAGAAAUUAUCAAUUAGCUGCUAGUUAUGAUGGUAGUAGUUUUUAUGAAUGGAAUAUAGAUGGAAUGAGUGAACAUCAAAUAAUCAAUUUGCUUCAUGAAAUGAUGAUGGCUGCUAAUGCUUAUAGAAUCAAGACUAGUAAUUCUGACUUUCAUGCUGUCAGUGCCUUGGUCAUAGGAUUCACUAGUUUGCUUAAAGAUUGGUGGGAUCAUUAUUUGAGUCAAAAUGAUAGAGAAUACAUAUUAAAUGCAAAAAAAGACAAUAAUCAAAGAAGAAGGAACAUCAGUUCAAACUUAUGAAGAAGAUGUUAUCAAUACUUUAAUAUUUGCAAUAACAAAACAUUUUGUAGGAGAUCCAAUCCAUUUUCAAGAACGAACCUCUGAAAUCCUCAACAAUCUUAGAUGUCCAACACUUCAAGAUUUUAAGUGGUAUAAACACAUGUUUUUAGUCAAAGUUAUGUCAAGACCAGAUUGUGGAAGUCAUUCUUGGAAAGAAAAAAUUAUAUCAGGAUUACCCACUUUAUUUGUAGAAAAAGUUAAACAAAGAAUAAGAAAUAUUCACAAUGGUAGAGUUCCUUAUGAGUCAUUAACAUAUGGAGAAUUAAUUACUUUUGUCAAUAAUGAAGGUUUAACACUUUGUACAGAUAUGAAAUUAAAGAGUCAAAUGAAAAAAGAAAAACAAGAUAGUAAAAAAGAAUUAGGAAAAUUUUGUUCAUAUUAUGGUAAUGAUACAAUAGUUGCCCCUUCAAAAAGAAAAAAUAAACAAAAUAAUAUAAAAGGUAAAAAAAACCCUCAAUAGAGUCAAAAUUCCAAAAGAAGUUUGUAAAAUAUACUCCUAAUAAAUCAAAAUCUUCAAAUAAAUCAACUUUAAAAAAGAAAACACCUACAUGUUAUAAAUGUCGAAAAGUAGGUCAUUAUUCAAAAUAUUGUCAAUUAGAAAAUAAGAUCAAUUCAUUAGAAAUAAGUAAUAAACUAAAAAAUUUAAUGAUAGAAUUAAUGAUUGAUAAAGAAAAUGGAGAAUCAAGUGAAAAUUAUAAAUCAGAAGAAGAUAAUUAAAUCUUGAUAACAUAAGAAAUAUCAAGUGAAGAGUCAAGUCUAGAAGAAGAAUCCGAUAAUAAAAAAGAUUGUGACGGUAUUUGUGCAUGCUCAUAUAAAUCAAUAAAUGUGAUUUCAAAAAAUUCAAAAACUUCCUUUAAUUUUCUUAUUCGCAAUUAUGUGCCCCUCAUGAAUUCAAUAUAUUUUCAAUUUUGGUAUGCUAAAGACAAACACAUUAGAUAUCUGCUUUAUGCUUCAAAAGAGGUACUAAAAUCUUAUUUUUCUCUACAAAUGGAGCAAUAACGAAUUAAGUUUGGGAAAUUUACUCUUCCAGUAUUUCCUAAAAGUAAUCUGUCCUUUUGGAUUCAUAAAUAUAUAUAAGGUUUAGACAGAUCACAAAAAUGCAUUUUAGACAACCUCUAGAAUGCAAAAAGUGAUGUUCAAAAGUUAGAAGCUUUAAAUGUUUUAUCUUUUCAUUUUAAAUAGAUAAAUAAUAAUUUAGACAGUUUUUCUAACCCUUCAAGUUCUGAUAUACAUUGCAUCCCUAUAGAUACAGAUCUUGAAAGCUUUAAUUGUAGGAAAAUUGCAAAAGAAUCUAAAGCUACAUUUUCAAAAUCUUUUCAAAAAGAAUUUCAAAAUGAAUUUUCAACACUUUCUGAUGAAAGCCUAGAAUGUCAACUUUCAAGAUUUUCAUUUUUCAAGCAAAAGAUUUUACAUCUUCCUCAAGAAGUUAGAUAGACAAUCAGUCAAAAGGUUCAAGCUACAAGGGAAGCAAAGUAAGAGCAUAUCAUGAAAUUGCUUGUUGACUGUAGCACUUUUGGAAUUAUUAUUCAAGGGAUGAGUUUUACUUGGAUUUCUCACUAUGACAACACUUAUAAUGAUUGUCCAAAAAUUGAUCCCUUGCGUAAGGAAAUUCCAUUAGAAAGGUAUGACUGUAAGUGUGCUCUUACUUACAGUAUUUGCAAAGCCAACAUUGACUUAGACAGUUAUAAGUCAAUAGUCAUCAAAUUCAAUAAUGAGUCAAUAGAGUUAACUCCAUCUCUCCUCAUGGAUUAUGGAGUUCUUUAUCAACUAAUUUUCUCUCAUCCUGAUCAAACUGACAGAUUUGGAAGAAAAUUAGCAGUUUGUAUUUUAAAUGUCUUCAUCAAAGAUUUCAAAUCAGUUGAACUCAUUAUAGAAAGCAAGCCUCUUGAAUGGUCUACUGAUGGAAGAGUUUACUCUACUCAACAUUUCAUACUGCUCAAAGCCAAUCAGAGAAAAUAUCAGUUGUUUGGUAUAGAGAUCCCUUGGCUCUGUACUAAAUUUGGCAUCAAAAAACAAAUCAGACAUUGGAGAUCAAGAAUGAUUGCAAGAGACCUUGAUUUUGAGAUUUAUAGUUCUUCUAACUAUAAUCUCGUUACUGAAGACAAUAUUCAAAAAAUCAUCUUUACAACUAAUUUUCCAAAAGUCCCUCUUUUGUUUCAAACUCAAUUUACUUAUCUUGUUGAUAAGUACAAAAAGGAGUAUGUCUUCGAAAAUGAAGUCCGACAAAAUUUUGAAAAAUAUCUCUUAGAAAUGCUUAGGGAAGAGAUAUCCAAAAUCUUUUGUACAACUGUAUCUUUGUAUAUUUGUGUCUUUGUAUUUAUCUAGUAAAAAAAAAAAAUUGUGAGAAGUAUGUAAAAAAAUGAAUUGUGAAGAAUGUAAAAAAAAAAAAAAAAAAAAUUAUCAUCAUUAUUAUAAACUUCCUCAAUCCUAUUUCUAAUGACUCAAACUAAGAGAUUGAUUACCCUAUGCAUUGUAUUUAGGAACUUAAUUGUAGUAAGGGAAGAGAAACAACUUAUAUUCAUAUGCAUAGUUGGAGGGUCUAAAAAUAUGCCGCUUACUAUAACAUGAUUCAAACAUUUUAGUAAAAUCUGCGUCCAACAAAACAACAAUUCAAUUUCUUUUGUAAAUUUAAAUCAUUAUUUCCAAUUCAAGAAUUUAAGAAAUCAUAUAAUAAAAUAUAAGUAUAAAAAGAUUAAUUGCUAACAAAUAUGUACCUAAAUGGAGAUGGCCUUACAUUAUGUUGCAAUGAAAUUCAUCUUACCUUAUUUUUGUAUGAUGGUUGUUAUUUUGAAACCACAUCACCCUCUGCAAAAGAGUUGAAUUCAUUGUGAUGAUAAUCAUAACACACCAAAAAUACAAUGAAAUAAAAAUAAAUAAAUACAUAAACAAGGAAGAAAAUAAAGGAAAAAUAAUGGGAAGUGAUGUAAGAUAUUUCACCUUUUCAACGAUGAACUCCAUUUGUUUCCAUCUUCCUUUUAAGACGAGCCACAUUCACUGCAGUGAAAACAUAUAGCCUAUCUCUGGUUUCAUCAAUGAACCGAAAAUAUGCCUGCCUCCAAGACUUCUUUAGAGCCAAACUACCACAUACAGCCCAAAAUCCCACCGGAAAGCCCAAUCCCAUGCUUAUGAAGAACCAUGACAUGUCCCAUUCACCUUCAUCUUCCUCCUCAUCUUUGUGAUCUUGAUCAUUUAGAGUGGAGCAGUUGGUUGACAAUGGAGGCCCAUAAAGUCCUGGGUUCGCCUCAUAAAUGGAUGGAUCAUUGAAUGUCGAGAACUGGUUGGUUGUUGGAAUUGGUCCUGACAGGCGGUUAUGCGAUAGGUUCAAAUGGUUCAAUGAGGUUAUAGAAGACGUGCUCGGAGGAAUUGGGCCUGACAGGCAGUUCCAUGAGAGGUCAAGAGUUUCUAGCCCUUGCAUGGCUCCAAUCUUCUCAGGUAUCUUUCCAGUCAACUGGUUUCGGGACAAAUUCAAGGCACCCAGGGUCGAGAGAUUUGUGAUCUCUUUUGGGAUCUCUCCCCAAAUGUUAUUGCUAGAAAGAUCUAUCAAAUUCAAAAUUGGCAAUAUGCUAUCAAAUUCCAUAUUUUGUCCCUUUACAACUAGCUCCAUGCUCUCCGAAUAGGAGCCAUGAGAUUCGAGGUUGUCAAAAUUUCUGUUUAAUAAGGCCACAAAACUUAAAGCAGUUAAAUUGCCUAAGCAUUGUGGGAUGAAUCCUGAUAAAUUGUUCACUGCAAGAUCCAAAAUGUGGAGAUGAGAAAGCCAACACAAUUGCUCAGGAAUAUCUCCCGUCAACAUGUUGCCUCGUAGACGCAUCUGCUCCAGUGAUGGCAUUCUUUCUCCAAUCCAUUUGGGUAUCUCACCCGAAAACCUGUUAUUCCCCAGAUCAAGGGAGGACAGCCCUGUGCAGUUUUGUAAACUUGGAGUGAGUUCCCCAGUAAGAUUGUUGUCACCCAAUAUCAACUGAGUAAGUGAAGAUUUUGAACACAUCCAACUCGGAAUCCCACCAGACAGUUUGUUCUUGGAUAGGUCUAUGGUGUCAAGAUGCUGCAAAUCACUCCAAUUCUUUGGAAUCUUUCCAGAUAAUUGAUUGUUUGAGAGAUCAAUUACUCGCAAAUCCUUUAGUUUACUCAUUGAUGAAGGAAUGCUGCCAUUUAACAAGUUACUAGAAACAUCGAGGACUUCCAAACUUGAUAAGUCCCCGAUGUUCAAGGGAAUUGGACCUGAAAAUGAAUUGUUUCCGAGAAAGAGCCAUGUCGCAUUAAACCAAAGUGGUAAUCGGCCCACCAAGCGGUUGAAGCUUAAAUCCACCAGGACUGAUGCUGGGCUAAAGGAUAAUGAGUUGGGAAGCUUUCCAUACAAUUGGUUUCUAGAAAGAUCUAACCACAAAAAAUAUAGUUUCCAAAGCCAUUCUGGUAUUGUAUCUGAAAUCCCCACAUUUUUUAGGGUUAUGAAGUGAAGUCUUUUUUGAGUUCUAAUCCAGUUAGGGAAUUUGAGAGAUACAUUGCAGUUGGAAAUAUCGAUAGACAUGAGACUGAAGGGAGGAAUCCAUUCAGGUCUCACAUGAAAACGGAAAGACUGCUUUGUGGGUGAUAAGUGUGAAGAGAAAUAUUCCAGUUUUGUAAGAUUACUGAAAUGAAUUUCAGACAUUACCCCUUCCCAAGAAUUCCAAUUAAGAUACAACACAGUCAGCUCUCUAAGUUGUCCGAUACUUUUUGGAAUCGUCCCAUUCAUUAGAUUGUUUGACAAGUCAAGUCUCUUCAUCCGCAGCAAGUUUCCAAUCCAUGUUGGAAUUGGACCUGAGAUGGAGUUUUCCCUCAGAUUAAGACUCUCUAAGUUGGUAAGGUGUUGAAUUGAAUUGGGGAAGGGACCAACAAAACUAUUAUAGCUCAAGUCCAGGGAUUUUAAAUUCUUAAAGAGCCCUAAUGAAUCUGGCAACUGACCACCGAAUCGAUUACCACCCAAGUGUAACCGUUCCAAGGAAUUAUUAGCGCAUGUCGAUAAACCAUUCACCAAUUCAAUUCCUUCACUUCCAAUACUAGCAUCAUUUAAAUAAAGAUCCGUGAGGGUGCUGAUGUUAAACAACCAGCCAGGAAAGGUAGUGCUGAGAUUGUUGUGGGAGAGGUCAAUGACCAAAAGAGAAGUCAAAUUAACAAACGAAAUGGAGUGAGGGAAGUCACCGAGUUCACAAUGGGACAAAUGUAAUUCUAACAAAAAUGGAAGCAUGUUUACAGCUUGCAUCCAAUUUGUGGUUGCUUUACUAAGGUUCACAUUCCCCAGAUCAAGGUAUUUUAAAGAAGAAAGACCAGAAAGCCAAUUCAAAUUAUGAACCCUCAUUAAUGGAGCACGAGAGUAGUAAUCUCCACUAAGAUCAAGAUAACAUAACUGUGACAAAUUUCCAAGAUGGGGAGGAAUCAUUCCACCAAAUGCUGCAUGAGAGAGAUUAAGGUAUCUCAACCUUUCAAAUGAGCCCAAGAAAUUUGGAAUUGGAAUUCCUUGAAAAUCAUUAAAACUUAGGUCCAAGUAAUUUAAAUGUUUCAAGUCAAGUAAGGAAUCACUUAUCUCACCACCCAAACCACCAUAUUUGAGGUCAACCUUGACAACAUGCCCUGUUUGGUUGUUGCAAUCCACACCUUUCCACUUGCAGCAAUCUGCACCAACCCAGGAAGAAAGCGUACGUGAAGGUUCUUUCAGUCCAUUUUUGAAUUCUAGAAGCGCUUUCCGCUCUACCUCAAUGCAGCCCUUGUUCAUACCACCAUCAAUGGAAUUGAUAAUAGUAGCUUGAGCUAGGAGAAGCUCGAGAAACAGAGAAAGGAGAAAAAGAGUAAGAAGUAGAAGGGUGGUUUUCCAACUUGCCAUUUGAUGAAUGCAAAGUUGCAAAGUUAUUAGUGGGUGCUAUAUAAAUAAUUUUGGUCUAAUUUAGUCAACUAUUUUAAGUCUUUUGGCCGCCAUAAAUAUAGAAGAAAUUAUCAAGUUCAAUCACAAUCGGAUCACAUAUCUCUUCCAUCCCUGAGUAAAUUAAUUCAAGACACUAAUUACCAAGUUUUUGGUCCAAAGAAAAAAAGAAUUUUUUUUAUUUCUAAUUUACACUCAUCUAAUUAUUAACUAGAAUAAAAAAUUUCAAUUAAUUAAAAAAAUAAAAUUUAGAUUUUAAUAUUUUUCCCAAAUUAAAAAUUCAAAACUUAAUAAAUUAAUCUCAACUAUGUUAUUCAUAAAUCCCAAGAUAGGUUACAUAAAGAUAAGUUUUAAUUAAGAAAAUUUCUAACAUUUUAUUAACUACUAAGUAUAAUUAGAAAUCCUAAUUAUUAUGUAAUUAUCAAUUUUCUACUAAUUAUAUAAUUAAUUAUUAUGAAAUUUUAUUAUACUAAUAAAUUAUGAUAUUUUGGUAUAUUUUAAAAUAUAUUAAAUUACCAUUUUUAUAUUAUUAAUUUUAAAAUCAAAAUAAAAAAUAUAAUAACUAAUUUUUAGAUAUUUUUAACAUGUGAACAUAAAUAAGUAUAACAUUUUAAACAUUAAUAAAAACAAGCAAUAUAACACUUAAUAAUAUUUAUAUAAUAAUAAGAAAUAAACAACCUAAACACUUAAUCAAUCUACUAAAUUUAAGUCAAAGUUCCGUCUAUUCAAAUAUAUAUAUAUAAAAAAUUAAAUACCAUCUUACACUUAUUAUACAUUACUCAAGCCAUUUAUAUAUGUAAUAAAGAAUUUCAAUAUAUAUAAAUUUUUAAAUAAUUUUCAUGAUAUUUUAUUUUCGUUUAUAGGCUACAAUCAACAUGGAGGAGGAAGCUUCAAGUAGCUUUCUUCAAUUAUUUAAAGUUAGUGACUGUCCAUAGAAGAAAAUUUUGACACGAAACUAAAAAGAAAAACAAUUUUCACACAAGUCUAAAAAUGUCUUUUAGAGAAAAUUAAUACAUCAUGUAUUAAAACAUUAUUUGAAUUUCUCCUCUUCUUGAUUGUUUUCUUAGACAAUGACUUCAAGGACUUUUGUGACAUGUUGAAUGUUGACUGUUGACUAUUGACUAUUGACUAUUGACUUGUCUAUUUGGUGUGAGGUAGGAAAAAAACAAGAAGUUGCAUUUUUUUGAAUGAAAACAUUUAUUUUUUCUAAAUAAAAAAUUCUUUUUUUUAAAUAAAAAAUUUCCUUAUUUAACCAAACCGAUUUUAACCAAUUCAUUGUAGCCUAAUUAGUUAUGUUGACUGUUGUUGACUAUUGACUAUUGACUAAAACAAAGUCCUUGUCAAUUUGGUGUGAGUUAGGAAAAAAAAAGGAAGUUGCAUUUUUUUUUUAAUGAAAACAUUUAAUUUUUCUAAAUAAAAAAUUCUUUUUUUUUUUAAAUAAAGAAAUUUCCUUAUUUAACCAAACCGAUUUUAACCCAUUCAUUGUAGCCUAAUUAGUUCUGUUGACUGUUGACUAUUGACUGAAACAAAGUCCUUAUCAAUUUGGUGUGAGUGAGGAAAAAAAAAGGAAGUUGCAUUUUUUUUAAUGAAAACAUUUAUUUUUUCUAAAUAAAAAAUUCUUUUUUUUUAAAUAAAAAUUUUCCUUAUUUAACCAAAUCGAUUUUAACCCAUUCAUUGUAGCCUAAUUAGUUCUGUUGACUGUUAACUGAAACAAAGUCCUUGUCAAUUUGGUGUGAGUUAGGAAAAAAAAAAGAAGUUGCAUUUUUUUUAAUGAAAACAUUUAUUUUUUCUAAAUAAAAAAUUCUUUUUUUUUUAGGUAAAAAAUUUCCUUAUUUAACCAAACCGAUUUUAACCAAUUCAUUGUAGCCUAAUUAGUUCAGUUUUUCAUUUAAAGACGUUUGGUUUAGCUUGUAAAAAAAAAAAAAAAACACAAGGUUAAAUAAGUGGUAUUUAUUUUUUUGUCUAAAAUCUGAAUGGAAUAUUAUUAAGUAUUUAGGUCAUUUAUUUUUUUUAUUAAUGCUAAAUAUUUUUAAGUGUUAAAUUACUUGUUUUUAGUAAUGUAUAAAGGCUUAAAAUUAUUUAUUUUUACACAUUAAAAUAACUAUAAAAUUAGUUAUUAUUAUUAUUAUUUUAAAAUUAAUAAUUUAAGAAAUAGUAAUUUAAUAUAUUUACAACUAUCUCAAAAUAUUAUAAUUCAUAACCAAAACAAAAAUUAUAUAAUAAUUAAUUAUGUAAUUUAUAGAAAAUUAAUAAUUAGAUAAUUAUUAGGAUUUUUAGUUAUGCUUGGUUGUUAAGAAAAUGAUAAAAAUUUUCUAAGUUAAAAUUUAUUUUUAUUUAAUAUAUUUUCAGAUUUAUGAAUAUUGUUGAGAUUAAUUAUUAAUUUUUUUCUUUUAAAUUUGGGAAAAAUAAGAAAGACUAAAAUUUUAGUUUUCAAAAUUAAUUGGAAUUUUUUUUUAUUCUAAUGAAUAAUUAGAUAAGUGUAAAAUCAAGGACAUGAACGACCCCAAUUUUUUAUAAUGACUAAUUAUUCAAAGUGUAGAAACAUAAUAAUUAGAUAAUUAUUAGGAUUUCUAAUUAUGCUUGGUUGUUAAAAAAUUUCUAUGUUAAAACUUAUUUUUAUAUAACUAUCUUCAAAUUUAUGAAUAUUGUUGAAAUUAAUUUAUUAAUUUUUAUUUUUAAUUUGGGAAAAAUGUAAAAGUCUAAAUUUUGCUUUUUAAAUUAAUUGGAUUUUUUUUAUAUUUUAGUUAACUAUUAAAUGAGGGUAAAUUAGAAAUCUAAGUUCAAGGACAUUGCCAACCAAACUGACUUCAAACCUAACCAAUCUAAUCUUAUUACUUUUUAUUUCCAUUUAAACAUGUUUGUUUCUAUUUAAAAAAAAAAAAUUGAUUACAUUGGUUUAGUGUUCAUGUACCAAUCAAAGCUAAACCAAUCGAAUUUAUCUAUUAUUUAUCAAAAAAUUAAAAAUAAAAAUGAUUACAUUGGUUCAGUAUUCAUUUCAAAACAACGAACCAAUAGAAUCUGAUAUAAUCGACUUAAAAUGUGCAAAUUUUGAAUUUUCAAAAUUUGAAGUUAUUUUUCAACUUCAUAUUUUGCAUCUCAUAAUUUACUAUAAAUUUAUGAAGUUAUUUUUUAAAAAUAUUUUAUUUUUUCAAAAUAAAUUCACUAAAUAUUAUCUCACUUGUAUUUGUGGUUCACUAAAUUUUUAAUAAUCAAAUUAAUAAAUUUAUAAAAGAAAAAUAUUAUAUUUUCUCCAUUUUGUUCACUUGAUAAACAUAUCUACAAAAAUGUCAAGCGGGUGUUUGAAAUUUACCUAUUUUUUUUGUUGUGUAAUAUUGAUUGUAUUUAUAAAGCAUUAUAAAUCCCAAGAAAGUCCACAGACACAUAAAUUAUUAUGAAUGAAAUGAAAUUAUUAAUUUAAAUUUAGUCUUUAUAGUGAAAAGUUAAAAUAAGCGAAAUGAAUUUGAAGUAGUUUAUAAAAAUCAUUUAUUAAUUUUAAAUUUAUGUUAUAUUUUUCUUCAUUUAUUCUUUCAUUUUAUUUUUUAUUUUUUUUUUGUAUUUUUUUUCCUUGUAUUUUCCCCAAAUUUUGUCCAAACCAAACAUAAACUUGGAAAAUAUGUCAAACCAAUACUUAGUGUUUGAGACUUAGAAAUUUUUUUAUAAGGAUUGGAUCAAGAUUCAAUCACGAUUAGACCACACAUAGCCCUUUUGCCCAUCCAAGAAAAAGAAAAAAAUAUUUUAUUUAUUUCUUUUUGUUAGCCCAAGGGUUCUCCUAAUCGGGUUUUGAUGAUAAUAAACCAUGGUUAAGUGACUAAUUGUUUCAAAUGGUAAAGAAUCUCAGGUAUAAUUUCGGAAAUUCAUACAAGGGCCAAAUAGAUACAAGACCGAGACUAUUGGAAGUCCCUUGAUCAUAGGAAAUGAAUGUAAGAUGCAUGGGUGCACUUAAGGUUUUCAUACCAUUUCAUGCAUCUUUGAAAAACUCAGUUUAUCCUUUAAACUUUCAAAUUCAUUCAAACCCGAUCUUUAUCAAAUGUACCUUAGGCAAAAAAUUUUAAAACUUGCAUAUUUAUUCACCUAAAGACCUUGCCUAAGUAGUAGAAAAGAAAGGAAUUUAAAAAGGAAGGUUUUCGGGGCCAAAAGGCUCAACCGGUCGAGGCUAUGGCCAACCGGCUCAAUCGGUUGGGGAACCGGUCGACUGGUUGCCCUUGUUCGAUCGAGGUUCGGUCGAAGAGUGUCAAAAACACUCUCUCUCAUCCAGUAGCCUUCUCUUCCCGGGUGAGGUUCAUACCGUUCCCGGUUGAGGUCCGGUCGAGGUAACGGUAACCUGUCAAAGCAUUUAAUGCCCAACGGCUAGUGAUCCGGUCAACCCCUAACUCUACUGAUCGAGGGUACCUUUUGCUGUUUUUGACUCCCGAGCUUAGAAACCUAUAAAUUGAGAGCUCUACUUCAUUUAUGAAAAAGAGAACACUUGCAAUCAAUUAUCCACCUACCUGUUCUUGAUCAAAAAGCUCUCAUUUCCUUCUUGGUGCAUUAAAUCAUCAUUUGCAUACUCCUUAGUGCACCUUUAUAAGUCAUCCUAACCUUGUUUUGUAUUCGAUCUAUCUUUGAGCUAGGUUGAGUGUUUUAUUCUUGUAAAAGUCAAGUGUUUAAGCCUUCAAGAGGUGUGAUUUUUGAAGAGAUUGUGUAAGAGCCCAUUGAAGUCGGAAUCCAAGUGUAAGAAGAUUAGAAGCUUGGUUGAAACUUCAAGUUAGUGGAACCCUCACUUGAUUAGGAGAUUGAGGAGAGUGGACGUAGGGAAGGAAGUGCCGAACCACUAUAAAACCCGAGUUUGAGUUCUCUAACUCUAUCUCUUUACUUUCAUUUAUAUUGUGCUUGAACUUGUUGUUAUUGAAAAGAUUUUUUAAAAACCCAAUCCACCUCCCUCUUGGGUGUUUUUCUUAAUUAAGCAUAGCCUUUAUUUUCUCAAUUGGUAUUAGAGUUAGACCUCUUGUUUAAGACCUAAUAGUCUAAGAGGAAAUGGCUAUUCCAUCAAGCUCUUCUCACACUGAAAUUUUUGCAAAACAUAGAGCUCCAUUCUUUACGGGAACCGAUUAUCUCUAUUGGAAAACCAAAAUGACUUGGUUUUUACAAUCAACCGAUUUAGAUGUAUGGGAUGUCAUUGAAGAUGGUUCAACUUUUCCUACUAAGCUUGUUGAUGGAGUUUUAGUUCCAAAACCCAAGCAAGAAUGAAAUGAGCUUGAUAGAAGAAAUUUUCAAUUAAAUGCUAAGGUUGUUUUUACUUUGCAAUGUGCUAUGGAUAAAAAUGAAUACAAUAGAAUUUGUCAAUGCAAAUCAACUAAAGAAAUUUGGAGAUUCCUUGAAAUAACUCAUGAAGGAACAAAUCAAGUAAAAGAGUCAAAAAUUAAUUUACUCGUUCAUAAUUAUGAAUUGUUUUCAAUGAAAGAAAAUGAGACUAUUGUUGAGAUGAUUACUAGGUUCACCGACAUUGUCAAUGGUCUUGAAGCUUUGGGAAAGACCUAUAAGGAAUCUGAGAAGGUAAUGAAGAUAUUGAAGUCACUUCCAUCAAAGUGGCAUACUAAAGUCACCGCAAUUCAAGAAGCAAAAGACUUGACUAAGCUACCUAUGGAAGAACUCAUAGGGUCAUUGAUGACAUAUGAGAUUAACUUGGCAAAGAAGCUUCAAGAGGGUGAAGACAAAAAGAAGAAGAGCAUAGCUCUCAAAGCUACAACCAAGGAAGAAGAAGAUAUUGAAGAAGAAAAACCAAGUGAGGAAGAUGAUGAUUUAGCCCUCAUCACAAGAAAGCUUAACAAAUACAUGAGGAAUGAAAGGUUUAGAGGAAGAAAAUUUACCUCUAGAAGAGACCUUUCUAAAAAGGAAUCAUCAUUUCAUGGUGACAGGAAGAAAUGGGAAAAAAAAAGAGACUUGGGGUGUUUCAAAUGCAAAAAACCGGAACACAUCAAAUAUGAUUGUCCUCUCUACAAAAGUGAAGCCAAGAGAAGAAUGAAAAAGGCAAUGAUGGCCACUUGGAGUGAUAGUGAAGAAUCCUCCAAAGAAGAAAAGGAGAAAGAAGUGACAAACAUGUGCUUCAUGGCAAUAGAUGAUCUUGAUGAGGUAAACUCUAACUUUAGUGAUGAAGAUAUGCAUGAUGUUUUUGAAGAAUUAUACGAGGAUUUUAAAAAACUUAGUUUGAAAAAUAAUUCUCUCAAAAAGAAAAUUCAAGAACUUCAAAAAGAACUUGAAGAAGUGAAAGAAAAAUUUUCAAUUGAUGAAAUAUCUAAAACUCAUCUUGAAAAAGAAAAUGAAAUUUUGAGAAGUGAAAAUGAGGUUUUAAAAAGGAAAAAUGAAUGGUUGACCUCUUCUCUUUCAAUUUGUUAUUGUGGACAAAAAUCCUUUGAAAUGAUCUUAACUAGCCAAAAAUGUGUUUUUGACAAAAAAAGGACUAGAAUUCAAAUCCUCAAAGAAUCAAAAGUAUUUUAAAAACUAUUUUGUAAAAGAAUCCUCAAGUACAAGUGUAGACCCUCAAUUUUGUCCCUUUAGCACACGUCUUUAAGUUCGUUUUCAGUGCUUCAAAAUAGUUCCUUGGUGGCCCAUGGCUACUCAUACCACUUACCUUUUUCUGAGUCACUUCGGAGAUUUUGGUUGAGGGAUUAUUUGAUCCCUUAUUGUGACCCUUGGCAGCCCUAACUUAGACUUAGGCUUUUCUUGUUUUUUUAGGAUAGCUUUUAGAUACACUUGGCCCAUUAGGCACUACCCUAGGCCCACUUAGUCUCACCUUAGGCCCGUUUAGGCACACUAGGCCUACGAAGACUUUUAUUUUAUUUUAUUUUAUUUUAUUUAUUUAUUUAUUUAUUUUGUUUUUAAUUUUAAUUUUAUGAUUAUCAUUCACUUUUUAUUGGUUAUCUUCCUCUUUAUAUUAUUUUCCUUAACUUAUUUAUUUAUUUAUUAUUUUUACCAUUUUUUUAAUUUAUUUACUUAUUUAUCUAUUCAUGCAAUUAUUUAACUUCAAAAAUUUCAUGUUUUUGCAAGGAAACUUACCAUUGGAGUUUAAGGAAGACGGGACUCUCCUUGGAAGGUUUUGGAGGGGAAUUUGAAAUUGGGAAGAUUGUUUUUGAUUGGAGGAUUUAAAAAAAGAAGAGAAGAAGAAAGGAAGGAGGAGAAUUUUCCUUUUUGGAAACAAAUUUAGGUCUUGAGGGGUGAUAUAUAUAGGUGAGAAAAGGAAAAGAAUAGGAGAUUUUUUCUUGGGGGCAGAGCACACGGAAUUUUGGAAAAAAGCAAGGGACUUCGAACGGAGAUCGGGUUGUCAUUUAAUCAUCAAGAGAGGAUUUUCUCUUUCACUUCAAAGGUUAGUUUUCUAUAUAGUACUUUUAUUUAGCCUAGAUUUUUAUUUUUUUAUUUUUUUUUAUUUUUUAUUUUUUAUUUUUUGGAAAUUUUAGUUUUUGAUUAAUUCUUUGUGUUAAAGUGUAUAUUAUUUUAUUUUUAAAUCCCCAAUUAGUUUAAUUCUAAUCUAUCUUUUAGUUUAAGUUUGUUAAUGAUCUUAAUUCUUAAGUUUAAAUAAUCAUAUCGAAUAAAGUUUGUAUUUUUAAUCCCAAUUAGUUUGAUUUUAACUUGUUUUUUUAGUUUAAAUGUAUUUUGUUGAUUUUAAUUCUUAAGUUUAAAUAAUUGUAUUGAAUAAAGUUUGUAUUUUUAAUCCCAAUUAGUUUGAUUUCAAUUCAUUUUUAAUUUAAAUGCAUUAGUUGAUCUUAAUUCUUUGUUUUGAAUAAUCACGUUAAAUAAAGUUUGUAUUUUUAAUCCCAAUUAAUUUGAUUUCAAUUCGUUUUUAGUUUAAAUACAUUUUAUUGAUCUUAAUUCUUAAGUUUAAAUAAUCAUAUCGAAUAAAGUUUGUAUUUUUAAUCCCAAUUAGUUUGAUUUUAAUUUGUUUUUUAGUUUAAAUGUAUUUUGUUGAUCUUAAUUCUUGACUUUAAAUAAUCACGUUAAAUAAAGUUUAUGUUUUCAAUCUCAAUUAGUUUGAUUCCAAUUCGUUUUUAGUUUAAAUACAUUUUAUUGAUCUUAAUUCUUAAGUUUAAAUAAUCAUAUCGAAUAAAGUUUGUAUUUUUAAUCCCAAUUAGUUUGAUUUUAACUUGUUUUUUAGUUUAAAUGUAUUUUAUUGAUCUUAAUUCCUAAGUUUAAAUAAUCAUAUCGAAUAAAGUUUGUAUUUUUAAUCCCAAUUAGUUUGAUUUUAACUUGUUUUUUAGUUUAAAUGUAUUUUGUUGAUUUUAAUUCUUAAGUUUAAAUAAUUGUAUUGAAUAAAGUUUGUAUUUUUAAUCCCAAUUAGUUUGAUUUCAAUUCAUUUUUAAUUUAAAUGCAUUAGUUGAUCUUAAUUCUUUGUUUUAAAUAAUCACGUUAAAUAAAGCUUGUAUUUUUAAUCCCAAUUAAUUUGAUUUCAAUUCGUUUUUUAGUUUAAAUAUAUUUUGUUGAUCUUAAUUCUUGACUUUUAAUAAUCACGUUAAAUAAAGUUUGUGUUUUUAAUCUCAAUUUGUUUGAUUUCAAUUCGUUUUUUAGUUUAAAUACAUUUUGUUGAUCUUAAUUCUUAAGUUUAAAUAAUCAUAUCGAAUAAAUUUUGUAUUUUUAAUCCCAAUUAAUUUGAUUUUAAUUUGUUUUUAGUUUAAAUGUAUUUUGUUGAUUUUAAUUCUUUACUUUAAAUAAUCACGUUAAAUAAAGUUUGUGUUUUUAAUCUCAAUUAGUUUGAUUUCAAUUCGUUUUUAGUUUAAAUGCAUUAGUUGAUCUUAAUUCUUAAGUUUAAAUAAUUAUGUUAGAUAAAGUUCAUGUUUUUAAUCCCAAAAUAGUUUAUUUUUAAUUUAUUUGUUAGUUUAAAUAUGUAUGUGAUUUGAAUACAUUAGUUUAAUUAAUCCCGUUAGAUAAAGUUUAAUCUUGAUUUAAUUUAUUUUUUUAGUCUAGAGGCAUUUAUGUGUUUAGUUAAUCUUAUGUUAAUUAUGGAUUGUUAUUCUCAAUUUACGCGCUUCUUGAAUCAUUGUUGCUAAUUCUUGAUGGAUAUUUCAUUAGCUUAUUUGAUCUAAAUAUUAAUAAUUUAUUGCUUUGAUAGUUUCCUUUUUGUUCAAAGGCCAUUGGAAAAUCAUGAAGAUUGGCCUCUACCAUCACCAUUAUCAUUUUUGUUAAUUACUAAAAAAAUUUUACUUUGAGGUUUCAUUUUUGUUUUGUUGGGUAUUUUAUUUCUUAUAUUUUAUUCUUUCCAAAUUAAUUCCUUUUAUUUUAAAAUAAAAUACUUUUCUCAAAAAAAUCAUUUUAAAAAUCUAUUUCAAAAACUCAUUUAGAGUCCUCAGGAUCAAAAUCUCUUUUUUUUUUUAUUAUUAUUUAAAAAUAAUAUGCAACCAUAUCUUGUUCGGUUUGCAUCCUUCUCGGUUUUCAACAAAAAUUUUGGUUUUGAACAAAAACACGAAUCAAAGCUUGUGGUCCCAAAUAAUGGGAUAAUUCUGGGCUAAAUUUGUGUAUAUUAAUUUGGGGAAUUGGUGAAACCCCUACAUAAGAAAAUCUUUUCAAAAAUUAUUUUUGUUGCCAUUUUUGUCACUUGUUGAAAUUAUGUCUAUCUUUUUUAGGAAUUGUAUAUAAGAUGUGUGUGAUAAUUAAUGUUUUCAUAUACUUUGAUAAUUUUUGUUAUGCUAAUUAGAUAACAAGCAUGCUAGGGUUUCUUUAUUUUAUUAUUAUCUAAUCCCUCAUGUCUUAUGGAAGCGCAUUGUAAGUUAUUUAUGCUAUCCAGGUACGCCCCCCCUAUCGCCUACUUUCUAAAUUUUGUAAACAAUCGUGUCACUAUGAAGUAUGCAUAUGUUUGAUAAUCCUUAGGUGUUUAGAUGUAUGUUUGAUUCACUAUGAUUAAAUACAUGUUGUGUGUUAUACUUCUAUACUAACUCUGAUGUUUUAUGAUAGCGCUUGAGAAGCGGUCCGGGUACGCAUCCUACCCUUUCUUUUAUGGCAAUUUGAUCUUGUUUAGCAUGCAAAUCUUUUGAAAUCACCUAGCCUACUUAGGUAUCCAUAAUUAACCGAUUAAUUGCCAUAUUCCCCUUAACUUAAUUAGUAGAGACCUCUUUAGGGCUUAGAGGGGUGCUACCUCCUAGAGGUACCUUCCCAAUAAGUAACCUGAUCCCCGGACCAAGACUUGGGUUUUCAAAGACACGCUUUUCCAAAAAUUAUGGAGUCAUUUUUUUUAGGGUUUUAUUUCUUGUUUUAUUUUCCCUUCAAAAAUAAAAAUAAAAUAAGUGGCGACUCCAACUUUUUUUCAAAAAAUCAAAUUUUCACAAAUAAAUAAAAAGCGAGUCUCGCCGAUCGAGUGGGGGCGCACGUGAAAAAUGCGGGUCCACAACAAGUCCCUCUACUAUUUGUAACUUUUGUGGAAGAGGAGGGCACAUUAGUAGAACAUGUCCCUUAAGAAAUGGAUCUCAAAAAAAUUCAAACACUAAGGUUAAAAAGGUUUGGAUUGAAAAAUCCAAAAUCACUAACCCUCAAGGACCCAAAAAGAUAUGAGUACCUAAAUCAACUUAAAUUUUAUUUUGUAGGGUUCAAAGAAGGAUAAGUGGUUCUUGGAUAGUGGAUGCUCAAGACACAUGACCGGGGAUGAAUCCAAGUUUGCUUUCCUCACAAAGAGAAAGGGAGGAUACGUUACUUUUGGAGACAAUGCAAAAGGAAGGAUCAUUGGUUAAGGCAACAUUGGUAAUGACACAUCCUCCCUUAUUGAAAGUGUUUUAUUAGUAGAUGGUUUAAAACAUAAUCUUUUAAGUAUUAGUCAACUUUGUGACAAAGGUUUUAAAGUAGUUUUUGAAGCAUCUCAUUGCAUUAUCAAAGAUAUUCAAAAUGAUAAAACCAUCUUCAUGGGCCAUAGAUGUGAUAAUGUCUAUGCUAUUAAUAUUUCAAAAUAUGAUGGCCAUGAUAGAUGCUUUUCAAGCAUGCAUGAUCAAAGUUGGUUGUGGCAUAGGAGGUUGGGACAUGCUAACAUGGACCUCAUUUCCCAACUCAACAAAGAUGAACUUGUUAGAGGCCUUCACAAAGUAAAUUUUCAAAAAGACAAAGUUUGUGAAGCUUGUCAAAUGGGAAAGAAAAUCAAAAAUUCUUUUAAAAACAAAAAUUUUAUUUCAACAUCUAGACCUCUUGAGUUGUUGCAUAUGGAUUUAUUUGGUCCCUCUAGGACACCAAGUCUUGGAGGAAAAUUUUAUGCAUAUGUUAUUGUGGAUGACUUCUCUAGAUACACUUGGGUCUUGUUUUUAAGUCAAAAGAAUGAAGCAUUUUAUGAGUUUUCAAAGUUUUGCAACAAAGUUCAAAAUGAAAAAGGUUUCACAAUCACUUGUAUAAGAAGUGAUCAUGGGAGAGAAUUUGAAAACAUUGAUUUUGAAGACUAUUGCAAUGAACAUGGUAUUAACCAUAAUUUUUCGACUCCUAGAACUCCUCAACAAAAUGGGAUAGUUGAAAGGAAAAAUAGAACUCUUCAAGAAAUGGCUAGAACCAUGCUAAAUGAAAACAACUUACCAAAAUAUUUUUGGGCCGAAGCGGUUAACACUUCAUGUUAUGUUUUAAAUAGAAUACUUUUGAGGCUCAUUCUUAAGAACACUCCCUAUGAGCUUUGGAAAAACAAGAAACCCAACAUUAGCUAUUUCAAAGUCUUUGGAUGCAAAUGUUUUAUAUUAAACACCAAAGAUAAUAUUGGAAAAUUUGAUGCAAAAUUGGAUGUUGGAAUUUUUCUUGGUUAUUCAACUUCAAGGAAAGCUUUUAGAGUGUUUAACAAAAGAACCAUGGUUGUAGAGGAGUCCAUCCAUGUCAUUUUUUAUGAAUCUAACAAUUCCUUCCAAGAAAAAGAAAGCUUUGAUGAUGAUUUAGGCUUGGAGACCUCCAUGGGAAAAUUGCAAAUUGAAGAUAGAAUGCAACAAGAAGAAAUUGAAGAGGAUCCCAAGAAAGAAGAAUCACUAUUGGCACUACCCCCUCCUCAUUAAGUACAAAGUGAAUCAAGCCAAGACCUUCCUAAAGAUUGGAAGUUUGUGAUCAACCACCCACAAGAUCAAAUUAUAGGUAAUCCAUCUAGUAGGGUAAGAAUUAGAUCAUCUCUCAAAAACAUUUGCAAUAAUCUUGCUUUUGUCUCUCAAAUUGAACCUAAAAAUAAAAAUGAUGCUCUAGUUGAUGAAAAUUGGAUGAUUGCCAUGCAAGAAGAGUUAAAUCAAUUUGAAAGAAGUGAAGUAUGGGAAUUAGUGCCAAGACCCUCAAAUCAAAGUGUUAUUGGAACUAUAUGGGUCUUUAGAAAUAAAAUGGAUGAAAAUGGCAUAAUUGUUAGAAAUAAAGCAAGAUUGGUAGCCCAAGGUUUUAAUCAAGAAGAUGGGAUAGAUUAUGAAGAAACCUUUGUGCCAGUAGCUAGAUUAGAAGCCAUUAGAAUGCUACUUGCAUUUGCAUGUUUUAAAGACUUUGUCUUGUAUCAAAUGGAUGCAAAAAGUGCUUUCUUAAAUGGUUUCAUAAAUGAAGAAGUAUAUGUUGAACAACCACCCGGAUUUCAAAGUUUUAACUUUCCUAAUCAUGUUUUUAAACUUAAAAAGGCACUUUAUGGUUUGAAGCAAGCACCUAGAGCAUGGUAUGAAAGAUUGAGUAAAUUUCUCUUGAAAAAGGGUUUUAAAAUGGGAAAAAUUGACACAAUUCUUUUCAUAAAAACCAAAGAAAGUGACAUGCUCUUAGUACAAAUAUACGUAGAUGACAUCCUUUUUGGAGCUACUAAUGUCUCUCUUUGUGAAGAAUUUUCCAAAUGCAUGCAUAGUGAGUUCGAAAUGAGCAUGAUGGGAGAACUCAACUUCUUCCUUGGACUUCAAAUCAAGCAACUAAAGGAAGGAACCUUCAUCAAUCAAGCAAAAUAUAUAAGAGAUCUUCUCAAAAGAUUCAACAUGGAAGAAGCUAAAACAAUGAAGACUCCAAUGAGCUCCUCCAUCAAGCUUGACAAAGAUGAAAAAGGUAAAUUCAUUGACUCAACUAUGUAUAGAGGCAUGAUAGGUUCUUUGCUAUAUUUGACCGCUAAUAGACUCGAUAUCAUGUAUAGUGUAUGCUUGUGUGCUAGAUUUCAAUCUUGUCCUAAAGAAUCUCACUUAAGUGCCGUAAAACGAAUUCUUAGAUAUUUGAAAGGGACAAUGGACAUAGACCUAUGGUAUCCUAAGGGUGAUAACUUUGAAUUAAUUGGAUACUCGGAUGCCGACUUUGCCGGUUGUAAAGAUGAAAGGAAAAGCACUAGUGGCACUUGUCAUUUCCUAGGACACUCACUUGUUUCAUGGCAUAGUAAGAAACAAAAUUCGGUAGCCUUGUCAAUGGCGGAAGCCAAGUACAUAGCAGUCGAUUUGUGUUGUGCACAAAUCCUUUGGAUGAAACAAACUCUUAAUGAUUUUAAUUUAUCUUUUGAGCAUGUUUCUAUUAAAUAUGAUAACACUAGUGCCAUAAACAUUUCAAAAAAUCCCGUGCAACACUCUAGGACCAAGCAUAUAGAAAUUAGACAUCAUUUUCUUAGAGACCAUGCACAAAAGGGUGAUAUUACUCUUGAGUUUGUAAGCACAAAGGAUCAACUUGCCGAUAUUUUUACAAAACCUCUAAGUGAAGAGCAAUUUAUUGAUAUUAGAAGACAAUUAGGGGUGAUUUCUUUAUGAGCUUAUGAUUGUUUGUUGAAUUCUUGUUGAAUAUGUCUUAUAAAUGCAUGAACUUUACAUCAUUUUGCAUCAUAUAGAAAUACACUUAGGAAAAAUGUCAAAUUUUGACCAAAAAUCAAAAUUUCCUUAGCAUUGGAUGUCAAAAAUUGGGGAUUUCACCUGAAAAUGGCAAGAGGAGGAUCACGAGACAAGGAAAUGCACAAAAAUUGAAGUGUUGACCGUGUUGACCGUGUUGACCGUGUUGACCGUUGACCAAGAGGUUGAUCGGUUCAUCGGGGCUGGGAAUUUAAAGAGCCUCCCGCGCCUCAGUUUUUCAUCCUUUUCGUCUGGUUCUUCAAGCCUUGUGUCGUUCCAAUUGCCCACAAGCGAUCUUUGACACCAUUGCAGCCUUCUGAGAGGUACAAAUUGAGUUUUGGAGGCUAGGGUUUGGGAUUUGGGACCUAGGGUUCUCAUUUGGACGUCUUUCUUUUCAGUCCGCGCGUCACAGCCUGUGUCAAUGCUUUCCCUCGCAUCUAGGGCUUUCAAGUGUGUGUGCAUCCCUAUCUUCGAGCUUCGCCUUCUUCAUCUCAGCCUUUCUGAUGGUGCUUAGAAGAGAGACAGCCGCCUCCAGGGCUCAGGGCAAGCGCCCUACUAAGCCAUCACAGCCGGAUCAGUCCGAGGCUCGCCGAAAGGCGAGGUACGACACUGCUCUCUUCGAUUCUGUCGAAAACUAUUAGAGGUACAAACAAAAGUUUGCCCAGAGAAAAGUUGUUCUAGGGAGAAACAUCAAUUUCUCCCAACUUCAGUACUUUGGAUUUAAGGGGAUAUUUGGACGGAUGGGAUGACUACCAGUGGUGACUAUUUCGAAGCCCAUCUUCCUGACUCUGGUGCGUGCCUUCUACUCACGGGUGACCUACGGACUUGGAGGACCGAUCACUUCCACCGUCAGAGGAGUUGAGAUCACUUUGAGUCCGAAGAGCAUUUUCCAGAUUUUGGAUGUUCCGUCAGUUGGACUCAGGGUGUAUGAGUCCAAGGUUUGGCCCACAGUGUCGGGAUUCAAGCCUAGAGAGGCUAUUCAGAGGAUGUGUGGACUGGCUGAUGCCUAGGGGAUGGGCAAACCUUUUACACAUAGCCUGACAAUGAUUAACCGUGUUCUUCAUCAUAUGGUCUGCUCCAUUCUGUUGCCACGCGGUGGACAUCGAGACGAGGUCUCAUACCUUAAGGCUUUCAUUGUGGAUUCCAUUUUGACAGGGAAAUGGAUUCAUGUAGGGUACUUGAUGAUAAUGCAUAUGAUAUCUUGCUGCGAGAGCAAGACCAGAGUAUUUCCCUACGGGUCGCUUCCUCACGAGAGUAUUUAUGGAUGUCGGGGUUGACUUGAACCGAGAGACAGAUUUUGAGGCCCCUACCACUUAUGACACAUAUGAUGAGCAGUCUCUAGGGCGGAUGAAGUUUGAGAAGGUCCAUGAUGGCUCUUGGAGUAGGAGAGCUAAGUGACUGCCAGCACAGGACCGGGGACAGAGACAGAUGCAUCCCAGAGAUGAGGAGGAGGCCGAGAUCCGAGAGAUGGAGAGUGGGCUAGACCCUCAGAGGGACUUUGAGCAGAGUGGGCCCGAGUUUGACUUCCCUCUUCCACUCCAAACCGAGAGUGUUCAGUUUGAGGCAUUUUUUCCUAAGUCGAUGAUAUUUGAGUCAGCGUACACAGCGGGACCAUAUUUCACUAAGUCAUCCUUCACUGAGCCUCUUCACCUAGAGAUACCAUCGCAGGCACCUCACGCACCUGAUCAUGCGCCUUUGAUGGAUUUAUCCGCUUAGAUCAGUUCUCUCGAGACUCGUAUGGAGGAGCUUGCAGUCGUCAGUGAUACUAGUUUCUACUCUAUGGAGGAUCGCAUAGAUUAAUAUCAGACCGACUUCACUACUCAGUUUGAGCAUCUCGAGCAGAAACUUGGGCAUAUGGAGGAGCGUAUGAAUCAGCAGCAUGAGGAGAUGAUGGCUUACUUUCGCUCUGUGUUUCCUCCACCUCCACCUUGAUAUCUUCGAGACCCCCUCUUCGUUUCUUUUUUAUGUUACCAAAGGGGGAGAAAUUUUAGGAUCUAGGGGAUACACACAUGCAUGACAUUUCCAUAUCAUUAGUCUUGAUCUGUGUAUAUGCGAUGUUAUUAUAUAUGAUAUGAUAUUUUCAGAAUUCACAUUGUUUCUUGUUGAAAUUUUGCAUGUCGUGUUUAUCAUUUAAAAUUUUCGCUUUAAUUGAUCCAUGUUUGGUUUAAGGGGGAGAUUUAUUAUCUCCUAGAAAACCAAGGUUUGUCAUCAUAAAAAAUGAGGAGAUUGUUAGCCCAAGGGUUCUCCUAAUCGGGUUUUGAUGAUAACAAAUCAUGGUUAAGUGACUAAUUGUUUUAAAUGGUAAAGAAUCUUAGGUAUAAUUUCAAAAAUUCAUCCAAUGGCUAAAUGGAUAUAAGACCGAGACUAUUGGAAGUCCCUUGAUCAUAGGAAAUGAAUGUAAGAUGAAUGCAUGGGUCCACUUAAGGUUUUCAUACCAUUUCAUGCAUCUUUGAAAAACUCGGUUUAUCCUUUAAACUUUCAAAUUCAUUCAAACCUGAGUUUUAUCAAAUGUACCUUAGGCAAAAUGUUUUAAAACUGGCAUAUUUAUUCACCUAAAGACCUUGCCUAAGUAGUAGAAAAGAAAGGAAUUUAAAAAUGAAGGUUUUCGGGGCCAAAAGGCUCAACCGGUCGAGGCUAUGGCCAACCGGCUCAACCGGUUGGGGAAUUGGUCGACCAGUUGCCCUUGUCUUAUCGAGGUCCAAUCAAGGAGUGUCAAAAACACUCUCUCUCAUCUAGUAGCCUUCUCUUCCUGAUUGAGGUUCAUACCGUUCCCGGUUGAGGUCCGAUUGAGGUAACAGUAACAUGUCAAAGCAUUUAAUACCCAACAGCUAGUGAUCCGGUUAACCCCUAGCUCGACCGGUCGAGGGUACCUUUUGCUGUUUUUGACUCCCGAACUUAGAAACCUAUAAAUUGAGAGCUCCACUUCAUUUAUGAAAAAGAGAACACUUGCAAUCAAUUAUCCACCUACCUGUUCUUGAUCAAAAAGCUCUCAUUUCCUUCUUGGUGUAUUAAAUCAUCAUUUGCAUACUCCUUAGUGCACCUUUGUGAGUCAUCCUAACCUUGUUUUGUAUUUGAUCUAUCUUUGAGCUAGGUUGAGUGUUUUAUUCUUGUAAAAGCCAAGUGUUUAAGCCUUUAAGAGGUGUGAUUCUUGAAGAGAUUGUGUAAGAGCCCAUUGGAGUCAGAAUCCAAGUGUAAGAAGAUUCGAAGCUUGGUUGAAGCUUCAAGUUAGUGGAACCCUCACUCGGUUAGGAGAUUGAGGAGAGUGGAUGUAGGUAAGGAAGUGCCGAACCAUUAUAAAACCCAAGUUUGAAUUCUCUAACUCUAUCUCUUUACUUUCAUUUAUAUUGUGCUUGAACUUGUUGUUAUUGAAAAUAUUUUUUAAAAACCCAAUUCACCCCCCCUCUUGGGUGUUUUUCUUAAUUAAGCAUAACCUUUAUUUUCUCACUUUUGUCUAACACACAUAGACUAAGAACUUUUCUCCGUUUAAAAGUCAAAAUGCCACUAAAGUCCUUGAAGUCAUUGUCUAAGGAGAACAAUUAUCAAGAAAAGAAAUUCAAAUAAUGCUUUAAUGAAUGGUGUAUAUAUUUUCUCUAAAAUGCAUUUUUAGACUCUACUACAAUUUUUUCUUGUGGGAAAAAAUAAAAAAUAAAGCUUCAUUUUUUUGCCUAACUCACACACAAUAGACUAAGAACUUUGUUUCAGUCAAGAGUCAACAUGUCACAAAAGUUCUUGAAGUCCUUGUCUAAGAAAAAUAAUCAUAUAAUAAUAAAUAAUACUUUAGGUUAUGUUUGGUUCCGAAAAAUACUAAAGAAAGAAAAAAAAUGUAAAGGAAAAUUAUUUUUUUUAUGUUUGGUUAUACUAUGAAAAAUAUAAAAGAAAAUCAAAUAUAAUUAAAAUUAAUUAAAAACUCAUGUGUUUCUAAAUUAUUUAAUCUUUAUAUUAAUGAGUUAAAAUAAAUAAAAUGAGCUUGAAGUAACAAAAAAAAAAUUUAUCAACUUUUAAUCUAUUUUUUUUUAUUUUACUUCUACUUUUUCUUUAUAUAUUUUUUUCUCUUGCAUUUUCCUUCAAAUUUUCUGGAACCAAACAUAGCCUUAAGAUAUGAUGUAUAUAUUUUAUCCAAAAAGCAUUUCUAGACUUUUACAUUUUUCUCCUAUGAACCACUUACUAACAUCAAUUAAUAGAUGAAAGCGACAUGAAUGAUGAAAAUUCUUCCUACUCCAUGUUAAGCGAUAUGACCAAUAAAGGAAAAUAAAAUAUAAUGAAAAUUAUUUAAACACACACACACACACACACACACACACAUAUAUAUAUAUAUAUAUAUAUAUUCAAUUCUUUAUUAUUAUUAUUAUUAUUAUUAUUAUACAUAAAGGGUUAGAAAAAUGCAAAAUAAGUCUAUGCCUUUUGGAAAAAUGUUUAUUUCUUUGAAAGAAGCCAUGGAGGCUCUGACACCAAGAUGAAGGAAGAGAUGAAAACAGUGGGAAACAGAGAGAAAGAGAUGAGAGGAAAAAUGCUGAUAUUAUUUAUCUCAAUCAUCUUCUACAAUAACGGGGUAGGCAUUAUAUACAAUCAGGAGAUACACAUCCUAACCAACUGUACACGUGGAGCUACAAGACUAGAAAGGAAAGAAUAUCCUAACUAAUUACAUCUUUAGGCUUAGCAUCCUCCCUCAAGCUCAUUGGUCUAGUAAGAAUAGUGAGCUUGGAGCGUAGAGUGAUGAAACGUUGGGUAGAAAGAGGCUUGGUCAUGCAAUCAGCAAGCUGAUCAUCAGAAGGUGUAAACUGGAUAGAGAAAGAGCAUUGAAGAACACAUUCUCGGACAAAGUGAUAGUCUAUUUCCACAUGUUUGGUGCAGGCAUGCAAAAUAAGAUUGGCAGCUUAGUAUGUGGCAUUGAUAUUGUCACAGAGAAUGAGAGAAAAUCGAGUGGGAGUAAUGGAAAGUUCAUAAAGAAGAGAUUCAGUCCAAGCAAUUUUAGCAGCCUCAUUUGCUCCCCCUCGGUACUCUGAUUCGGUGCUAGAGCGGGAGACCACUUUUUGUUUGGAAGAUGACCAAGAAACCAGAUUGGAGCCAAGAAAGAGGCAGUAGCCACUGGGGCUACGCCUGUCAUUAGGGCAGGAAGCCUAGUCGGCAUCUGUAUAGCAAGUGAUGUUGAAGUCAUAGGAAGGUUGUAGGAAAAGACCAAAAUGAGACGUGCCCUUUAAGUACCGGAGAAUACGUUUAACAGCUUGCCGGUGAACAUCAGAGAGAUGGUGCAUGAAUUGACACACUUUAUUUACUGCAAACGCUAUAUCUGGGCGUGUCAUGGUACAAUACUGAAGGGCACCAACAAAACUUCGAUAAUCUGAACCAUUUUCAAGAGUCACUCCAUCAUGAAGAGAGAGAUUUGUGUUGGAGAACAUAGGAGUGGGACAUAGCUUGGCAUUCAACAUAGCAGCCCGAGUAAGGAGAUCAGUGAUAUACUUUGCUUGACUAAGGUGAAUACCAGUAGGGGUGCGAUGAACCUCCAAACCUAGAAAAUAGUGUAAAAGACCAAGAUCCUUUAAAGAAAACUAAUGAUGCAACUGUUGGAUAAGGUGAGUAACCUAAGUAGAGUGGCUCCCAGUGACGAUUAUAUCAUCCACAUAGACAAGAACAAGAAGUAAUCCAUGAGAAGAAUGACAAAUAAAUAAGGAAGAGUCAUUCUUAGAAGUAACAAAUCCCAAGUGUAGCAGAAAAGUACUCAACUUAGUAUACCAAGCCCGAGGCCACUGUUUAAGGUCGUAGAGAGACUUAUUCAACUUGCAAACAUGAGUAGGAUAGAGAGGAUCAACAAAUCUAGGUGGUUGCUCCAUGAAAACGUCUUCAGCCAAGUCACAUAAUGUAAAAGGAGGUACAAACAAUAUAAGAGGAUAUACGAACAAUAUAAGGGAGAGUACGAAGAAUAUGAGAUGAAGUACCAACAAUGUGAGAGAGGGUACGAAUAAUGUGAGAAAUGAUAUAAACAAUGUGAGAGGAAGUACUAAUAAUGUGAAAGAUGGUACGAAUAAUGUGAGAGAUAUGAUACAAACAAUGUGAGGUGAGAUACAAAUAAUACGAGAGAAUAUAUGAACAAUGUGAGAUAAGGUAUUGACAAUAUGAGAAAAUGAAUGAAAAAUGUGAGAGAGGGUAUAGACAAUAUGAGAAAUGGUGCGAACAAUGUGAGAAAAUGGUAUGAAUAAUGUGAGAAAUGGUAUAAAAAAGUGAGAAAUGGUAUAAAUAAAUUUGAGAUGGGUACAACUAAUGUUAGAGAGGGUACAAAUAAUGUGAGAAAGUGUACGAAUAAUGUGAGAGAGGGUAUGAAUAAUGUGAAAGAGAGUACCAACAAUGUGAAAGAGGAUAUAAAUAAUUACCUUAGGUUGGGAUGGUUAGAAUCCUAACACAUGUAAUACAAGAUUUGUAGCAAUGAAAAAUAUGAGAUCAAAUACUAACAAUGUGAGAAAGGGUAUGAAUAAUAUGAGACAUGACAUGAACAAUAUGAGAAGGGGUAUAAACAAUGUGAGAUGAGGUACAAACGGUGUGAGAAAUGGUAUGAACAAUGUGAGAAGUGGUAUGAACAAUAUGAAAAAGUAUACGAACAAUGUGAAAGAGGGUACGACAAUGUGAGAGAUGGUACAAAAAAAGUGAGAGACAAUAUGAAAAAUGCGAGACAAGGUAUGAACAAUAUGAAAAAUGGUAUAAAUAAUAUGAAAGAUGGUACGAACAAUGUGAAACAAUGCAUAGAUAAUGUGAAAAAGGGUGCGAACAAUGUAAAAAAGAGUACAAACAAUGUGAUAGAGGGUAUGAACAAUGUAAGAGGGAGUGCAAAGAAUGUGAUAGGAACUACGAGGAAUGUGAGAGAUGGUACAAACAAUGUGAGAGAAUGUACGGAUGAUGUGAGAAAUGACAUGAAUAAUGUGAUAUAGGGUAUGGAUAAUGUGAGAAAUGACAUGGAGGGUACGAACAAUGUGAGAGAUGAUACAAAUAAUGUGAGAAAAUGUACAAAAAAAAAAUGUAAGAAAUGAUAUGAACAAUGUGAGAGAAUAUACAAAUAAUGUGAGAAAUGGUACAAACAAUGUGAGAAGGUGUACAAAUAAUGUGAAAGAGGGUAAGAACAAUGUGAGAGAGGGUAUGAAUAAUUACCUUAGGUUGAUAUGGCUAGAAUCCUAACAUAUGCAAUACAAGAUUUAUAGUAAAUUGCAGUGUACUUACAUUCUCACACCAAACCAUAGGCAUUUUAGUUUUAGCUACCUUUAACUUCUCAAGCAAAGAAGUUAAUCGAGUUAAUUCUAACACAAUGUUAGUAAAAAUUUUAUAUUCAAGCUCUGUAGAUGAAUAAGAAAUAGUAUGCUACUUUUUUUACAUGACACCAAGUUUUACCAAGAAACACACAAUAACUUGAUAUAGUUAGACUUCUUAUCAUUUGGAUUUGUGGCUCAAUCAACAUCAUAAAAUCUUACUAAGCUAAGAUGAUCUUUUAAGGUAUAGGCCAUAAUCCAAAGUUCCACCCAAGCAUCUUAGUAUCCUCUUAAUUGACUUCCAUUGAGAUUCAAGUGAAUUUUGCAUGAACUAACACACCCUAUUGACACAAUAAGAGAUUUUUGGUCUGGUAAUGGUUACAUAUUGCAAGGCUCUAACUAUACUUUGAUAUCCUUGCCAAUUCUUCAUAAGAUCACUUCCAUAAGCAAAUAAUUUGAGGUCAGUUGCCAUUGGUGUACUAUCCUAGGUUCAAGUUAGGUGAAUGAUUUUUUUCCUUAAGUCUUUAGAUCUAAGCAAUAGAAGCAAAGAAGACAUUUUUUGUUAACACAAAAGGAUCUAGAUCAAUGCUUUAGAAAACAUUGCUUUUGAUUUGGAUGUUCCCAAAUCAAUUUCUUAUGGUGAAGGUUAAGCUUGAAGUCUCUAAUAGCCUUAUACACCUAAGAUCUUUUGUUCGAUAACUCUCCAUUUUCCUUAGCACAAAUAGUGGGGGAUUUAAGAUGGUGGAAGCUAGGAUUCUCUCUUUGAAUGGUGGAAGACUAAAAAAAAAAAAAAAAAAAAAACCCUAACCCUUAAAGGGGGGUAUUUAUAUGGUUUCCUAUUGGGUUUAAGUAACUUGAACCUAAUAAUGGCUUGAAUCACUUAAUCUACCCCAAAAAGGGUCCUAAUUAAUUGAUUAACUCAAUAGGAUCGGAUCAUCCAAUAAAUCAAUUAGCCCAAUCUAGAAAUAUGGUUCACUAACCCUGUGCAACCUUGAAAAAUUACCAAAAUGCCCUUAUGCACAUAAGUGAACCAAGAAUCGAUCCAAUGCUCUAACAUAAUCCUAACAAGGUAUAUGAGGUCGAAUGGGGACCACUAGGACCCUUAAGACAAUAUUAACUCUCUUAGAAUCCAAUUAUGAAGUUGAUUCAAUAUCCCACUAUAAAGAAUCAACUACAUUCUAGUACUCUAUGUAAAUGAUAAUGAGACACUAAGUUCUCAGGUCUAUAACCUCCAAUCCAUUGCGUACAAUUUCUCCAUGAAUUGGUGUCUAUAGCCUAAUGAGAUGACAACUAUCAACCUUUCAAGACUACCUCUACUAUCCUUCAGUUAUAAAUCAUCCUAUUGUGUGAUCAAUUGAUAGGUCUUAGCUCACAAAGAACUUACGUCAAAUUCCACUAAAGAAACUAUAAUUAUUAUAGUUUACAUUAACACAUCUCCUUAGGAUCACCUAAAAAGACACUUUAUCUCAAUCCUAUGUGAUAUCAUAGUGCCUUUAGAAUACCUAUUGCAUAUAUAUAUAUAUAUAUAUAUAUAUAUAUAUAUAUAUAUAUAUAUAUAUAUAUAUAUAUAAUCACUUUAAGAUCCCAUCCAUUGGUCAAAGCCACUGUUAAUUUUAGCAUAAUGUCACAGACUUAGUCUUUUCCUAAGCUUGUGCUCUACUUAGACAAACCAAACUCUUGAUCUUGCUAAGUCAGCCUUACUCCUGAUGUUUAGCUUCCUAAGUUAAGAUGCUCACGACUUAGAAACUUUAGAAGAUGUAGUAAGCAAUUCUUAAAUAAUGGAAGCUUUUAUUGCUCAAAGGAAGCUUUACAAGUGCUUUGGAGCUCACUUGCUUGGCUGGUGCCUUGGCCAAAUGAGGCCUUAACCUAUUUAUAGGCACCUUAGGAAGUCUCUAGAACCUUGAAGGGCUCCUUACAAAUCAAGAAUAAUCUAGAAGCUCUUACACUAGUCUAUGUACAGGGGUAUGUACAAGAUGACUUUCAAAGAUUUUAGAACAUCCCACACUAUUCCAAUGCUCUCUUAGCCAAGUGUAGAGAUGUGUGGACAUCUCUAGCCCUCUCUAGAAGUUUCCAUACUCUUCCACUUUGUAGCUAAAUGUAGAUGUCUCUAGGGGUCUCUAGAAGCUUCUCACCUCCUAUAUAAUCCCGUAGGGAGGGUCAUUUGAAGCAUCUUGUGAUAAUGAGCUCAAUAUUUUUUUUUAAGGUUGAGAGACAACACAAUGAAACAACUUGGUGAAGUCAUGACUACUUGAUAGUCUUAUAUCAUAACUUACCAUAGGCCUUAUCCAAUGUGAACCAUACACAUUAGUGCAACUCAUCUUGGAAGCCUAUCCCGAUGGCCAGGAUUAGUCAUCCCUCAAAUUAUGAAGUAGUGCAUUACAACCUUUAAUUGGUUGUUGAAGCCCAUGAACUAACUAUGGACAAUUCAUUAACUUGUAAAGAACCUAUGACUUAGAUCUUCCAUACAACUACUAAUGCACCUAAAUCACAUAUAAUGUAAGAGGUGUAGACCAGAAUGCUCAUAAGGUACAAUUAAUGUAUAGAAUGAAGAUAGAUGAAAGUGAAAUUGAAACUUUAUAAAAAAAUAAAAAUAAAUUUCACAUUCAUUAUAUCAUGUCAUGCUUUUAAGGGUUCUAUUCUUAAAAAAAAAAGAAUAUACAAUUGUAUAAUAUAUUUAAUACUAAUGCCAAAUGGGUAUAAAAAGACGCUUCUAACACUAAUAAUUUUAUUAUAAAUUUCAUGUACGAUACAAAUGCAUCACAUUUAUUGUAUAAUUAUAUCAACAUUACGAUGCACUACAGCAUGACUUAAUUAGGAAUAUGAUAAAACCCAAAAUUUCAAGAUUGAAUUAAAACAAAGGUACAACAUAAAGAUGAUGCUGGAACAAUAUUGAAAUAUAAGACCUAGACUCACAUCAGUAAAUGUAAAAAAUAAAUAGACUCAUUAAAUUGUCAAAACAAAGUUAGGGAUCUACUGCAAGUUUUUUUUCAAGUCUUAUCUUUCUUAUUCCUAAUGGGACAAGUUUGGGAUGAAAAUUAAUGAGUUAAUAAUAGGUUUAGAAUUUUUUGAAACCAGGGAUGGUUUGAUUAUUGUAUUGUCAAGCCUUGCUCUAUCUUGCUCGGGCCCACUUUACCCUAAACCAAUUAUAUAUAAAUUAAAUUAAAAUUAAAAAUUUAAUUUUCAGUAUUUUUCCAUUUUUAACAUAUAAAAUAAUUGAAAUACUACUUUAAAAAAAAUCAUAAAUUUUUUAAAUAUUUUAUUUAUUUAUAAAAUAUUUAUUUUUAAUGUAAAAAUAAAAUUAAAUUAAAUUCGCAUGCUUGCCUCAUUGUGUUUAAAAUUUUUAUUGAGUCAAGAAUGAUAAUAGGUUUACAUAAACGGGAUGGGGUGAAAAUUCGAAGAGUUUAAUUCAUACAAACGGAGCAUGGUGAAUGCGGCAUAUUGCCAUCCUUAGUUGAAUAAUGUUGAAUGGGUCUGACCCGAGUAACAGCUCGACCCGCUGGCUGCUUGGGGGCGUCCCAGCCACGUGUCCCUGUAGUGGAAUGGCCCCUUCACAUAAGCUACUUUCCGAGAAGGUCGAGACUCCUAACGGGUCCAUGCUAAAAUGUAUUCCUAUAAUUAAUAAUUGCCUGAGAAAUGGUGACAAAAGCUUUCCAUUUAAUUAUUAAUUUUUUGAGACUUUUAAUGAUAAGUGACAAAAAAAAAAAAAAAAAAAGAGAAGAUAGUACGAGAUAGUGGAAGUAGGGGCAACCCUCUAAAAACAAAAUAAUGAAUUCUACGUAGAACAGAAAUCCCAAUCCAUUGUGAUGGCAGCCGCACAAGGAUGGCAUUUUCUUUGGUAUCUUUGGUGCCAUCUAACCUGAUCUUGACCCCGAGGUGACAUAGGACCGUGAGGGGGAGCACCCCCAAAAUCAAUCUGUCUUGGAACAAAAUAUCUUUUAUAUCCACCUGCUUCAAUAUUAAUUCUCUUAAAAGUUAAAACUAGUUCCAUUGCAUCACUGGGGGACAAUCAAAUCGUUGAUCUUACUUUGAUUAAAAUUUAGUUACGGGCUUACAACCAAUUACCCCUCUCCCAUCUCCCCCAUCUUUCAAUUGUUUUGGUGUAUGCCAUAAGAGAGAAAGAUGUGGAGUUCAGAACUCACGGCAGUGAUAUUGUUGACGAUAGAGUGCUUGGAUGUGGGUUUAAUCACGUUGAGCAAAGCAGCCAUGAGGAGAGGAAUGAGCGACUACGUUUUUGUUGUCUACUCAAAUGCCCUUGCCGUUCCAGUGCUCUUUCUCUGUAGCCUCCUCUUUCACAGGUUCAUGUCUACUUCUUCUUCUUCUUCUUCUUCUUCUUCUUCUUGUUGAUUACCGUUUCUUUUUAAUUAUGGCUUUCUCAUGGUGAUGGAUAAACAGGAGAAGGUCCCCUCCUCCACUCACACCUUCCAUCCUGUGUAGAAUCUUUCUUCUCGGCCUGGUCAGGUAAUUUGAGUUGCAAAUUGUUAGUGGGUGGGGCCUCUUUUCAUUUUCAAAGUUAAAAUUAAUGGUAAAUAUGUGUGUAAAGCUGUUCAUUACAGAUGCUCAAGUUUAUAGGGAUAGGGUAUAGCUCUCCAACUCUUGCCUCCGCCAUGACUAAUCUCAUCCCUGCUUUUACCUACGUACUUGCCAUCGUCACCAGGUAUUCAUAUUUACACACCUCUCCUCUUUUUCAGCUCUGAUUAAUCUCUUUACAACAACUAUACAUCUGCCAAUUUCAAUUCAUGCGAUGUCCAAGUCCUGGAUCAAAUGGUAGAAUUUGAAUUAUAAUUUGAUGUGCUUGUGUGAUUUAUAUGAUUUGAAUCGUAUAUGUAUUAGUAUUUUUAAUAUUAUUUAUUUAUUAUUAUUAAAUUAUUAUCAACAGUUGCAUUGAUAUUAUCAUUUUUAAUAAUAAUAUUGAAUAUAAUUAUUAUCAUUCUUUUUAUCACUUCUUAUUAUUAUUAUCAUUGAAAAUAUUUAUUUAUUACUAAAGAAUAUUUAUAUUAACAUUAUAAAUAAUAACAAGAAUAAUAAAAUAUAAAAAAGAAAGGAGAAAAAAAAAUUACAAAAAGUUAGGUGAAAUGGUAGAAAAAGACAAAUAAUAAUAAUAAUAAUAAUAAUAAUAAUUUUAUUAUAUAUAUAUAUAUAUAUUUACAAUCAAAUGUGGUCAAAUAUCCUUAGAGAUAAUUUAAAUAGAACCCAUGCCUUAUGAGAAAUGUGAACCUUUCAAAUCCUUUAUGCCAGACCCCAAUGCCUUAAUUAAUUAAAUUAAUUUAAUGAAACAAAGUUAAAAUUGGGAUCUUAAUAAGUAAAUUAAAAUUUUCAAUUAAAAAAAUAAAAUUUAUCUAUUUUUUAUUCUUUUUAAAACUUAAAAUAGUUAUUCUUAAUCUUUUAAUUUUUAAUAUUUUUAAAUUUUUUUAAUUGACCAAUUUAGACUCAAAUUCUUAAAAGCCCAAAGCAUAUAAAAUUAAACAUGGAUGAAGGGAUAGUUAUAUUCAUUAGAAUUGCUUUUUCUUGGAAUAGAAAAGAUAUCAAAUGAUACAAAAUUAAUUUCAUGGAAUAACUAUGAUCUAUCCCUUCAUCCAUUUGGCAUUACCAAAUCACUUUCUCUAGCUACUUUCUACUGUCUAUGCCAUAAGCAGAUGGUAUAGCAGCAAUUCAGCAGUAAAAUUAUGUAUGUGUAAAUGAAGUAAAUGAAUGAUGAUUAGGAUGGAAAAGCUAGACUUGAAAGUCAAAAGCAGUCGUGCCAAAUGUCUUGGAACCCUAGUAUCAGUAGCAGGGGCACUCCUUAUAACUAUAUACAAAGGCCCCGGAAUUGAAUUUGCUUCAACUACUCCUUCCAUGCUUAACCACAAUCUUCUGCUGCCCCGAUCAAACUGGAUCAUUGGAGGCUUUCUCACUGCAGCUGCUGCCUUCAUGGUCGCAGUGUUGCUUGUUUUCCAGGUACGCUCUUUCUUUAAAAAAAUGAAAGCAUUAAAACUUCCUCUUAAAGCAGUUCUACUCCUCAUCUGUCAGAAUAUAUAUGUUUUUCUUUGUUACAUCUUCAGACCUCUAUCAUUAGAGACUACCCUGCAGAGCUGAUCGUAACCCUCAUUUCUCACAUAUUUGCAACCAUGCAAUCUUCUCUAGUCUCUCUGAUCGCAGAAAGAGAUCCAAGUGCUUGGAGGCUAAGGCUUGAUAUGGAGUUGAUAGCUGUUGGAUACUCGGUAAGCAGAUAGAACAAGCUGCUUGUUUUCAAAUACCAUUAUAAAGUUGUCCUUAUUCUUCAUAAUUUUCUUCUAUGGGAUGUGUAGUUUGGUUUGCUCUUUUAUGUAUAAAAUUGUAGUAACCUGGCAUGUUGCUUAUCCCCUAGGGAAUUUUUGUGGUUGCAUUGCGAGGUGCUGUUUAUGCAUGGGUUCUGCACCAAAAGGGACCUGUCUUUGUAGCCAUGUUUAAGCCAGC
rnacentral:lncRNA from 1 species